GACUUAAUUAACUUAUCGAGUUAAUUCCCUCGCCCUCUCUCUCAGUUUCUUAUUUGUUUUGGGUUCUCUAUUGAUUUUGUAAAUGUAUUGAUUUUGUUUCUUUUGUGAGCAGUAGUGGAAGAUAUUAUGUGCAGAGAUUCCAGCAGAAAUCAACCUUCUUGCGGCCGGCUUAAUUUUCCAUGUCAGUCCCCUCUGCCUUUUAAGUAUGUUUUGCUUUUGCUUUGUUUUUUGUCAUGAAUGAUAUUGAAUUGAUUUUCUGAUUAUCCAUUAUUUCUGAAAAUUUUUUACAAAAUCUUAUGAACGGUUGUUUGCUUAUUGUUACACUGUAAAGCAAAGAUAAAAAGGUAUUGCUUGCUUAUAUAAUUGUGGAUGGUAUAGGUUCAUGAUUGAGGGUUCUACUAUUUCUAACAUAAAUUGUAUAUUAUAAAAAUUUAUUUGUUUGUAUUACUGAAAUUUUUUUAAUUAUUUUUUAUUGCACAUUUAUCACAUAAAAUAGGUGUUACGAUAGUUAUUUUCAUAAUUUUAUUACAAAAAUGAUCGUGCAUGAAAUAAAAAAAGAUUUUUUUAUAAUUUAAAAAAAUAAUUAAAAAUGAUUUAUAAUUGAAGAAAAACAAUUCAGAUAUUACUAAUAACUAAGGCACUAUACGCCCAUUAUUAAAAUUGGAUUAAUUUUUAAUUUCGUCAGAAAUCCUUUUGGCAAAAUUGCAUUAUAGCAUUUCUUUUCUUUAUCAACAAUGACAAUUACAACUACGUGAUUCAUCUAUCUAGCAACAGCACAAUUCAACUCAUGGAAUAAAUAGUUCAUUGCUUAAAGUACAUAAACGAAAGGUUAGAGGCAAGUCCUACUUAACACCUGCAAGUAAUAUAUUACAAUUAGAAAAAAAAAAUGAUUCAAGAGGAGCAAAAAACUCACAAAGCCCCUGACAUAUGUGCAAUCGUCAAGACACUUUUGAGCAUUUAAAACUGCAUUCCUUAGUUCAGGUAACCACUUCUCUGUAAUUGUUUUCAUUUGAUUACAAUGCAAUUCUAUUAAAUUCUAUUGAUGUUAUUUCUAUAUUAAUUAUUGUAUUUUUUUGGUUAACAGUUCUCAUACAAUGUAUCACUAUUUACACAUAAAAUAAAUACAUAAACUAUUGAUUUUUAAUUUAAUAUAUAUUUUAUUUCUAAAUCAAAGAAAUGAAAAAUCUAACUGUUCUCAAGAUCGCCAGGCAUCCACAUCACCAAUGAUUUUGCGUGAUCAUGGUAAAUAUACAGUUUCUUAUAUCGUCAUACUCAUCUUACAUACACACUUUUUGGCUGCACUAUCUUGCUAAAUCAACUAUAGAUACAAUACAAUACAAUUGUAUUACAAUUGUUCGAUUAUAAUACAAUUGUAUUACAUUCUAUUGAUGCUAUUUAUAGACAACUUAGUAAUUUUAUAGAUUAGCAAUUUAUUUUAUUUUAUAGAUUACCAAUUACUACAUGUACCAAAAUAUUUUUAUAUAGGGAUUACUUCAUUAACUAUGGGUGCUAAUAACAAUUCAAUUGGUGCGUAUUUUUCAUUUGAUUACAACACAAUUGUAUUAAAUUCUAUUGAUGUUAUUCUAUAUUAACUAUUGUAUUUUUUUGUUAACAAUUCUCAUACAAUGAUAAAAAAAAUUCUCAUACAACCGAAAAAAGACGGUUCUUGAAUGAUAUAUAUAUUCUAUUAUAUUUCAAACUAUUGUUAAAUAGAUAUUAUAUUUUAAUUUUAUUGGUAAAAUUUUUUCACCUUUAUUUGUUCACCAUUUUAUUUUUUUUCUAAUAAUGUCAGCACCGUGCAUAGCACGGGUAUUCCCACUAGUAUAUAGUAAGAUAGUAGUAGUUAAAUUAACAUAAGCGGCAAAUAAGUCACGUGACACUCACCGCUGGCGUGGGAGACGGCGAGUCCACUUCACUUAUCCUGGAGGGAAACAAAGGCUAUACUGCGAACGAGAGAGAGAGGGAGAGAGCGAAGAUUAUGGCGAGCGGUUGAAUUGAAGCCGAGAGAGAAUUGAACAGCGAAGUAGCCGUUGGAUGGUGGUGGUGGGACUGGGAUCAACUCAACAAAUCUAUCGAAACAAAACCCCAAAUUCACAUUCAGCCCCAAGGCCCAAGUUCCGUCGAUCCAACCAACCUCCUGCAAAUGACGCUCAACGCUUCCCAUUUUGUCGCCAAUUUCGAGCCCAAACGGUAAUACACCCCCCUCUCCCUCCUUCCCUUUCAACCUGCUUAAGCAUUUGUAUAUGCAUAUGAAUGUAUUGUGCAUGCUUCAGUUUUUGAAUUGCAAUACAUGGGUGUGGUGAGGUGUCAUGGAGACCGAAUUUGUAGCUAAGUUUUACACACAACCCUUGAUGCUUAAUCUCGAAAUUCAUGGAAAAUCCGUUGCGUUUAGAGUUUCUCCUUUUUACUGAAUUUACCCAAAUUCAUCACUACCGUUUUGCUACUACUUUUUUAAAGUUCCUAUUAUACACUCUCUGUUGCUUAUUUACGUUGUUUAUUAUUAUUUCUCAAGACCAUUUCUUAGGAACUUACUUUGGAAGUGGGCACCCCCUAAUGAGAAAAAAAUAAUGAUAAUUAUGGAGACCAUUGGCUGAUCACUACGUGUGUGAGGUCAUAUUGUAGAUCCAGUUAGUCUGGUAAAAGGAGCUUCUUCUGUUUUAAAUUUUAGAUUUAUAAUACAGUGUUGGGAUUGGGGUGGUUUGAUCUUGUUCAGAUAUAGAAUAUAAUUAGAGAGAGAAAGAAAGGUGGUCAGGUUGCACUUGUAGGAAUAGAUUUUAAGUUUUUUGUGUGUUACUUUAGAAAUCUGGUAAUGUGAUCUAAGAUUGGCUUGAUGUGGAAGAGCUAUGGGCAGUGGAAUCCAUUUCUUCAUGACCAAUUAUGUUGCUGUCCUUGUUGAGUAAGCGUUCAUUGGACGUUGAUUCCAGGUAAAAUCCGUCUCUAGGGAAUUUGCACGUCCGCCAGUAUUGCACCUUAUAUACAAAGCCAAUGGCACACAAAUGAAUGUAGCGUGCUAACCUAGAUAAUGUGUAAUAAUCACCGUUCCUUUUCAGAGAUAUGGUAAUACAGUAUUGUAUGAACAUUUUGAAAUGGAGGAUGUUGAUUUUUUAGGAUUGGUAUGUUUGGCUAUAAAUGCUCAAAUGGUAAUGCAAUUUUGACAGGGAUGCAUAUGGAUUUACUGUGAGACCUCAGCAUCUUCAUAGAUACAGGGAGUACUCUACCAUCUACAAGGUAAAUUGUCAUCUUGACAUUUUCCCUCUGCUUAAUCUCUGGUUUUGCAGGAGACUGAAUUUAACUUAAUACUGCAUAGCCAUGAGGAUAAAUGGACUCAAAUUAUAGUUGCAUAGUUGGUUGAAGGGGACUGCAAUAGUUUUUAUUUUUUGUUUUCUUUUGGGUCUCAAGGGAGAAUUACAAAGGAAAGAGAGGGGGAAUUGACAGAGAAACAGAAGUGUUGUCCGCUCAAUCAUGCUUUUCUCAUGAAGCUUAUUUAAUCUUAUAUCCUUCAUUUCAGGAAGAGGAAGAGGAAAGAUUUCACAAGUGGAAUUGCUUUCUGCAACAGCAAACAGAGUCUACUGUGUCUCCGGAGAAUGUCAAAACUGUGAAACCUGAAGUUACGGAGCAGCAAAUUAAGCCUAUUCAGCAGUUGACUGCAGAAGGGGAUGCUUCAGGUGGAGUUGAGUCUGUUCCAGACAUACUCGAAGAAACUGAUGCUGAGAAGGAGGUGCCAGCUAUUAUACCAAAGGAAUCUUCUGAGGUGCAUAAGUGGGUCCCUGUUAGACCAUCUCUCUGUCACAUAGAGGAUAUGAUGAGUUCUCGUGCAAAGAAGGGAAAAAGCAUGAUAGAUGAGCUUAUAACCACUGACCAUAACCAUCUUCCCUCAAUUAUGGAGGAGAGUCACUCAGGAGAGGAACUUGAGCAAGCACAUGAAGAAGAACACUACGACAGCAAAAGGGAUGCUAGCCCUGAUGCUCCUAAAGAAAGAGGUGCUUCCAUCAAUGGAGUCUGUACAGAACCCUUGUUUCCUUGGAAAGAACUGGAGUUCCUUGUUCACGGAGGAGUGCCAAGGGAUUUGAGGGGAGAGGUACUAAUCUUCCCUAUUUACCAAUAGUACCCAAGAUUAUGGUCGAACUAAAUUUUGUUUUUUAUCUCAUCUUGGUGGCUAGGUAUGGCAAGCCUUUGUUGGAGUUAGGACACGCAGGGUAGAGAGAUACUACCAGGAUUUGCUGGCUCCAGAAACUGAUGCUGGUAAGGACCGGGAUGGUGAUAAAUCACAAUCACUUGAAGAUAGAAAGGGACCGAAUGAGAAUAGUGUCCAUGUGCCUGAAAGUUUGAGAAAGCAAAUUGAGAAGGUCAUUAGAUGCAUGGAAACUGGACUUUAUCGUUCACUCUUUUAAUUCGUAGGUGCUACUUCUUUUUAGGGCCUGUUUUGGGAUGACAAAUGAGGAUCUUUUAGUUACUAAAGAUCCUUAUGUGAUCUUCUUCUUUGUUUAGAUAUCUCACUAAAUGCAGUAUGGUUUGUUUUCCCUUGUCUGCAAGAAGCAACCUGUCUCUGCUUCUUUUGAAACGUUGACCUAGUUUUCAUGUGAACUGGCCUCUAUUUACUGCAUUGUCCAUUUUCUUAAUGCUCCACAGCACAUAUAUCACCACCCUUUGCUUCAUGGUUUCUUCUCUGUGUUCAAUUUCUCAUAGUCCACAUUUUAAUUCUAAGAUGCUUAUGCCAAAUUCGCCAUGUUUGGUAUUGCAUUCCAAGUUUCUCCCAGGGCUAACCUACUAAUCUAUUCUUUACAGGAUCUGACUAGAACAUUUCCUGGACAUCCUGCAUUAAAUGAAAAUGGUAGAAAUUCUUUGAGGCGUUUACUUUUGGCAUAUGCUCGACAUAACCCAUCAGUUGGGUAUUGCCAGGUAACUCUUGGCUGAAGCUUUUACCUUCUUAUACUGCCCUUAUUAGGUUGUUAGAUGAGAUGUAUAACUUAUCCAUGUGUGGCAGUUUUAACAUUAACUAUAUGAUUUGAUGAAUAUGAAUUCAUUUGUGGUAUUAGCUCCUAAAGUGAUUUGGCUUAGGUCCUCACUUGAAGUAGCAGUAAAGACGUUUAAAGAAUUGUAUUCAAUCUUCAUUAGUUGCAAAAGGAACAAAUACUUGUUUUCUCAAUGGCAUUUAGUUAUUCAUGUGUAUCCACCUUAUUAAAUUUAUUCCUGGGAUUUGGAUCUCAGGCUUAGUUUUUUUUACUAUUUUCUUUAUCUAUAAUGUUCUGCAGGCUAUGAAUUUUUUUGCUGGCUUAUUACUUCUUAUGAUGCCUGAGGAAAAUGCCUUUUGGUAAGUCUCAAAUGUUUGCUGCUUUAAAGGGUUGAUGCUUUUCAUCAUGGUAUUCUAGGAAAUUUCACUUGAAAUUGGACUGGACCUGUUGCUUUUUUCUUAGUGUAAUGUGAUUGCAUCCCCAGAGCAGAAAAUGUAGCAUGUCUAAAAUUAAAAUACUGUGGCACACACAACUUUCAGAUGGGAAAUGUACAUGCGAGUUAGAAUCUAGAUAGAAAAAAUAGUCUGUAUUACUUUUGUGAAUAAAAGUUCUUGAACGGUUUACAAUAUUGACACUAAUAGUUGAUAAUUUUAUGCUUGGAUACCCUUUUUUGGCCCUGCUUCUUUCAAGUAAGGUUUAUGUAUGUCACUUCUAUGCAUCAAUCAGCACAAACACAUAUUCAAACACACAAACACACCCAUGUGUGUUAUUUGAUUUGGAGCACAAAAGCUCCGCUGACUUUAUAGACUAGUUUGUUUUGCUUCCUUCAGGACUUUGGUCGGUAUCAUUGAUGAUUACUUUGAUGGUUAUUACUCUCAGGAAAUGAUAGAAUGCCAGGUUUGAACCUCUAUUAUUUUGAAGUUCACUGGUACAUGUAUGCUUAUUAUGAGCUAUUUUGCAUACCUAAGACUUUUCUGGUCAUUUCUUAGGUUGAUCAACUUCUUUUUGAGGAGUUGAUGCGUGAAAGGUUUCCUAAACUGGGUCAGUCAAGUGCCACAUGGAUUUUCCUUGAUUAGCUUUUGUUGCUAUUUUAACACUAAACUUCCUUACUUGCUGGUCCGUUUGUUGCAGUCAAUCAUCUCGAUUACUUGGGAGUGCAGGUUACAUGGAUAUCCGGGCCAUGGUUCCUUUCAAUUUUUGUUAAUAUGCUUCCAUGGGAAAGUGGUGAGCAAAUUGAAGUAGUAAUUCUAAAUCGAGUUUAACUUACCAGUGAAAGACAACUUUCUGGUCUUGUAAACCAUUGUACUUUUGCAUCUUAUAAUACCUUCAGUGCUUAACGAGGCACACUGUGGAUUGCAGUUCUUCGGGUUUGGGAUGUUCUUUUGUUUGAAGGAAAUCGUGUUAUGUUAUUUCGGACAGCACUUGCUUUGAUGGAGUUAUAUGGUAUACCAGUAACAAGUUGCAAUAAAUGGUUGUGCAUUUUCCUUUAUUUUAGUGAUAUCAAUUUUGUCACAUCCAAAAUUCUACAGGUCCUGUUAUAGUCACAACCAAGGAUGCUGCAGAUGCCAUAAGUUUAUUGCAAUCCUUGGCUGGUUCAACUUUUGAUAGCAGCCAACUUGUUUUGACGGCUUGCAUGGGUUUCUUGAGUGUCACUGAAGAUAGAUUGCAAGGGCUAAGAGAGAAACACCGGCCAGCUGUACUUGCAGCUGUGGAGGAAAGAUCGAAAGGGGCUCGAGUUUGGAAAGACCCCAAAGGUCUAGCAACUAAGCUGUAUAGUUUCAAGCAUAAGCCUGAAUCCCUGAUAAAAGAUCCUAGAGUGGAAGAAGCUUCAGGUGACAAGCUAAUUGGUGGUGAUGUAUCACAUUCGGAGUCUCAUGCUACUACUGAUUUGAAUGAAUUGCUUGAUGGCUUAAACAUUGAUUCAGAAGUAGAUUCACUUCCAGAUCUUCAAGAACAGGUAGCCAUUUUUUCCGUUUUUCAUCACGAAAUUUUCCCUUGCUAUUUUGGUUUCUAUUGAUUGGUAUCCAUGAAAUUUGUCUCAUCCAUGGUACCUGCAACAUUGAUUCAUAGGUAGGUUGAGAGUCUGUUUUUAAAGAAUUAAGAUGCUCAACACAAGCAAGAGAUGCACUUUUCAGUAUUUGCAAUAUCUCUGAAUUCUGUUUCAUUAAUUUAUUUAAUAUUGCAAAAAAUGUUCUUAAAAUUGAAUUUUUGUCAAAAUCUUCAAAGAAUUGACUGGGAAAGAUUGGUCAGAAGUUUGACGAAAUGGGUAAUUUACUUUGAGAUGAGACAUAUCUUGAAGUAUAUAUGUCAUUGUACUCUUGUGGCAUAGGUUACAGCUAUGUAGUUGUUUUCUUUUCUUUGUGCAUAGAGAACUAUAGGUUGGUGUGGGCCAGUACAAUUUUCCCACCAUCUUACUGUACAUUACAAUCCCUUUUAUAUUUCAUAAUUGGAGAAAUAGUAAUUUUAUUUUGUCCACUGUCAAAGCAUUUUAUUUUCCAAAUUUGAGGUAAUCAGAAUAUUUAUGAAAAAUUCUCCUUGUCCUUUUUUAAGUGUUACUUAUCAACAGCUUCUUGGCAGGUUGUAUGGAUGAAGGUGGAGCUGUGCAGAUUAUUAGAGGAAAAAAGAACUGCAAUUCUAAGGUCAGUCUGCAUUUUCAAUUUCUUUUUUAUAUAUAUUUUUUCAAUUUCUUGUCUGUGUGAUGGGUUUAUGCACAUCACUGCAGUGAAGAAAUUAAACGUAUGUGUGUGCAUAAUUUACAAAACAAGUCCUCUAAGAAAGGAGCAACGGUGAGCUCCGAGUCCCAAAAGGAAGUAUUCAAGAUUUUUCCUCUUAGUAACUAGAAGGUGUCUUCUCGAUUUUUUACAUUUAAAACUCCUUUUGCCAUUUUCUGCUUUCCUGUGCUUUUCAAGGUUUCAAAGUCAUUGAUAGAUCUUGUUCAAGGAUAGGUGAACUAUCAAAUGUUAGUCCAAAAGCAAAGCUGUUUUCAACAGCCAUGCAUUGUGCCUUGAUCUUGCAUGAUAUCUGUGGUGUAUUGGUAUGCUUCCAGUUUUCCUCUUUAAUGCCUACAUAGUUCUUGUCAGUACUUAAAUGAGAAAAUGGGGCAAUUUCUAUAUGUGCUACGCUUAACCUGUGACAUUAAGUACACAUGAACUUAAAACCUUUUUCUUGUUUACUUUCUCAUUGAUGGAAAAUGUGAUUAAUACAUCAGCUUUGAAAUUUUUUCUUCUUCUGAAGUCUUAAAGGAUAAGUUCUCUUUUCCAGAGCUGAAGAGUUGGAGACAGCCCUUAUGGAGAUGGUCAAGCAAGAUAAUAGACGUCAACUGAGUGCAAGGGUAAGAAUAAUUUAAACUAGUGCAUUCCUACUGCGGUUCAUGUGUUUUUGGAAGACGAUGUGUCACGUAGCAUAUGAUGCAACUUUCUAAGAUUGUUGCGUGCAUAAGUUAUGAUACCCUUCGUUCAAGAAGGAGUUAGAGUUAGGGAGAGAGGGAGAGGGCAUUUGCUUGCUCUUCAUGAUGGUGGAAAGGAUGGAUUGUAGUAAAGGGGUGCAGAAGUUUGAAGCUCCACCAUAAGGGAGAGGGAGCAAAGACUGAUAAUCAGAGGGCGUAAGGGUUAAGGGAAUUUAAUAUAAGUAUAAAGAUAAUCCGAUUCCCCUGGGUUAAGUAGCUAGCAGCCUUCUGAGGAGCUAUUGGAAUGAAAGAAGAAAGCUGCUUAAACAAAGUGUAAACGCACAAUCAAAGGAAAGGUAGGCUUCCUUGAAUCGCCAUCACCAGUCAGCCUAUUAUCAUUGCCUUGAAUACGAAUAUAGCUAAAAAGUAAUUCAAACCAGUUUUUCACUCUAAAGUCAGACAAGUUCUCUUUCAAGCAUUAAUCCUUGGCUCGUGGGGUUGUCGUUGAAUCAAAACUUUCAUCGUCUUGGCCCACUACCUGAUGUCUCCAGUUUUUAGAACAAGGAAAAGAAAGGAUCAGUAAUUUCCUUUAGUAACUUUGGAGCCUGCCUAUUGCUAUUUUGUUUUAGUUCUUGACUCAUACCUUCUGUAAUACAACAUAGAGGUAACCACAUUGUACGUUUGGGAAAAGUAUUGCUUGUCAGUCUAAGGUUGUUUCAUACAACAGUGUCUUAACCUCUUUCUCUGCUUACAUUUCUUCUUUGUGUCUGUUGUCAUGCAAUGUUAUGUCAGUUUGCUCUUUGACCCAAAAUUUGCAUCCUCAUUCAGCAUGGAAACAACUGGAAAUGUUGCUACAGCAUUUAGAUAUCCUUAUAGGUAUGUAGAAUAUGUGAACUAUAUACUAAAGAUAUCUGCUAGUAUGGUACACAACAUCUGAUAUUCAAUAGUAGCAAUGAAAUCAGCUAUUCUGCACAUCUCUUGCCCCUUGGGCCAGAAAAAAUAAUCAGAAGAGAUCUAGGAAAUGACCAUUUAUAUUCUGUCAAUAAGGAUAUCCAGUUCUGGAUUCUUUCUUUUUUUUUUUCUUUUUCAAAUUUCUCUUGGAUGCUUAUAUUUUGUGGAAGUAAAUUUCUUUUUUUCACUUUUCUAGACCUUGUAGUGUUCUUACUUUGCAGGUUGAGCAGUUAGAGCGUGAGGUAGCUGACUUACAGCAAGCACUUUCUGAUAAGACAGAGCAGGAGAAUGCUAUGAUUCAGGUUUUGCAGCAGUUUCAUAUGAAUUUUAUCUCAACAACGAUUCGUUUUUGUGUCAUGAUAACUCAAUUUUGCAUAAUCAUAUCCAACAUUCUGCAGGUCCUGAUGCGAGUUGAGCAGGAACAGAAAGUAACAGAAGAUGCUCGAAUUUUGGCUGAGCAAGAUGCAGCUGCUCAGAGAUAUGCAGUGGAAGUUCUUCAGGUUUCGUUUUGCAGUGUAUCUGCUUAACUGGAUGCAUUUCCCUUCUGGUUGUUGGGGGCGGGGCGGGGGUGGGAGGGGGGGGGUUUCUGGACUUCCAAUUUUGAGAUUCUUUGUUGAUUCUCCCCUUCCUCACCAUUUUUUGUUUUUAUAUAUGUAGUGAUAUAUUUUCUUUUGUUAAUGCAGGAAAAACACAACAAAGCUCUGGCUUCAAUUGCUGAGAUGGAAAAGAGAGUAGUUAUGGCAGAAUCGAUGCUGGAAGCUACUUUGCAAUAUGAAUCUGGCCAAGUUAAAGCUCUAGCUUCUCCCGGGUUUGUGUUGCUUACAGUUUCCUGUUUAUUUAUCAUGUGAUUCUCGUCUUUGUAACUCCAGAUAUGCUAACACGUGGUGUAUACAUUUUGGAUGGGCAAAGAAAUGGGACCGGGGAAUGGGGGAUUUAAGAAAAAUGAGGGCUUGAAAAUGUCUUUGGCUGGGGUUUGGAGGGGUGGAGGGUGCAUGCAAAAUUAUGUCUAAAUGAUUCUGCAUGUUGAUCAGAAUGGAUUAAUUCUAAAUCUGACAGAAAUUAUAAAUGUGCUAUAUGUUUCUAGUGUUAAUUGGGUGAUGCUUUAUGCGUUUGUGAUUUUACUUCUCUGAGAUGUCCUUUCUUGGCGAAGAAUAUGACAUGUCAUUUGUGUUUCCUCUCUUACCAUCCUCUCUGUUUGGUUUUAUAGACAGGACAACUCACUGUGCCAUCCGUAUCUUCAUGCUGUUCUUGGCUUUGCGACAAAGUUUUGAGUUUUAAUUGUGCUGAAAUAUUUUGUAGGUCUGUUCGUCCAGAUUCUCCUCGGGAUAUGCCAAGGAGGACUGGUUUGCUCCCUUUUGGCCUUGGCUGGCGUGAUAGGAACAAGGUACAGAAUCUUGGCUCUCUCACUUGUUCUCUUUAGUUAUUGGUCAAACUAUUUUCUUUUUUUGCUGCUUUUACAUGGAUACGUGAGAGAGUUUGCAAAUCUGCAUUCCCUUCACAGUGUUAAAAAGGGUAUUGAAUAGGUUUUCAUGUCAUGUAUUCUGUUGGUGAGGUAAAAACUUCCAAUGGUCAUUGAGUAAAUAGUGUUAAACAAGCAAUAUAUCAAACGCAUUCCACUUGUAUUAGAUGGCUACAAUUACCGUAAGGCAAGACGAAAAUUUAUUGGAGAUGAAAAUAUCUCAUGAGCAUUGCAGGACGCAUGAAUGUGGAGAUUGCAGAAGCAUCAGACUUUGGGUGUAUGGUGUGAUAUCAGUCAUUUCUUCUUAAAGAAGGUAAAAACCCAUCAAGGUAAACAGAGUGAUGCUGCUGUAAGUGUUGAAAGUAAGUCUGGUAAUGAGGGCGUUGAUAGAAGCAGUGUACAUAUUCAGGCGAAUGGCCAUCAAGGAUAGCAAAAUGAACUUGAACAGAUGGAAGAUAUAUUCUCAGCUUCAAGCUGAUGGCUGGUUGCCAAUCACGUCCUUCUGCCUUCGUUUGUGGAGAAUCAGAAGCCUAGCCUUUUUUGUUGUUGGCAAUGGUAUAUUGAUGCAUGUGCUCGACUAUGAUGGUCAUUAUGAGCCAAGUAUCUUUCAUUUCACACUUUUAUGUAACUAUAUUGUGAAAGAAAGGAAAUCUCGGUUAUCAUUCUUUUGACUAGAGAACGUCUGUAAAAGUGAUGAUACUCUUACUAGUGGGAUGUUAGACUUGCUGUUUCUUUUCUUAGAGCCGAGUCAUGCAUAGACAGAAUUUCCACCGGUGAUCGUCUUCCUUGCCAUCUCAAAUGAGGAUUUGAGAAGUAUUUAUGGCGCCUAUGAACUGGGCUACAUUAGGAUUAGUUGCAACUUUUCCCAACUCUCUGUGGCUGUCAAAACGAUUUCUGGUAAUUAAUAACCAUAUUUUUAUGUCGAUACAAUGGAGGGCACCCUUGAAAGAGCAACUAGUCGGCUUAAAAGCCGCCUAAGUGCCCUUAAGACGGGCACCCUUAAGACAACUAAACCAGCAGAUAGUUGCAACCCAUCCUUUGCACAUGAAUUACCUUCUUGCCAAACAUGAGCAAUUCUGCAAUCCCAGCUGUCAACGGGCCGGGUCUGGGCUGGAAUUCAUUAUUCCUGACCCGGACCCGAAUUACUAUACCGGACCCGGAUCCGACCCGUUUAUCCGAUGGGUCUUUUAUUCUAUGUUCCAGAUCCGGAUCCGGCUACCCGAACAAAUUUAGCAAAAUUUAUAAUUUCUAAUAAAAAUGAGAAAAAAAUAUAUUUGUAAACUAAUUUCUAACUAAUGCAAAGAAAAAACCAAAUAAGAAAAGAAAUCAAAUUGACUUUAUUCAAAUACAUCAUCCUAAUCAAAUUAUAUUGAUAAAUAUAUAUUUUUUAAAAUAAUAAUUCAUUUAUAUCCGGAUCCGGGUCUAAUACGGGUCGGAAUACUAUAUUCCGUAUCCGACCCGUUUUUUUGUUUGACAAAACGGAUCCGGAUGAUCCGGAUCCAGAAAACGGAAUUAAAUCCCUAUCCAUACCGGUAAUAAUUUCACGGAUCCGGUCCAGAUCUGGGUCUAGACCCGACCCGUUGACAGGCCUAAAUCAGUAAAUCCCAGUCUCUUUCCAGUAAAGACCCUGACCUCCAUGACAGUAUCAUAAUGUUGACUCUCAGCUGGAGCAUCCUUACGUAGCAAUUUGAGAAUCUGAUUCCAAAACCACCUUUUUAUAACCCAAAUUCCAAGCCCGCAGUACAUACCUCACAACACAGCAGCAGUAUUGCUCGCCUCCUCAAUGCUGGCCCUAAACCCUGUCAACCAGCAACCCAUUUCAUCUCUGACCACUCCUCCUGCCGGCCCAGGAUUAUUUAUUGCCGCCCCAUACAUUGACGUUAUCCCCACCCCCUUGGAGGCUUUUCCCAACAGAUAAACUUCAUCUCUUUUGCUCAAUAAAAUAUGUUGCUGUGCUCCGCAGUUUACCAUCCAUGCCUUAGUGCACAAACUCAUUCCUCGCUGUCCUGGCGAAAUACACAACUUGCUGCAAGGCUAGAGGCCAAACAAUUGUAUCUUGCCUCCCAAUAUCUCCCCUAUGCACAUUCAAGUCAAUACACUACUGGUCCUUCGAUUUCGAUUUAAAGGCUCUCCGGUGCCGGGGAUGAACAAGUUGCCCCCAAAAUAUUGCUAAUCCAUUGGCAAUCCCUUAACAUAUAUAUGUAAUGUUGUUUCCUGACUAACUUCACAUGGUGGACAUGUUCCAAACGGAUGCAAAUGAUGUUUGAAUUUUUCAACCUUUGUUAAUAAUCUACCAUGCCGUCGUAGCCAAGUAAAAAUUGUCAACGAGAUGAAGCCUUUAACUUCCAAAUUCUUUCCCAACCAAUAUCCUUCUCCAUUGAAUCAACAGCAUCUCCAUCCAACUGGUAAGCUGAUUUGAUAGUGAAGUCGCCACUCGAUUCUCGAACCAUGUAACGGUAUCAGGAUUAUCCAUACCCCCCGCACUCAUAGUGCUCUUAGAAUUUGCACUUGAGAACUUGAGAGAUAAUUCUUCAGAACUGUCCCAAUCCCAGUCUCCAGACGUAAGCCAAUGCUCGUAGUGCUCAUUAAUAACCAUGUUCGUUGGUUGAGAAAAUAAAAUUGCAAGAGAAAACACACUUGGUAACAGCGGCACUGGAUCACCAGGUUUCCAAUGGUAGCACUAGGCAACUCCACAGGCAUUCCAGGUUCCCAUCCUGAUGGUACAACAAUAUUAGGCCGAGCAAGAUUGGCAAGUGGAUUUGGCUCCGCUGAUUGCACAGCUAGGGUUUCAAUUAAUGGCUCUAUAGUUUUCUCCUCAUCCUCAUCUGUCUGGGAUAAACCAAUAUUAAGAUCAGUAAAACUGUACAAUUGAGAUGCCCGCAUUUGCUCCUCCUGCGGAGCAAGUGGGAGUGCCCCACGGAGGGGAGCCUGUCGAGUACCAAAUUCUGGUGGUGCGAAAGUAGUGUAGCUUAUUCUAUGGGCAUUUUACAAUAUAUCUGAAAGUUUUAGCUGAGAUGCCACGAUUGUUGAAGAAUCCUCUGUAACAUCUCCUGACUUGGACCGUUUUGGAAGGUGAUGAUCCGAGUAAUCAUCUACAAGUUUGUCAAGAACCUUUUUUUCUCUUUUUUUUUUUUCUUUUGCGGUUAGGUUGUCAAGAACCUUUCCAGCUUCCUUGAGCCUGUUUGCAAGCGCAAGAAUUGUAGCAUCUUUUGACCUGAUUUCACGUGAGAGUUUCUGUUAUGCAUCUUGAAGAUCAAGAAUUUCAUGGAGUUCCGCAACAGCUUCGGAUAGCUGAGUUUGCAGGUUUGUGAGAAAAAAGAGAGUGUUCUUUAGAGUUCCGCAAAUGCUAAUUUAAGCAGCUGCUAGAUUAUGCUAUCAAAACCACCAUCCAUCCCAGUUUGAUAAAUGACAAACAUGGAAAAUCAGAUAGGUUAAGUAAUCAACAGUCAUAUCAAACAUCCUAAUAAAUAAAGCUACAGUUCCCAUUUUACUUGAUCAUCCCCAAGGAUUUUAACCCCUUCUAAUUCUACUCAUAAAGCAGGAAAAGAUUUUUACUAAAAACCUCACUCAAAAGUGAAAAGAAGACGAUUGAAAGUACACAAAACAAGAACUCAAGCCGAAAUUUAAUAUCCGUACCUGAAGUUUGCUCAAAGGGGGGGGGGGGCCCCGGGGGGCAGCGACGUCGGCGCAGCUAAGGGCGUUAAGAUUUCAGAACGGAAAAAGAAACAGGGGAGGCGAAGGUCGGGGAAGAACGGCAUUUUGAUGCACGUUGCGCCUUGCAGAGAGCUGAUAGAGGUUCCGAAGGGGGCCGUUGGAUGACAAAUGGGGGAUGACAACUAAAGGGAAGCGCAUUGAGUCGCACGGUAUUUUACGUUUUCCCCAUUAAAAGGAGGAUUUUUUUAAAAAAAUUUAAAAAAAUGGAAAAAAGAAAAAUAAUUAAGUGCUAAUUAGUAUCUGGUAAUCAGUUUAACGCGAUCGAGGAAAUCAAAGUUGGCAUUAUCAAAAAAGAAAAAAAAAAAUAAAGUUGGCCUUCGAAUAAAUUGAUUGACAUGACAUGAGCUGUCUUUAUUUAUCUGUUUCACCACAGAGAGAUAUUUGUUUCGCAAUUUUUCAUUUUCUACGGCCUAAAUUUUGUGUCGGUUUAAAUUAGAUUUAACACCCUUGGAAUGGAAGAAAGAUUUAUAUUAUAUCAACGAAGGCCAACUUUGGCAGACAAACUAAAUACGAAUAUUUUGGAGGGUGACUUCUUGAAUUUACUAACACUUUACACGACCAAUUUAUUACUGUCAAGUUUACAAAAAAACCUGUGCAUGUAGGGCUGCAUCUGUAUGAAAGCCAGAGAGAGUUACAUGAGAUGCUUGCUCUUCCUGCUCCCGGUACCAGAAAGUUUUACUUCUGUUCACAGGAAGGUUUAAUUAACUUUGCAGCUGAAGGAACGACAGAAUAACAUCCUUCAACUGUUCUCUUGUUAUCUCCAUUCGCGCUCCCCACAUCACUGCUACCAUCCAAACUGCCAAAAACCAGAAGAACUGCGGAUACAGAUUACGGGUAGGAAAAAUUUUCCAAAUCCUCCACCGAAGCCACUUUCACAGAGAAGAAUCAUACGCCAUGAAGAGCACUUCCCAAUAAGCUAAACUUGGCCCCGACUGUAAUCAGAGGACAGCUGACAUAUUUCCUGCACUUCAAACGUUACAUGAAGCAAAAUUUUACCAUCAGCGGCUAGUGCCCAUGAUCGAGCGCAGACCAAAUUGAAAUUAAAUAUUCGCAUUACUCCUGAAGCAAUCAAGAAUCACUUCUUCUACCUUCACAUUUCUAUAUCUCAAAGACUACAAUAACUCGCACCCUAAAGAAGCUACCCCAGUAUAGGAUACUUUUGCUGCACAAAAUUGAGACUGCAAUGCACUAAAGGCUAUACAAGUUCUAACCGUACACUAUAGAGAAAUUGUCAAUUCUUCCUUUGAAUCACAAGACCAUAUCUGGUCUGGAGAUCACAGAUAUAUGUACAUAGUUUCCAUCUGGUAAUCACCUCAAAUAGUUCUACCUCUGGAGAAUUAUUCACUCUAACCUUCAAAAAACCUCAAUUCUCAGAGUGUAGCAUUUCAGAACAGGUGCAGCGUUUUCCCCUAUAUUGCUGUACAAAAAGUGACAAAAAAUUUAGCUGCUGUGACCAAGGGGAACUGAAAUGACAUAGGAUAACUGAUUAAAGAAAAGGACUUGCAAUAUUACCAAUAUAAAUACCACCAUGAUAUUCAACAUGGUAGAUAGGCUGGGUUCUUGACCAAAUUGCCGGCAGCAACCCCCAUGCAUUUUGUAUUGACAUCAGAUGAUGAAAGAACAGUUCUCUGCACAAAUCAUAAAACUAUCUACGGUGACCAACAAAACCAAAAACUGGAAAACACAUGACUGCAAAAGCUGUGUCCAAGGACACAAAGUCUAAGGACCAGCAUUCCAGUUUUAUUCUGCUAUAAAAGGUACCACCUACAAAUUAUGGAUCUAUAAAGCAUAUUGUUAUCAAUCAAAUCAUGAGAGUUUCCUAGCAAAUAUAUCUCCAUAUUGUGUUCAUGUCUUGUUUCUGAAAUGCAAAGAACCCUCAGUCACCUAAAUCCAUCGUCCUAGGACUUCGUUCAACCAUGCAUACAAGGACUGGUCCUUAACCUGUGGAUCAUAACUCCAAGUGUACCAAAGUGGCAGCAUUCAUGGCUGAUAUUACUUAAAAACAUAGAAAGCAGUCUUGACUAAAAAAGGUUGAUAUGGCUAGACACCUCCGUCUUGACUACAUAACCAAGUAAACAAUUGCCGAAGACAGCAUAAGCCAUGAACUAAAAGAACUUGGUGAGCCAAUGACUGAUGGCCUCUGUAUCUCUCACAUCAUGCCUCUCGUGAAAAAGUUGUUAAUUUAAUAGGACAGAAUCAAGGCCAAAUUUUCCUUGCCAAUGGAAAACAGCAAGUUUUUUCAUUCUCUUCAUUGUACUCUAAUUAAUAUGCAUUGCAGCAUAACAACUUUCCAUUGGAUUUCAAAAUGUCCCCACACACAAUGAACACUAGACACGCCAAAAUCAGUGUACCAUGCAUUCUUGAGCGGAAUAAUAAUAUAAACUGUGUUCGGAUGUUAAUGGAAUUCUAGACACAGUAGUGCAGAUGGACUUGCUUGGUAUCCAUUUUCGACCUUAAAACUACCAAAGAAAUGCAGCAUUCGCAAAACAUAAGAUGAAUGAAACACCAGUAUGCUGUGAUAUUUCACAAAAUAUAAUACUUACAACUGGUUCAAAAUCAGGGCUGGACAAAUUGAUGGUAAGAUUUCUCAUCAACAGCAAAACCUGCAUAUCCAGAGAAAGGGACAAUUCACCCAACUCACCGUUACCAAAAUCCACAUCAUACCAGCAACAAGACAACAGAAGAAAAGAGAGAAGUUUUUUUUUUAAAGAAAGAAAAAAAAUUGGCAGGCCAAGAGAGUCAGGAAAUACACAAGGUUUUUAUUAAACUUACAGUCUCAAAAUUUAUUGGAUCCAUCUCCUUGAGCUUCUGCACAUGACCCUCAGCAGUAGGAUCAAAGACACUGCCAAUGAAGCUAUAAACUUCAGCAAAGUCCGGUAUACCUGUAAACAAAAUUAUUAAUUGGUAAUCUCACUCUUGUUCCAAAACAAACCAAAGACAGAACGAGUUCUACACAGAGAGACUUGGAGAUGACAGUUUUCCUAUGUCAUAGAUCAUCUAUUGUGCUAUAGCCUAAAGUACCCAGGUAGGCAUCAGUACUAAAACAAUCAUGCAAUCUCAAAACAGAAUAAAGAAAGCAACAUAAAAAGCAGACUACAGUUCCACUAAUCAUUUGCCCAAGUAAAAUUCAUCUAAAACUGUUCCAGAAUGGCUUCAGUUUUUGAUAGAGUGAUUAAGGACGUACAUGGAGGGGGAAGAUUCCAACUAGUUUUCCCCAUCAAGCAAGCAAGAAAUUGUUGUCUGUCUGCUCAGACAUACAUGCAUAGAUACAAAGAUGCAUGAUCACAAGGAAUGUGCCUUGUUGCUUUUCAAUUAAUACAAAACAAUCAUAAAGGUUCUCUACAGAAAACCAUGUAAACAUCAGCUAAAAAGGACAAGCUGCAAUAUCAAUUAGAACUUUUCUGCAUCAGUCUAAUGUUUGGACAAAAAUAAAAUUUCUCCCAGACAACAGCAAUUGCAUCAUGAUGCUAUAACAAAGGCAAAAGCUAGAUCUCGCAGACAGCACUUUUCCCGAGUUAGCAAAUAUUAAAACUUUAAAAUGCUGCAGCAGAACUCAGUAAGCAAAUCUGGGAAUUGUAUAAAGUUAUUACCAUGAAGAAGUGAACCUUGCUUUUCCUGUUUUGGUAAUUCAGAAGCUGGAAGCGUUUUACUAGAACUCCCAACACCAGUGAUAUAGCUGUUUGUAAUCCUUGUAGCUCCCUUUGAUCCAAUAUCAGCUGAAUCAGUAAUGUAAUAUGUCACAAUAAUCGCAGAAAUUUCCCUCUAGUGAAUUUUUUCAGAUAGAUUAAUAUGGAAGAUUAACAGUAUAAGAUGUUGUGCAUGCCUUCGGCUCCAUGAAGACUGUACUCAUCUUGGGAAGGCAGCACUCCACUUGAUUGAGCACUUGCGAUCACAGAAGCAUCAUCCCAUGUAGGAUAUCCAGGUGCAAGAGAAUUCACUGAAGAAGGAUAAGCAAUGGAAGCUUGUACAGGAACUAAAACUGAAAACAUUUUGGAGGAAAUACAAAUCAGAAUUUCAUAAAUGUUCUCAAAACUUCUACAAAAGAAAAAUCUAUCAUCUCGUGGUCAGACCAUUUUUGGGAGCCUUCUGAGGGUAAGGAUGAGCAGCUUUGCGCUUAGGCCGUGGGGGAGGCACAUGUGCUAUUGUCCCAUUCUUUUGCACCUUUAAAAAGUAUUUCUGGGCAUGGCUGCGGAUCUGUAUAAACAGACUAUGACGUCAAUUAACUAUUACAAAGAACUGAAUGGUAACGAAAUAUGGGAAAAGGUCAUGCAAUAGAAAUUAGCACCUAAAUUUGAUAUAAACGAUAGAUUCAGAGAAUUCGAACAAUAAUUUCAUGGUCAAUAAAGAGGCCUCUAAAACUCCAAAAUAACCUAAAAAAAAGGAUCAAUAAAUACCACAAGGGAGUUGCAGUAGCAAAUUUAAGGUACAGGGUUAAGUGUAUGUCAACAAAAUACAAACAUACAUGUGUGUGUGUGUAGGAUCAGGAAUGAAAAGAGAAACUUUGCACACUAGAAGAUCACCUAUGGCGCAUUGGUAUUUUCAUUACAGGAUUGGGACCAAAAAUCAGCUAGUAGCAAUCAAACAAAGUAAAAGGUGUGUGAGACAAAAAGAUUCCCUGUCAUACACAACAUGUUAUUCUGAUAUCACAAAUCCAAGGCCUUACCAUGGUUCACUCAGUCUCCAAGGUGUCAUUAUGCCAAAUAUAUCUGCAAUAUGCUAGCCAAUCAAAGGCUGCAAGUAUCAAUAUCUUAAUGGUUUUUAUUUAUCGCACAUGGACAGAAAAACCUAAAUUCCGUACACCGUAUAAAAUUACCAAAGCGUACAAAAGUUUCUAGAAAAUGCACAAUGAAAAGAAGAAUACAAGGUGAAAGAUCUGCCUUUGGCAGGUGAAAUAGACACCUGAAUUACAGUCUUCGAACCCACAAAAUCUUCAAUUUUCUUCCAAUCCCUGUCAAACCUAAAUCACCCAGAAAGAAAAGUAAUCAACACUAUUACUUCCCUAGCUAGUUGCCCUGCUUGCAGGGUUCAAAAAAAAAAUCUUGGUAACAAGAACUGUAGGACACCAAGCAGAGACGUCAGGAAUGGUUUUGGAAGGAAAAAAAAUGCUCUUCUUUUAGUUUAAUGCAAUGCUCUGCCAAUCAAUAAAUCGAGCUGACUAAUCAGCAGCUACGAAAGUCUUCCUCAUUGAUUCGCAGAAAGCCAAUUAUAUCCUAUGGAGCUAUGCCCCUUUAUGGGGGCUGUCUCCCUAACAGUAAGGCAAAUGUUUUUUCAGCAAAAUGUUUCAAUUUGGUAUGUUUCACAAAUUGAACGCAUAAAUAGAAUAAACCAAACUCCAUCUAGCCUGUAAUUCCACUCCAUAGCUAAGAAGUUAGCAUUUGAGCGAAUCUAUAAGCAGUUCGCAGUUGCAAUGGCUAUCUUAGUAUUAAUAAGCAAGAGCCGAAAAUAAAGUAAAAUAUCGUUAAAAAUUCGUAAAGGAACCAACUCAUUUUUUUUCCAAUUAAAAUUAAGAUGGAGACUCAAAAACCAAAAAAAAAAAAAAAAAGAAGAAGAGAGAGAGAGAGAGCGUGAGCAAGAUGUGGUAGUACUGACAUAUGGAACUACAAGGGAGAGGAUGUUUACAGUUGAAGAGCUUCCAGGAACUUGUCGUGCUCUUCUUCGGUCCAGCUCUCUCGGGACUUGGUUAUGGUGUAGGGUUUUCGGAUCUUCUUGCCAGACCCGCACCCGUAAGCGUCGGUGUUCGUGGCGGUAGUGGUUGGAGUUGCUGAGUUGGGCAUGGACUGAGGAUCGGACGACGACGACGUCGUCAUCGUCGGGGUGGAAUUCAUACCGCACCCUAUAAAGAUUUCACCACAGCCAAACAAAAUGUACUGCACUUUUUAUUAAUUAGUACUCUAAUCAGAAAACGGUACUAAGAUGAUGCAGAGAAAGAUAGAGAGAAGGCGUUGGCAAGGGCGGUUUUCUUGUGAAUGCAAGGUUCGAUGAUUUGAGGCCAGUCAAUUAAUCGUGUCACUUUCUCAAUGCUCCUGCGAUUAAUCGGCUUCCUUAGCUUUUACUUUCACAUUCACCUUCCGGAGGAAAGAAUUCUAUGUGCUCGUCAAGUGGAUGAAACUUCGACGUGUCAUUCACUCGUUUAGCCAGUCAACAUCAACCUAUAGAAGGCGUUUUUUUUUUUUUGUGUGAAAUAAAUUUGUUUACAAACCAAGGCAAAACACAUGCCCUUGCAGACCGUCCUCUACAAACUUAGAGAGACCAUGAGCGGCUCAUGGAUGGUUCACGGCCAAGCCAAUUCAAGCUCAUAGAUGAUGGUUUGGUAGAUGAAAGUAUAUAAAACCUCCAAUGCGUGAGUAUUUAUAGAUUUUUAGAUUGUGAAUAGUAUCAGAACUAGAGUUCACGAGUUCAUAUAUGAUCUUCUAUUCCAUCAAAUUUUAUUUUAUAUCGAAUUGAGAGAGACAUGCGUCCAUUUAAUAUUAGAUUUGAAUUAAUAAAAUAUCAAAUCAUAAGAAUUUAGGGAAGUCAAUCUUGAAUUGAGUGCUUAGGAUUUUACAAAAAUAAAAUAAAACUGGUCCUUAUUUCCUAUCUAAAAUAGAGUAUAAGAGGAUGCGUGUUCAUUUGAAAUUAAAUUUAGGUUAAUAAAAUGUCAAGUCAUGAGAAGUCACUUUUACCCAAAAACUUCGUGAUUUCAGAAAAAAGAAAAAAAGAGAAAUCACUCUCAAUCUGAGUUCUCAUAAUCUCAUAAAAAUUAAAAAAUAAAUAAAAUCUUUUUCUAAGUUCUAACAUUUAUUUUGGCCAAAAAGUCAAUACAUUAAUUUGCUACGUCAAUAAACAUGUUUAAUAGUAGCUUUUUGAAAAAAUCAUCAAUGUUAUAAUAACUAAAGAAAAACGUGCUUAAAUACUGCGAUCAUAAAUCAAAUCAAUAAUCGCUUUGAUAUCUAAAUCUGAAAUAAAGUGAUGCUAUCAAUAGAUUUUGCGAGACGGAGGUCAUCUUUCUGAGUCGCAAUGCUACGACGACAACAUGAAACACAGCUUGGAGGAGAUACACGUGGUGAGUCACAAACAAAAUUCCUAAGAGCACACGCAAAGCUUUGCUCCUGCGGUCGCCCCUACCCGAUCUCUCAAUUUCAAUUUGCAUGCCAGCGCCGCCGAUGAAUUGUGAAGUUGUAGCGAGCAAUCGGAAAGGCAGAGGAGCACACUUAAAAAGUUAGUGGGCCCAUUCGUGAUUUCUUGAUGCUACGUGAGCAUCAAUUCAGUCCACGCAUUCCAUGGUCAUGUGACGUCGUGUCAUGUACGAAUCAAUAAACAAAUAAGUAAAUGACUACGAGCAGUUGCUUGGCCAAUGCUCCUAGCAAUUCUCAAGCGUGUUAGUUAAACUGAUACUCCUAUGACGUUGCGGGUUCACCGAAAACAGAAAGAAAAUGCCAACAGCCACAUUUUCCUGCGCCAGAAUUGGAGGCCAUUGUCUGUUGGAUCCUCGGAUUCGAACGGCUACGAAUGCGCUUAAUCAUGUGUGGUGGAUGAUCGGGCCUGCCAGACCAGUUUACCAACACCCUGGGGUCAGAGCAGUUGCUUCUUCGACUUUACUGGAGAGGAAAUGACAGGUGGCAGCUGAUGAUCCACUCAACUUUAUCAACAUCUUCUUUACUUGUCCCCACCCCAACUGCGGGCACACGGGGUUGGGUUAAAUGUGCCGCAAGCAACAAGGGCUUCACCCAAUCUUUGAAUUCCAGCAACCGAGACUGGUGAGGUGAGACCUAAGGCUCCAUCAGAUCAAAAUCAAAAUCAUCCACCUGCUUCUUAUUCCCCAUUUCACAUGCUUCACAAUUCACACUACUGUCUGUUUAGUUGAAUUAGGAAUUUGAUCAUCAAGAAAAUGAUAACUUUUUUGCUGGUUAUUGUCAACCAUACCAUCUCAUUAAGACAAGGGAAGAAUUACUCCAGUUUUUCCAUCCUUGUGGUUAUUGACUUGAUUAUUUUAUUUUCCUUAUUUUUUUGAAUGGCAGGACUGGCAUUUGAUGAUAGGUAAUUAGGUAUCUCCCAAUUCAGAGAACCCGUGGUAUAUUUUGAAAUCUAUAUCUAUUGCAGAAGGGGUUUUUAGCAGAGACCCUCUCAAUGGCUUCUAAACUUCUCAUUCUUUUUUCUAAAUUUUUGUAUUUAUUUUAAUACAUAAAAAAGUAGUGGGUUAUAACCAACCCUAUGACCAAUCAAACUUAAAAUUUAAAAUAUUUCCACUACCUACUUCAUAAACCGUUUAUACUUUGUUAUUUAUACUUUAAAUCUUUUUUAUUCCUUAAUUAAAGACAAAUGCUCAUUCGUAUGCUAUUUUAAUACAAUGUUACAUUCUUAUAAUUAAGAGAUAUUUAUCACCAAACUAACCCUAUAAUCACCCCUACAAAUGAGCUUUGCAAAUUACAAUCACGUUUCAAAAAAAAUCACAAAUGUGCAACUAAAUGUAGAGUACAACUGAAUGUAAAGUUGAGGGGAUAAAGUGCAGCUAAAUUUAAAGUUAAGGGGUUUACUAUAUUUAACCCUAAAAAAAUCCCAAGAACGGAACAAGUAGUGGGUUAUAGAUUUUUGUCUAGAUUUUUAUAUUUAUUUUAAUACAUAAAAAGUAGUGGGUUAUAACCAACCCUAUCACCAGUCAAAUUUAAAAUUUAAAACUUUCUCAUAAUCUACUUCAUAAAUCGUUAAAUAUAUUUAUACUUUAAAUCCUUUUUAUACUUUUGUAUUUAUUUAUAUUUUAAAUCCUUUUUACUCUUUACUUAAAGACAAAUGCUCAUUCACAUGCUAUUUUAAUACAAUUUUAAUUCGGAAACACACAACAUGAUUAAGAAACAGCAGAACCAACAUGAUCAAGUUUUGAAAAUACACUUAAUAAAAAAAAUCAAAUCCUACCUCCUAUUACUUUUUUUUACCACUACAUACCACCAAUCAGCAAUAGACACCCAUUACUACCACUACUACCAUUGCCCCCUUCCGUACUCUCUUGUUUUCUUUUUCCUUCUCCUUUCUUCUCAUUCUUUCUCUGUCCUUCCCCUCAUUCUUUUUUUUUCCUUCUUCUCCCUCUUGCAAUUGGAUCUGGUUGCGACGAACGAGAAAGAAGAAAAUAGUGAAUAAGAAAGGAAAAAGGAGGGGACUAAGAAAAGAAAAGAAAUGGAAAGAGAAGAGGACUAUGGAGGAAAGAUGAGAGGUAGUCAUAUGUGGAAGCGGUGGUGAGUGGUUGUGAUAAGAAGUUUUUAAAAAAUUUAAAAACAUUUCAAUAAAAUUUUAAUUUUUAAAAAUACCCCAAUAAAUGACUUGAGUGACAAAUUUUUUACAUACAAUAUUUUUUGAAAAAACACCCAAAAAUAAUAUAGGAUUAGCAUUUAUCAUUACCAUUUCAAUUAUCUAAUAGUUAGAAGUUAAAGCACCAAAUUGACAAGGAAAAAUACCAUAAACCUCCAUUGAGAUUUCUUUUAAUAUCACCUAACAUCUCUAAAGUUUUAAAAAUAUCACUCGCCUCCCUUACUUUUGUUAUUUGUGUAACAAAAUUUUAAAAAUUCAUAAUUGCCAUUUUGUUUGCUAAAUAAAAACACUCCUAAACCACUUUAUUUAUUCCAAGAAAAUUAUCACCUAAAAACAAUUUCUAGUAAUACUACCACAUCACAAUGUGCUACAGUUCAUAAAAAUAUAAAUUUAAAAAUAAAAAGAUAUUUACAAAGAAAUACGUUAACACAAAUUUAACUUUAUAUGCUUAAAAUUGAUUUCUUAUGAAUCUAUAUUUUUUUUCCAACUUAUUUUUAACAUGUGCCUAAACUUUUAAAUUGUACUGCUCAUUAUAAAAAUCAAAUCAAAAUGAUAAAGAAAUCACACCUCACAUAUUGCAAUAACAAAAAAUAAAAGAUAAACAGAAUUCAAUUUACUAUAAUUUACAAAUAAAAAGUUGCACAGUCAUCCAAAAAAUGAGUAAGAGAGAAUGUUAGAGAAGAGAGAAAGAGAAGACAGUGAUUUUUGUUUCUUAUUUUUUUAAAUUUAGAUUUUCAUUUAUUUGAUAUGUGAAUUACGUAUCAAGUGUGAGCUAAUAUAGUUUUUUUUUUUUUACAAUUAUCAGGAGAGGUAAGUGAUAUUUUCAAAACUUCAAGGGCGCCAAGUGAUAUUAGAAGAAACCUUGGGCGAGGUUUCUGAUAUUAAUUUCGACCAGGAGAAGAAACCUCAAAAGUCACUAGAAAUUCAGGGACAAGACAUGUAAUUUCGACUCAUCCCAAAUUCCCAAUUGCAGUUAAGGGGGAAAAAGCAAGAGAGAGAAAAAAAUCUCCGAGGGAGAGAGGGAUUAUCGUUUCAGUCUCUGCAACGCUGAAAAUAAUCUACUCUCACUGAUAGCAAAAGCGCGAUUGGUGAGUUUUGAAGCCUUGAGUUCCCGGUGAAGAAAAAGAUACCGAAUGGAUAUUCGACCUGCAUUUGGAAGCAUUUCAUCAUACACUUUAAGGCCUGAUUCAAGAAACAGAAACGCUUUCAGUUUUAUACCAUAUUGCUCAAGAAAAGACUCCAAACGACAGCCCCAGCAAAAUGGGAACAACGACGACGACGACAGAAAUGGAGGUACUUUUAUCUUUCUAACAUAUACAGUUUUAUAACUUCGAUGUGCUUUUGGUGCUAGCGUAUUUGUUUAUCAAGUUUUUAGGCCCCGGUGGUUAAGGACCUUUUUAAUUUCCUCUUAAAUGAAUGUUCGAUUCUCACCAUUCCCACAGGCCUUUAUGAAAAAAAAGGACCUUUAGCUAAAUGGGGAGACUAAAUUCGAUAUGUUCUUGACGGAGGGGGUUCAUAAAAGGUUUUGGUCUCUUGGAUUGUCAGUGCCCACGUAGAAAGGUCACCGUAAUUUUCUCUCUGUAUUGGCCAUUACUUGGAAGUAGGAACAAACAGAUAGACAGGAAAGAAAGGAUCAAAGAAAGAAUGGAGUAUAUAUUUUUUGAAUCUCUACUGUAUGGUCUGGUCGAGUUUGUAGUUAAGCCCCGAUUCAUGAUGGGUAUAUACCGUUUAUUAGGAGUUCAAUGCAAUAUAUUUACCUAAAUUCUGUGGACUUUUAAGUAGUGUCUGUGAAUACUUUUAAGCUUUACAGGUCUCAAUAAAUGAAGCAUUAGCUUGGUUGUUCAGUCCAUUAGGCCGUUCAAAAAGCAAUUAAUCAAGUUUUGCUGCAACCAACAUCUCUGCUUUACUCAUUUAGUUUAUGGAAUCGGACCAAUUAAUGACGCAUUUCAAAUGUUUCUGAUGGCAUCUUUUGAUUGUCUGUCCUUUUCUUUUCUUUUCUUCUUCUUUUGUCUGCUCAACUCUAUCGCAAGAUGUUGCUGAAAAGACCUUGCAGUUCAUGGUCGUGCAAAGUCAUCUCAGUUUGUAAAUUAGUGCUUCUGCUAUCCCUUCUUUUUCCCUAAAAAAAAAGAAAGAAAUGGAAAUUUGGUUAUUUUUAAACUUAAUUGAAGGUUAAAAGAUGUAUGAUCUGAUAAAAUCCCACUUUUUUGGCAUUUUUUCUCUACUAGUCCUUUUCUCAAUCUUGGAAUUUCACUUCUUAUAUUUCAGUAUAGCUAAUUCUCUCAAUAGUAUAUGGAGCAGGGUACUUUGUUCUUGUAAUGCUUACACUGUAAGUUAAUGUCCGUCUUUGUUGAUGAUCUCAAAGCAAUGAAUCAACCUGUAUAGUCUUGAAGAUAAAGUCAUUUAUUGAUUGUAAUGAAGUUAGGAUGCCAUUAAAUUAGAAAAUGGAAUCACUAAAUAGAAACUUAGAUACUGAAAUAUAUUUGAUAUGAGUAUCUGCAGACAAAACUUUCCAUGUGUCAGGUGAAUUCCGUGUUUAUGCCUGCCACACUUGUUUCUAUGGUAUCAGAUUUAUCCAAAAUUGGAGUGUGUUUGAAAUCAGCACCCGGAGAUAUGUGUUGCAUGGGCUUUCCUUCUAUUGUAUGCUAAAUCCAACUGAUCAAGGAUCCAAAGUAGCAUGUCCAGAUAAAUUUAACAACUAUCGUGGAAGUAUACAUGCAAGAAUAUAUACGCAUCUGAAACCAUGCUAAAGAACAGAUCAUUAGUAUGCUGUAUUACUGCCAUGUUAUGGUUUCAUGAACUUGUUGGUGAGUUCUAUGAAUAAAUGAAAACUAUCUCAUGGUUAUUACCAACAGUACGUGAUAUGAUAAUGAAAGGUUAGGACAUGUUUUUUUCUGAUUACAUAUCUAGAUUGGUACCAUUUUCUCUGUAACUUAAGGUGCAUAUAGUUGCACGUAUAUAGGAAUUUAUGUUGUUACGUGGAGACUGGAUGGUUCUUUGGUAGUGGCUUAUUGGUUCAAGAUUUUGCUCAAUUGUAAUCGAGCUGUAUUCUUAAGAGGAUUUAAUUAAUGGCUACAGGUAAAAGAGUGUUUCGUAGGAGAUAAAUAAAAAGAGGUAUAAAACAGUGCUGAGCUGACAUGGGACAUGUUAAUUGCUCAAUUGCUUUUAGUGUUCUUAAUUAAGUAUAGAAUGGUAGACAGGUUGCAAGUUGAGCUGACACGGGACAUGUUAAGACUGGUGAAGAACUAUUGGGAAGAAAACUAAGAUGCCUGCUAUAUAUACUUGGAGAGUGUGGUUGGAAAAGCAGACUUCCAAGGUUUGGAAAGUGCUAUUUCAAAGAGAAACAUUGGAAGUUUGGGACAUUUAGUCAUAGAUUAAGAAAAAAGAUAUAUUGAUAGAGAUUUAAUAAGAAUUUCUUUUAUCAUUUUAUUGGAGGAGAGUUGAUUCAUAAGUUGGUGGACAAAAUCUUAUACACCUUCUCAAGUGCAGGAGCUUGUAAGUCUUCUAAAAUUUGAAAUCGCUCUUUGUACAUGUAGAAUUGAUAAGUUUAAGAUUUUUUCUCAUUUCAUAUGCUUAAACUGCCUGCAAAAUUACAAGGAAGAAUUUAGCAUUGAUUGUACUCCUAAUUAUUUAGGUGACAAGUUCUCAACUGAUUGGGACAAGGCCUGGUCAAGUUACAGGAAGCGAGGGAAGAAGACCCUGUUUUCACAGUUUUCUGACAAGUAUGUGAGCUGGAACCCCAGGCGUUCUGACUACCCACUGUCUGAGGAAGUUGAUCCCAUAAAAAGAACAGAGAAGUCAAACCUCAAGUUGUGGACCAGUCAGAGUUUCACUCUUGGCGGUGCUAUUCUUAUAGUCACGCUUCUUUUGAUCUACACCAUUCUUGCACCAAUCAAGUGAAUUCAUUUGACUUUGUUCGCUACUUAGAAACAACUUUGUGCUGUAAUGAUCCAUAUUCAGUAAGCGAGUUCAGGAAAGGAUCAUGUAAAAUGUAACUUGAUGCAGCAGCUUCUGUGAGUAAAUAUGGUGAAUCUACUGUUUUCCAUAAUUUGUUUGACCUUAUUUAAAUUUUUAGUGUCUGCUAUUGAAAAGUUAGUUUAUGGCCAGUCAUUUUUCAACAUUGCUUCGAUUGAUCCGGUCUACAUAGUGAAUUGUCACUGCCAACCAAAGUUGAUUGUUUAGUGGUCUUACUAUCUAUUACAGAGGGAAGAUUUCCUGGUGGAAAGUAUGAUUCGGUGGCUACCAUUGUUUGCAGAAAACAAUCACUUACUACUGUCUGCCAAACUGGAAGAUAAAGUAAUGCCUUCUGGCAAGCCCUGCUUGUUGGGAAAUUUUGUCUGAACUCUUGCUCAUGUUGUUUGAUGAAUAUGAUUUGAAGCAGAAUAUCUGUGAGGGACUUUUUGCAUUACUUCAUUAAUUUUAUGUUUCUUCCUUGUUUUCUUUUAAACUUAACAUGAGAAUUGCAUGACUUCCCUCCUUACCAGUAUGAGAGAUUUCUUUCUCUUUUUAUGUUUCCUUGGGGUGGAAAAACUCCCAUUAUUGGGUCUGAGGUCAAAAUUUCAACUUGUCAAGCUCAUAUUAUUUAAUUCAGCAGGGUAGCAUUGAAAUUUGUUGUAUGAUCUCCUGCAAAUAAUCACUUCAUUAUUACGAUUAAUUAUCAGUGAUUCAGAUGUUGUUGGUCUCCUGUAUGUCUCUGUGUCUGUGUGCCUGCUCACUUAUUACAUCUAUGACUGUAAAUAACUUGUUUUCCAUCUUUUCUUCUUAAUUUUCCAUGCACUUGUUCGCAAAGUAGGUUUUGCUGAUUGUUGGUAAGGAAAAAUCUCCCAAGACAAAUUUAGAAGCUGAAAUAAUUAAUGUGCUUUCCUGUCCAUGUCCUUUUUCUUCUUCUCUCCCUUUGUGCCUGCUUGAUGUUUUCGGUUUGUCUUAUUCCUUUUUCCGUUCUACUUUUUUUCCUGAGGGACAACAUCUUGGCCUGUUUGCUCAUUUUGACUGGCAUAGCUUUCAGGAUCCUUUUGAUGAAAUGCUUAUGUCUUGCAGGAAGUAGAAAAACUCAGAAAUCGACUGAGCUUGCUUGGCUCUGGAACACGUGUGGGACACUCUUCAGGUAACCAGUGACACGCUGUCUACUUUUUCUUUUUUUUUUUUCCUGGGGGUGGGUGGUGGUGGGGUCAACCAAUGAAGACUCCUAUAUUUGAGAAAACAUAACUAAUAGCAAAGUUAUUAUUGUCUCUUUUAGGUGGAUUUAUGGCAGACCACUUGGAAGUUAUUCAUAUUCUGAAGGAUGGCAUCCAUGUGCAUUAUACUUUAUGCAUUGUGUGUUCAAUUGACCUGAUUGAAUACUCAAAUUUGAUUGCUUGUAGGUAGAGCGUGCAGGUUGUGAGAUACUUGUUUGAGUAGUCCUCUGGAGAUUAAGCACUUUUAGGAAGCAGGUAUCUCAGGUAUAGUAGAAGCUAUGUUAUACGGACUCUUCAUUUUGUACUAGAGUACCCAUGUACACAGGACUCUCGUACCCGAGUCUGAGUAAGAUAAGAGUACAAGAGUGAGAUUGACAUCUUAAUCAUCAGCAUUUAACUUUUUUGAACUUAUUUAUUAUCACAUGAUUUAAGCAACUUUGUUUGUAGCAUAUCAAUUGCUAUUUAACUUAUUUUUAACCCGAGCAACUCUUACAUAGUAUAUUUUCUCUAGAGAGAAUUAAGUUUAGUUUAAUAUUUUUUGCAAGGGCAAUUGAUAGGAAGAACAUUAUAAUUUAAAGUAUGCAUAAUUCUAGAAGUUAUUCCCCAUUAAUAUUGAUAGAGGUUUUUCGUGUGCUUUGGAAAAUCCUAGAGGAUAUCUCUGUAACAAUGACAAAAUUGAGGCAAGCUCAGUGUAGUAUAUACUUUAUGAUGAGUUUCCAUUCUGUAUAAAGGUAUACAUAUGUUUGCUAGUAUUUUUCCAACUUGUUUCUUCUCCUAACUUUCUUCAAAAUGCAGGUAAUUAUUGUUCUCAAAGAUAUUGUUCUCCGCAGAUUUCAUCUGUUUUAUUCAUCUACAUCAAUUUUGAAGCUGUUAGAAUAUCCAUCUGCACGUUUCUUUAAUGCAGCAUCUCUAUUUUCUCUCAUAUCUGCUUAUGAUAUGAUGUCUCCUCAUUGUAAAGGGUAAGCUGACUUCAAUGGCCCAUACUGAAGAAGUUACUAAAGUCCAGAAGAAGCAGUUGUCUCAGCUCCCUCCACAGCAAGGCCAGGUUAAGGUUGAGAUUUUCUGUAUAUCAUGAACUUCUCGACUGAAUGGUUCCAAAGUUGAUACAGAAUACAAGAGUACCAAGAGGAUGAAUAGGAAAGUUGUGGUGCACUGGUAGUUGCAUGCAGUAAAGGAGAGACUGUUCAUCAUGCAUCACGAGGAAGGUAUACUGUUAAACCGGUUUUAUGCUAGCUAGCUCGGCAUGAUAGUCAGGAACAACCCAGGGAUGAUAGCAGAAACACGGCUAUCAUCACAUCGGACCCCGGGAUGAUCACGUCCGUCAUCUUGUGUAACCAAAAUUUUCCGCUCCAAUGUUAUUAUUGAUCAAAGUUUAACCAGAUUAGGGUCACAGUUUUCAUCACUGGUGAACGAACAUCAUCUGCAACAUGCUCUUUCACCAGUCCGGCACCCUGAAAAAUGUGGGUUCUCUCCCAUGUGCUGCUAUUACUUAAAGAGGACGGUGUCAUCUUCUCUCAAGUAAAUCAUCUUUAAGGUUUCUGUUGUCGUCCACCUUGUAACAGUGAGGGAAAGUACUAAGAGUCUUCGGGUUUUCUUGUGGAUUGGUAUCAUGGCACUUUCUAUACUUCGGAAGUUGGUGUAAAGAAAACAGAAAAAUCAUCAAGUGCGGCGAGCGCAGAAUGGUAGAAACAUGUUAAGUUUUUUUUUUUUUUUUUUGUCGACGGAGUGGGGUGUCCGGGUCAAGUCCGUAAAGGCGGCCCGACUAAUCCCCACUUCGGCCCGGCCUAGCGCCCCAACCGGACCUAGCACGUUGAAACAUGUUAAGUUGAAUGGGUAAUAGAAACAGUUAAAAUGGACUCUACUGGGCAGAAAUUUUCUCGAAUAGAGUGCCUAUUACAAUGCUGAUAAAGCCGAGGAAGGAGUUAAUGAAUGUUUAAGUGCAUGUAACACUGGAUCACUUGACAAGUCAAGCUUCAACUGAUAUAUUCCUGUAGGCCGCGGCAUAAACGAGAACAUAAAAGAAACAAUUUCUUCUGAAAAAUAACCAAACUGAAUACCUUUUCUUUUUUUGCAUUCAUAUUCAUCACUACUGUUUAAAAGGCAUAAAUGUCUCCUAUGCUUCGUACCAAAAAAGCAAAGGAAAAACCACAAGGGUUCCCAAGUAUCUAUUUGUAAAUGUGUGAUCUAAAGGGGAGGUUGAGUUCUGCAAUACAAGUGCUAACACCACAGACACGUACGGUCAUGUACCGCAUGUAUCAUUCAUUCAUUUGAGGCAGCAUUGGUCACAGACGAUAGCGGACAUCAUAAUCAAAACUGCAUAAAGAGGCCUUUGGUGGAAGAUUUGCCUUUCCUUUUGUCGUCAAUGAUGCAGCCACUACAUUUUCUUGGUUUUUAGGAAUCCGGAAUGAGGACUUAUUAUUUAAGGGUUGAAAAUUUGGCCAUCGACUUGUCACUAGAUGGCUGUAUCAAGAUUACAGUCAUUUUCCUACCGAAAAAAGGGCCACAAAUGAUGAUAUUUAACUAUCACAUGCUCCAUCCUAUCAAAGUUGUAAGCCAAUUCCUCAAUGAAUAGACAUCCCUCUUGCCCCAACGGAGAAGGCAAACCAAGAAAACAUUUUCAGGAGACUAAAGAAAUCUCUUCUGGACAGCUCCGAUCCAUUUGAUCGCACGGAGUACUCCAUCUGUGUUAACCGGCAGACAAAAUCCAAUGUAACCUCGAUAUAACAACAAAAUCGAAUAAAAGUCCACGAAGGUGAAAACCAUAUCCAGCCCAACCGACAGAUGAGAGACUAUUGGCUUUAGUAGAAUGUAGACUCUGCCUCUUACCAAAGAUCAAACUCUAUCACUUGGUUCAUUGAUUUGAAGUGAUGCUCUCGAUAAGCUUGCUUCCAGUUCAUCCAACUCAUCCACGUCCAAGUCGUCGUCAUCAUCGUCAUCAACAUUGUCAUCAGAAAGCGCUUCAGCAGCUUGGGCAACUGAAGUUGAAGAACUUGGUCCGUCUGUAGUAGAGACUUUGUCACCCUAAAAGCCACAAUCAUAGUAUACAAUGUCAAUAACGCAACAAUAAGAAUUUUGAACAAACAAGUGAACCACAGCGCACAUUGGGACAACAUAGAAUCAUUUACAGUCCUUUGGAAUGAUGGAUUUUAGUUCAAUGAAGAAUUCCAAAUUAAUGGAUUUGCAAUUCUAAUUAGUCAGAAUAUUUUGUUUGGCAUAGGUUUUACCAAGAUGAGAAUUAAUAUAGAUCAAAACAAGUUGGGGUGAAAAUACAAAAUUUAUAAAAUGUAGGGGCGAUUAUUGGAUAAUUCCCUUUUCUUUAUUCUCCAACUCCAAGCAACUGAUUGCUCUGGAUGCCUCUGUUUCUUCUCUUUUCCAGCAAUGCAGGAGGUGGUGACAAUCAUGAUGACAACAUCACUACUCUCUCACCCACACACUUGCAUCCACCUGAACGCAUUUUAGGGUCCUCAUAAUCAUUUUUGUUUCACUUACUCUAUAUGCCCCUUUUGUUUUUGCUGUCCGGGGAUGGCCAUCACUGGCAAUCACACAAGUUCGCAUGUCUGAACUCGAAGAAAGCAGCAGGGGCCAUAAAAUAGUUGAAUUAGAGAGGAAGAAAGAAAGGGAGGAUUUGAAAUAACACCUAUUUCAUUAGUUUUAGCUCUCAAAAUCCCUCUUCCAGCUGCUGUAUUUCAAAUCCAGAUAUGGGUUAAGUUAUCCAAACAACAGAAGGUAUUUCGGCAAAGGAUUUCAAAUCCAAAUCCACCCAAUUACCCAAAUCCUUCAAUACAAAGCAAGGUCAACAGGGAUAGAUUGGGUCAUCACUAAAGCAAGAUCACAAGCCACUGUAAGGCCCACAACCAGAAAAGGAAGACAUGAUAAAUGUAGGAAAUUAGAUAAUUAUUUCCGCAAAUAUACAUGGGUAAGAAUAAGCUAUUAUUUCCUCAUUUCUUUUUUCAUUGUUCCCCCAUUUCUUGAGUUCCUUUUCAAUGCAGGGCAUCUUAGAAGUCGUCCUUCAAGUUGUCUUAGAAUGGUAGUUUAACUGCAAUUUGUUUCCUGAGGUGGUUAACUAAUGGAUAGAAGCUACUUCAGUAGCGCACUUACCAUGUGCUUCAUUAAGCAAUUUUUGUAAUCUGUCAAUCAAGGAUGCCAAUAAAAUUUCCAGCCCUAAACAGUCUUUUAGCUGCAGCAGUACUUCAUGCUCGUUCCUUUUUUCGGGGGUUUUUUUUUUUUAGGGGGGGGGGGGGGGGUUUAAAAAGUAAGUGCUCUUUGAUGAAAAAAAACCUUUGCUUCAUGUUUGUACUUCACAUUUCUAUGUCUUUGGGUGUGAAAAACCUUAUCAGAACCAUACAUUUUUAUCAAUGCCAACCUCCGUCUAUGCAACCUCAGCAGCACACAGACAAAGAUGCACAAUUAUAUCCAGAGACAAAAAAGUAUCCGUACCAGUAAUGAUCACGCUUGAAAGCCAGAACACAAGAAGUCUCAAAGUAGCCUCAAGAAAAUAAAACAUGCUGACAAGUUUAGCAUACCUUUUGUUCAGGAACAUCCGACUCUUCGUGUCUCUGGUACCGGUCAUAGGCCCCAACAUCAUCCACAAACAAGCUAGCAUCUGACAGGAACAGCUCGCGACCACUACAGCAUUGGUAAUCAGACAUUCAGUGAGUAGUUACAGUACUGAUAGUGUUUGUCUACCCACAAAAGCAACAAGGCUCAACAAAAGAGGGGAUAACCAAGGUUGAUACCUCAUACGAUCAUUUUUAGCCCUAUCAGCCACCUGAGCAGCUAAGCUAGCAUCUCUUUCCUCCAUCUUUUUCUUCUUCCAUUGCACAAAAAGCUCAGGAGUCAUAGGAGUUGUAGUCGCUACUUUUGCACGCUGGUUAUAAAAAGUAUACACUUGUCAAGAAUAAUUCCAACUUGAAAUAGCAACAGGAAAGCCUGUAACUGAAUGGGAAUAAGGUCUUUCCAGUUUACCUGAUCUUCAAUCUCCUCUUCAAUAGAUAUUUUCUCAGUUUCUUCCUCGAUCAGAGCCUUGAUCUGAGAUUUUAGAACAUAUCCAGGAGGAAGAGCAUGUCUGUAAUGGCAAUCUUUACCACCAUUUGGGCACACCCAAAACCAACCAUAUUGCUUUUUCUCCACUGCUUCCAAAAAGUAUUUACAUACCUGCCAAUAGUUUGGACAUGAGUAUGUAAGUUAUUACAAUCUGCUGUUCCAUGUGUCACCCAAGGAAUAUAGAGAAAAAAGAAAAGGAGUAAUAUUUUGAAAAGCUUGGGAAAAUGCAUAUACCGGGAAUAAAUCACCCCUUGCAGAUUGGGAUUUAUAUAUCUAACUAAUAAUCAGAAAUCUUGAGAUAUCCUUUUUGGCAAGCCUAUAGCUCUCAUCAAAUUGAAAAAAUGUUGUUUAUGAUAACAUCAUCAUUAAUUAACACAAAAUAAAACUAGUAUUUUUGACUUGCCACAUCAGCUUAUAAACAUCCACAUUAAGUCAAACAACCAGGAAUUGGAACACAUAAACUCAAAAGGAUAAAUUUUCAUUGCUCAUAGACAGUUUAAAUGAUGAAAGUUUUGCAGGUUUGGACCGGUAGAAUCCUACAACAACACAGGAACAUAACUACCAACUAUGCAAUACUUUGCUCUUCCAAUGCCAUCAAUUUGCACAAUGCUUGGACAACUGCAAAAAAUCUCAAUCUUUUGGCGCGAAUCCAGUUUCUAAACCACCUAUUUCAAUUUAGAGGGGAGACAUUUCUCCAUGUCUAAACAGUCCUUGAAAUUUUCGUCCUAACCUGAAGUAACCGUUUUAACAUAGUCUUGCCACCAAGCCUUCUUUUCAGAGCAGGAUUACAGAAGUUUUAUCAUGCAUUUGUUGCAAAGACAUGCAGGUUUUGACUGAUUUAUGAAAAAAAAAAAAAAAAUUCAAGUGCAUAAGAACCCUCUUACAACAAAGACCAAGAAUAUAUUUCGGGAAAAGAGUAUUUUUCAAACAAUGACAACAUUGAUCCAGAUAAAUGAUAAUAAAAAGAUGAAUAAAUCAAAUUAGAAACUUUCAACCACCUGCGAUGCCAAUUAAGGAUACAAAAAAAGAAAAGACUAAUUAAUCAACAAAAUUUGCAUCAAUAGGACACAAAAUGAAAUUGUAUCAAAAGGGAAAUGUUGAAAAUCAUAGUUCUAGUUCAGAGCAUCAUUCAAAUGUAAACUAUGGACCAAUGUAAACACAUCAAUGGGACUAAAGGACUUACUAUAUCAGUUGGCUUAUUUUUAUUAUACUCGUUACUUUUCGACUCCACAACCUUCUCCAAUGUCUCCUGAUCCCAGUCAGCCAUUGUAUCUUCUUCUUUCCCUUCAAACCCAAAGAAAAGCAUGGAACAUAAGUCAAACCCCACCGAAAGGUUCGAGGGCCAGGGAGGAAAAAAUGGGGAAGGGGGGAUUAGAGCUAUGAUAAAGCAUGCAUAUAGUAGGUUAACCUUUGAAAGAUUUUGACUUUUGGGAGAGGUUCUCGAAAAAUAUUAAUGCAGCACUUAAUUUGGAAGAGUUUAAAAGGUGGUCAGAGAGCAUGCUAAAAAUUCUCUUGAAAAAUUUUUCCACAAGUCCCUACAAACAGAGGGUAAAUAUUUUUUUUUGUUUACCUUGAUCACGCGUGUCGCUGUAGAUAUCAAUUUUCUCCCCCUUCCUUUGAACAUUCAAAUCGUGUGAGAACUUGCAUUUAAAACCCUUGGCACACUGCCCCACCUUAAAAUACUCGCACAAUAUUGAUUUUGGAUCAACACCUACAUGAGAUCAUGAAAGUUACCCCAAAUUAACUUUUAUUCUAACGCAAAUUCUAUACAAACAUUAACCAAAGAAGAAGACCCUUUACAAAAGGAUUAUUCUGUUUAGCAAAACUUUGAAUAGCAACAAAAAUUACACAGAGAUACUUAAACCAUUAGAAUUAACAUAGGGAAAAAGGACAAUUUGGAUAAUUACCAACGGGUACUUUAGGUUGACUGACAGCAACUUUGAAUAAAUCAUUCAGCUCCUUCUCUUUAGCCUUCUCUUCUUCCAUCUUUUUCUGUUAUUUAAUGAAAAUCAUGGUCGAUUACAACUAACGAUAGAAAAUGUGCAUAAAAGAUACGAGCUUUAAUUGAAGAUACACAGCACAGAGAGAGGAGGAGGGAGGAAGGGGAGAAUAUUACCUUGGCGUUGAUUUUGGAGGUGUCAGGUUUCGGCUGGACGGAUUGCUUAAGGGAUUGAACGUAUUUCUGGACAUUUUUGGACUUGUUCUUGUUUUUGAGACCGAAGGUCUUGUCCUCGACUAUCUUCUGCUUCUUGGCUAAAUCGGUUUUUGAUGGCUGCUUGGGAGGCAUCUCUUAUUUUCAUCCAAAUCCAAUCCCUCCGCCGCUUGUUAAUUAAUUUAUACUGAUAAAAGUAUCCCUCUUAAUCCCGCCUGCUAUUGUACAUGGGAAGGUGGGGUUCUCAGUUUUUCUCUUGUUAUUUUUAGCUGUCGCAAUUGUCUGCUUCACCGGUUGGCAGGACAGGGAGUGGCCGGAGAACGGAGACGGAUAAAUGCUUCAGCAUUCAGCUGUGUCUGUGAAAACCGAAAAAUAAUAAAAAAAAAACUAAAAAAGAAAACGAGGGUGACAAUUGGGGUUCUUAUACAAGGGUUUGCUUUCCAGAAGGUGCGUACGUUGUUUACUCUUUAGUACUUACCCUCUUCUUUUGCUUCUUUUUUUCCCCCUCUUUUUAUUUAAUCUAUCCUUUUCCCACCUUCCCUACACUAAAGUGUUUAAUCUCAUCUCAGAUAUAAACAUCCGCAAGAAUCACAGAAUUUCAUGGAUUGUUGUCCUCCUUCAUGACUAAUUAUUAUUAUUAUUAUUAUUAUUUUCAAGUCAUUCUCCAAAGAAAAAUUUGCAUAAAAUUUCAUUUUGUUACCUUUCUCAAUUUUAGUAUACGAAACCUCUAUCUAAAAAAAAAAAAUUUUAAAAUUUUAAGGCGUUGAAAAGUUUUUUUAUGUGGCGGACACCGAGAAAAUAACAAAUGUUAAAUAUGUUAUUCGAUCUUUCAUUUUUUAAAAAGAAAGGGAAAAAAGUGUAACACAAUCACUUUACAGUUUUAAGGAAAAAUAGCAAAUCCAUUUUGGUUGAGUUCAUAUAGAUAUAAACAAUAAUAGUUUUUUUGUAAACCCAAAGUAGUUGCUAAAAAGUUAACUCAAUUUGGUAUUUUCUAAAUUAACCAAGCACACAUCAUUAAAAGAUUAUUAUCAUUUUUAACAAAUAACAAACACACGAGUUCCCUAGCGAUUUAUCCUUUCAAAGUUCUGAGGGGAGAGAGCCCAUGGGCAUAAAUCUUUCACGACCCUUCGGCUGAAUCGGCAACAUCAGGCUUCUUGUCACUUCUCAAUUUGGCCCAGAAUCACCGGGCUUCAGGCCCAACGAUCAAAGGAUUUGAGUAAAAGGCCGAUCAUCGGGUCCAGCCCUGGAGGACCAAAGAUCGAGCAGCGAGAAAUGCUCGCCUUUCAAUUUCAAUCUUCAAAUUAGCCUUAACAAGUUCAUACAAAUAAUUUUUUUUUUCAGGAAAAGAAAAAGAAAAAGAAAAAGAAAGCGGAGGCUUUCCACUUUCAACUUUCAAGUCUCUCAACGGGAACUCUCUUGUUUUUAAUGAGGGACGCCAUAGCCAUCUUAGCUUCCUGCUCUGUUACUCUCCCUGCGACUCAUGCUCCGGCUCCUCCCUCCCACCACCGCCGCCGCCGAUGCCGCCCGUCUCCUCGCACUAACCAAUCGCUUAAUUCCACUGCUCCUUCACUUCACUCCACGGUACGAUGGGAUUAUGCUUCCACUUCCCGCAAUCGCAAUCGCAAACGCCUCGAGUAUUACACCGACCUAACCUCCAACCUCGCCCGAGAUGGAAGAUUCCGAGACUUGUUCAUGAUUGCCGAAAGCUUCGUAGUUUCAGGCGGGAAGCCUUCUCAAUUUGUGGCCUUGCUCGAUGUCAAUAUUGUUUCUGCUGGGAUUUCUAGAAUGAUUAAGGAUGGAAGGCUCGGGAGCUUGAUUGAGGUGUUAGGUGGUCUGAGGAAGCUAGGAUUCGCUGUGGUUGAGCUCUUUGACGGACUCGCAGUUGAGGCACUUCGGCAGGUGUGUCGUCGUCAGCUAGGGAAACGUGAUGACGUGGAGGAGAUUGUGAGCUUGUUGGAAACACUUCAAGGUGAGUUUCAGUUGGAGUAGUUAUAUCCUUAUUUUUUUAAAAUUGUUAACAGGCAUUAUGUCUUCUUGUCCAAUUGCUUGCCAUUAUUUGGCUUUGACUAUUCACUUCGAUGUCGUAAUCUUUCAGGGCUUGGUUUUUCUACUAAAGAAUUCGUUGCGCCCUCCGAAAUCAUAAGGCUUUGCGUUUACAGAAGAACCCCAAGUGCUGCUAUAAGGUAUGAUUUGUUUUGGUUCAAGAAUAGUAUUUGGUUCAGAAGUUGCAUAGUUUUCUGUCUAGUGAGCUGCUGUCUAGUUAUUUGAUGUGACAUUUUGCAGGUAUGCACAAAUUUUUCCGCAGGUACAUACGCUUUUGUGUACCAUAAUGAUUGAAUUUGGGAAGAAAAGGGACUUGGUAUCUGCACUCAGUGUUUUUGAAGUCUCCAAGCAGAAUCAAGGCUGUCCCAACAUGUAUGCCUACCGAACAAUCAUUGAUGUUUGUGGACUCUGUGGGGAUUAUUUGAAGUCUAGAUCUAUUUAUGAGGUAGUUGCAUUUGUUUUGGGUCUUAAUUCCAGUUCUUUGCAAAGUUCACAAGUUUUACCAUUUGACAAUUCGUAAACCAAUGGCCAAGAGUCAUGCAUAUUACCUGUUAUGACAUUUCUCUCUUUGGGAGACCUUGUUAUCGGAUGGCAUCUUUUCAAUUGUCAUUAUAUGGUCCUCCAUCCUAGUUAUUCUGGCUCAUGUCCUUAAACCUUUUAUGUCAUUAGCACUUGAAAGGAUGAUGGCUUAUGCACAUUUAUCUUAAGCCUGCUUUGGACCCUUCUUGUGUGUAAUUUUACUUGUAUAGCCAAAAUUAUUCUCUUCUUAAGCCAAUUUGUAGCUGUUCACAAACACUCAAAGAUGUGAAUUAGUGCGUGCUUGUGUUUACUAUUAAAAUACUUGUAAGUUCAGUAUUUAAGAGGAAAAAUUUGAAACUUGCACUUCUAGGUUGCGGUACUGGAUUAUCUGAAUUAUUUGAUUUAUGUAAUUGAGAGAUAGGAUUCUCAAUAAACUGAUCUUUUAGUUGCAUUUGUUUGACUGCUACCAGUUUCCCAGCUUGGUUUGAUGAUUUACUAAAUCCUGUUUUCAUUGUUUUCCUGUUCAAUGAGUUUAUAAUUCUCAAUCACUGAUCUGUAUUUGACUCCAAUAAAUUUUCUUUAUUUUCUUGCAUUACCUAUUUUUAAAGACAAUAUUUUGCCCAUAAGGGAUUCAAAAGUUAUUUUUUCCUAUCCCUUGUGAAUGGUGUGAACACAAAGCCAUGCUAAUGUUUAAAUUUUACUGCAGGAGCUACUUGACUGUAAGUUCAUCCCAAAUAUUUAUGUUUUCAACAGUCUCAUGAACGUUAAUGCCAGUGAUUUCAGCUACAUGUUACAUAUCUAUAAGCAGAUGCAAGUAAUGCUCUCUCUCUCUCUCUCUUCCCCUCCCUCUCUCUGUCUAUCUAUCUCUAUUUAUUGUCCUUUUAUUUACCUUGAAGUACUGGUUUCGUGCACUGUGGAGCAGCAAAAAGUCCAUACCGUUUUUGAUUGAGGAGUGAUUCUGGAAUUUAACUUUAUCAUUGAAUGUAUAAAGAUAUUAGUCACCUCUUUCUCCUUCUUCCCUUUUUUCUUUUUGUGAUCUUGCAUUUCAUUCAUUACUUAUUCAGUUGUCAAGUACUUACCGUGCUUAAUUUGUUUGGUGGAAUGCCACAUCCAGAAAGUAGGUGUGACAGCUGAUCUGGCAUCAUAUAAUAUCCUUUUGAAGUCUUGCUGUCUUGCUGCAAGAGCUCAUCUGGCCCUAGACAUUUACAGAGAUGUUCAACAUUUGGAAUCAAAAGGGGCUCUAAAAUUGGAUGUGUUUACUUACUGUACAAUGAUCAAGGUACAGCAAUGCCUUUUCUGUCUUGAUUAUACUCUGCUUGGUGCAUUAUGUGUUAUGGAGGCUUCGUAUCCAGGAUGAGAGUAAUAAACUCAUCUGCAAAGCAAAGGAACAAAAUUCAUUUGUGCAGAAGGAUUUGUAGUUCAUCUCAUGCUGUUCUCUGUGUUGAAUAUUCUUGAAUUGUCCAUUUGGCUUCUCCAGAUUGGGCAGUGGCCUUCUGAACGUGCUUGCAAUUGAAAAAUUCUGACAUUUGCCUGCGGACUUGAAGACACAUGUUUAAAAUGGUUAAGGAGUGUUCUUUCACAUUUAUUUCAAAGACUUAAAAUGCUUAAUAUUAGUCCGACCCUGAAAUCUAUGUUCAAACUACUAUGUAUCUUGCAUGGUGCUCUAACGCAGGCAACCAGCAUCUGCCUACUUGUUUCUUAAAUGCCUUUGAGUCCAAGUAUCAUACAUUUUUUUCCUACUAUCUUGCAUCCUAAUAUUCCUUUUCCUGCUCGAACUGGAUUUUCACCCUGUGAGGAGUUAUCCUUUUAUCCUCACAUCCCCUGCACCAAUUAUUCAGGUCCUUGCAGAUGCUAGAAUGUGGAGAAUGGCACUGGAAAUAAAAGAACAUAUGCUGCUAGCUGGUGUUAUUCCCAACACUGUAACGUGGUCAUCAUUGAUCAGUGCAUGUGCCAAUGCAGGUCUUGCAGAGCAAGCAAUUCAAUUGUUUGAAGAGAUGCUUCAGGCUGGUUGUGAGCCUAAUUCACAGUGUUGCAAUGCUCUUCUUCAUGCUUGUGUUGAAGCUCACCAAUAUGAUAGAGCCUUUCGACUCUUCAAGUCCUGGAAGGAAAACGGUAUUAAGAUGUCUGUAAGAAAAGAUUUUCAUUGGAUGAACAAAAUAAAUGAUUAUGCUUGCAGCAAGCAUGAAAAUUCCAGUACAAUAACAUGUAGAACCUCUGACUCAGAGCAUCCAUCCUUUCCGAUAAGGUUUUCAUUUGCACCCACAACUUCAACAUAUAAUAUUUUGAUGAAGGCCUGUGGCACUGAUUACUACCAUGCCAAAGCAUUGAUGGAUGAGAUGAAGAUGGAAGGUCUUUCUCCGAAUAACAUAACAUGGUCCAUUUUGAUUGAUAUUUGUGGAGGCUCAGGAAAUGUACAUGGUGCUUUGCAGGUACCAUAGUCUACUUCGUUCUUAAUGAAUAGUAAUUACCAUGACUUCCUGCCCUCUCAACUAGUAUGUUCUUGUCAAUGGUAAUAUGGAAUCAUUAGGAGCUCCUUCCUGGUUGCAUCAAUAAGUGAUAGCACCAACUUUGUCCUUCACAGUGUCAUGCGUUGCGAUCACCUCCGCCUCAUCACCUAUCUCACCCCCAUCCUUUUCUACAAUGCCUUGUUUGGCUAGUGCAGUGAUUCUCAUUCUCCUAAUCACUCAUGCUUGGCCGAGCAAUAAUCAAAAUCUAAAUAAAUGCUUCCUGCAAGGAAUACAAAUUGUUUUGUAAUCUUUCUCCCUUCUGUGCAGAUCUUAAGGUCCAUGCACCAGGCUGGUACUCAACCUGAUGUUGUCACAUAUACAACAGCUAUUAAGGUAAAAACUUUCUGCUAGAUUUCUAAUAAGGGCUGAUUGUAGCAUUUAUUAUAUUCAAGUGGAUGGUCAUUUUAAUGGAUUUUCAUCUGCCAUGUAACAGAUUUGCGUGGAACACAAAAAUAUCAAAGUUGCAUUUUCAUUACUUGCAGAAAUGAAAAGAUAUCAAAUAAAACCUAAUCUGGUAGGGAUCCCUAAAUUUACAAGCAUUCGUUUUGAAGUUACCUGGACUUUUCUGGCAAUAAAACCAAUCAGCCAGGCAUUUAAUUGAUGCUAACAGCGGAGGCUUCCAAAACGAUUUGGUUUUCUGUUAUACAUUUUCCUUUUGUACACAAGUCAAUUGUCCUUGGUUAUAUGAUGUUUGACCAUUAAAGAUGUGACAAAUGUGAAAAGUGUUUGAAAUCUGUUCGUACUCAUGAUGCUGAUUGAAGUUUGUUAUAUGAAUUCCUGAAUGUUUUAUUAGAUAUGUUUUCAAGACACAAUUUGCUUCAGUUUUGUUGAUUUUUGAAAUUUCAUUUCAGGUGACAUAUAAUACUCUUCUCAGGGCUAGGAGCCAGUAUGGUUCCCUGCAGGAGGUACAACAAUGCCUAGCAAUAUAUCAGGAUAUGCGAAAAGCAGGGUAUGUUGUCACAAAAAUCUGUGUGCUUGUGUGCUAUUUAAGUCAUCGUUUUAACCAUUUAAGUCCACAUGGUCUCAUUACAAUCUUAUUUUUCAGGUAUAAACCUAAUGAUUUCUAUCUGAAACUGCUAAUUGAGGAGUGGUGUGAAGGUGUAAUACAACAAAACAAACAGAAUAAAGGCCAGAUUGCUUCCGACAGAGCUUCUUUAGGGCCUCAGAGUCUGCUUCUUGAGAAAGUUGCAGAGCACUUGCAGGACAGUAAUGCUGAAAGCCUGUCGAUUGACAUUCGGGGCCUCACUAAGGUGUAACCAUAAACUUUAGCGGCACAUAACAGGAUUGUUGCAUAUAGAUAUGUAUAUUUUUCUAUUAGAAUUAAAGCCUUUCAUCUAACACAUUGACAGGCUGCUCAUUUAUUUAAUCGAGUCUUCCAUGCAAUGCAUUGACAGAUUGAAGCUCGCAUUAUGGUUCUUGCAGUUCUACGGAUGAUCAAAGAGAAGUAUAAUCCAGGUAAUUUGAUAACUAGUUUAGUACUAUCUAAGAAGUUAAAUUUAUGUAAUGCGAUUAAACUGUCAAAGCUGCCCUGCCUAGAUAAUAAAGUAUCCUGUUUUAGAAACUAUUCAACUCCACAAGAUUGUAAAGCUGAGCAUUCACAUAGUAAUUGCGCAUUCAAUUAUACGACCAUCAGGAAUUACAUUUGCCUUGUACCCUUGGGCAUUUCAAUUUUUUUUGGUUGUAGGAGAUUCAGUGAGAGAUGAUCUGUUGAUUAUACUAGAAGAGGAGCCGUCGGGAUGUGGUUCCAGACACGAAACUGGGUCUACUGAAGCAAUAGCUAGCUUGUUGCAGUACGAUUUGGGGCUUGAGGUUCUAUCAGUAGGGUCAGUAGAUGGUAGAAACUUUAACGGUGGUUUUGAUAUUUCCUUUCUGUAUCCUAAUUCAAAAGUUCUACAAAGAAGAGAUCUGCCACUGAAAUUGGAAUCUCCUUCUAGAAGGCCUGUACCUUUACAGCGAUUGAAGGUAACUAAGGGAUCAUUGCAUCAUUGGUUACAAAAAGGAGGUGCUUCUACCAGCAGAUCAGACUCAUCUCCUUCUGCAGAGAAGUGAACUGAAGAACUGAUAAAGUUAUCAAGUUUGUAGCAGUUAUCAUUCUUUUAUUCUUUGUAUAGAGUUGUAGAUCAGUGUUCUAUUUCUCACAAUAAGGUUGUAGAUAAAGGUGAAGUUGCAUUUCACUCAAAUCAAAUGUAUUUGACUGAGACUGACUACAAAUGUACCAUCAGUAAAGGCAAAAUUUAGAAAUGGAUACAUAGAGAAAAUCACAUGCUACUCAAAAUAUUCUGUCUGCUCAUUUAGCCCCGGUUUCAUGCUAUUGCUGCACCAAUCCUGCAAGUCAAAGUAGAGGCAUCCUAAAGAUCUGAAAAGCAAUUUGACUUAAAAUACUGAAGACAGAUCCAAAAAGCAAUUUAACUUCAAAUACUGAAGAUUAGACACUUCUCCUGGGCAUCAGAAUUCUAAAAUUGUUUAUUUCAAUGAACUGAAGCUUUUUUCCCACCACAGUUGAAUAAAACCAUACAAUAGCAUCGCGAAUCAGGAUGUUUUGCUAAUGAAAACGCAGAUGCACAGCACGGUUUUCCAUCCACCAAGAGAAAUAUGAGGUCAUUUCAGAGCCAAUCCUCCUGCUGCAGUUUCAGGGGCAGAUAGACCUCGGACAAAUACUGAAAGCCGAACGAGCUCAAGGCCUGAAUCUCAGCCUUCUGCUUAGUCUUCACCAUCAAAUUUAACUCCUCAACCCACCCAGGAUUUUUUUUCACAAAAUCUUCCUCCAACAGAUCCUUCCCAGUCUUGAUAUCCUGCUCUGUCAUCGGCAACCUGCACUGCUCCGGUAUGUUAUACUUAUCCAAAUCACUCGGCCUAAUCCCCAACCACUUAAUAUCAGGGGUCGUCAAAUUUGCGCUGUCGUAAGACAUAUUCUUGGAUCCACACCCGUAAACCGACAAGAUCUUCAACCCGUAAGGAUCACUAUCCACCAAAGCCAACACCGGCACCUUCAAUUCCGUCUUCAGUUUCCUCAAGAACAGCCUGGUUGCCACAUCCGGUUGUCCUUUGGCCGUGAUGAUUAUGCACGGGAACCGAUUAUAGAACCUAUCCUCAGCUAACCUGAUAUAAGCAGCAUCCUUCUCCACCAACAGAAUAAACAAUGCAUCACUCUGCAUAUCCCCGACCCUGUCUAUAUUGGGGGGAAUCGCUUUUCCGCCCAUCCCCAUCUUGGUGCAGUCGAUCAAAUCACCGUUAUCGCUAAAAAUAAGCCGGCCAACAACCACCCCCUUUUCGGCGGCAAUCACAUUGAGGCUGGACCUGGUGCAGCCCAAGAUGCAGGAGACGUCAUCCAAGACGGCGUCGGAUUGUGUCUGGUCUUGGAAAAGCUUGACGUCUGUGUAGAAGAGGUCACGCUUAGUGACGUGGAUGCUCUUGAGGCAGAGCUGGUGGAUGAGCUGGAGGAUGCGGGCGGUGAUGGUGGUCUUGCGGACGGUGGAGACAUUGGCGUAGGGACGGAGGGAGGACUUGUCUUUGAGGACGAUGCGGUCGAGUUCGGGGACGUAGAGUUGGUUGGCGGAGGAACGAGAGGGGACGGAGAAGGAGAGGCCCUGGCCGGAGAGGAUGGAGUGGGUGAGGCUGAGGACGAGGGAUUCAAUAGUUGACUGGACGGAGGAGAGAGGGAGGUCGCUGACCUCACGGCAUGCUUGGGAAAGAGAGAGGUCGGCGAGGGUUAAGGGAUUGGUAGAGGCGGAGGGGGUGGAUUCUGCUGCUGCUAGGGCUUUGAGGGCUUGGAGGAUGACGGAAUCGGGUUUGAGUUUGGACUUGAAGGGUAUUGAGUCGGAGUCAGGGUCCGCCGGUCGGCGGCGCUUUUUCUUGUCUGCCAUACUCUGGAGAGUGAAUGACUUGCUUAAUUUAGGCGGACUCGAGACUUGCCUUGCUUGAGUUGUGGGGCGGGGAGGCGGGAAAUGAAAUGGGCGAGCAGCAAGACUUUAACUAGUAGUAGCCCGGAACUUGUGUCUUGGGUGCGUCAAUGGAGUAUGAAACUACUAUGAUUUGGGUUGGAUCCUAAAUUCAAGCCCAUUAAAUUUAAUUAAGACCCAAAUCAGUUUAACGUGGAAUGAGUAGGAGCGUAACGUAAUAGUACUAUAGCUUUGAACUCAGUUUGGGUUUGGCGGGGAAACUUAAGGGAGGCGAAGCCGGCCCAAAACAAAAGUUUGAGGUAGUAACACGUGGAGGCCUGAUUUUCCACAGGCUGGUGAAGGUGACUGGAGAGUCCGGUUUCUUCGUUUGUUGUUGUCCAUCCAGGCUUCAGCAUUGAAAUGAAAGUGAUGUCGUCUCGUCUGUAAUACUUAUAUAAGCAGAAUUAAUCAUUUUCGAAUUUCAUGCAACUGCUAGUACCGGUCCGGUAGUAGCAUUUCCAGAAACUUCUCUCCCAUUCAUUCCAGGAUACUGGCUAGAAUUAAACAAAACCAAUUAUUAGUAGCUGGUAGUAGUAUUUUUUAUUUUCAUUAAGAGAUAGACUAGGCAUGGCAAUUCCUCUUCCUCUUCCUCUUCCUCUUCCUCUUGGUGCCACCACACCACUCCUGAAUCAUCAUCAUCAUCAUCAAGUCGCCGUGCCAGUGCGGCGGCGUCGUCAUGCUGUACGAAACGACAGUAUGAGCUUAGUUGCAGCAGCUCCAACAACACUAGUGUUUCAGCCACAAUUCGAUUCUGCUGUCUACAAUUACAAGAAGAAGCCAAUCAUCAACGCUGCCUUCCCAUCAUCAUCCGCUCUUACUCGAACUAAAAGGCUUCACAUUAUUGUUCCCCGCGCUGUAUCCGCUUCUCCUGGCAAGUUCCCGCUAUAAUUGCCCUAGUAGUAUCCCAGUUACUGUAUUACUCUAUUGGCCUCGAAUCCUUUUUUAACAUUUUUCCAGCAAUCAGAGUAAUCAGAAUUUAGAGAUGCGAGCCUUGGAUUUCUUUUUUCCGUUUCAAAAAGGUGUAUGAUUCUAUUCUCUUAUGAUUGCCACAUCAUGUUAAUGGUGAAAUAGGAGCUGAAUCUUCUGAGGUGACGUCCGAAAACUUGUUAGACGGCGUGCAAGUCUUUGACUUGAAUGGAAGUAAGGUUGCCAUUUCUGAGCUGUGGAGAGACAGGAAAGCUGUCGUUGCAUUUGCUCGCCAUUUUGGGUACUGCUUCAAUUUUCUUUUGUUUCCUUUCAGCUUUUGCCUCUUGUUUGAGCUCCUUUUAAAAAAGCAAUUCCGAGUUGGUACUAAUAAUUCUUUGUAAUUUUCAUUGCAGCUGUGUGCUUUGUCGCAGAAGGGCUGGUUAUCUUGCUUCUCACAAGGUUUGACGUUUCUUUCACUGCCUCGAGUUCAGUUAUAAUGAGGCUUUUAUUGGUAGUUCAGAAUUCAGGAUACUUAUCUCCUUUCCCAUCUCUAGUACUAAUAAAUACCAGCAGAUUCUCAGUACAUAAAUUUUCUUCUUCUUGGGUGUUUCAACCAUGACUACUACUAUCUUCUGAAUGUAUGCCCAUCUGGCAGCUGUUGAAUGUUUAAGGCCUCAAACUCUGUUGUUUAAAGCCUCCUGAUUCCAUCUUGCUUUUAAGCUAAAAGCUUUCUAAGGUCCUCUCAUUUGCUUUGACUUGUACUCUUACCUUUCUUUUUGAGUCGCAAUGGCUUGAUAAGGAGAGCUAGCACUGGCUUUUGAGAAGUUUCAAACAGAAAUUUUUUAUUUGAGUUCUUAAACUUCGUAAUCAAUCACUUGUUAUAACAUUAAUAUGUCCCCAAGUGAUAUUCAGCUAGAUUUUGCCAUUGCAGCAGUUUAUGGUCUGACUACAUUUGCACAAUUAUAUUGCAGAAAUGUUCGUUUAUGAUUGUAGCCUAUCCAUUUGGCUAUUGACCACUUAAUUUUCUCUUUCUUUUUGAACAUGAUAGUGGGAAAACUAACAACCGGAUUGGAAACACAGGAAUCAACUUAAGUAUCUGAUUUGUGGGAUACAACUGUCUUUGUCAAUUACUAUUAAAGAUGCUGACUAACAAGUCAAACUGAAGAAAAAAAUGUUAAUAGUGUGAAGAGCACAGAUCUCCUGAACACAGAAAAGAAUCAGUGUUAGUCAUGAGUGACUGGUACUUAGUAUUUAAGCCUGUUUACCAUUCAAGGAUAGAGUGAAGUGAUAAUGUUGCUCUAAACUCUCCUUUUCUUCUUUUACAGGAGAAAAUGGAUGCAGCUGGUGUGGCACUGGCUUUAAUUGGACCGGGUAGUGUGGAUCAGGUAUCCUGCUGAAGCUCCUUACACAAUUAUCUAAAGGUCACUUUCACUACUCCUGCCUUUUGAUUUGCUCAGAAACAUGGCAUCUUUGGUCGCCAGAUGAACAAUUUUUUUGUUGCUGUUUAGUGUUAAAGCUCAAUGAGAAUUAUGUAGCUCUAUCAUCUGCUGUUUCUUUUUCCUUGCCUUAAAACGUACAGAAAGAAGCAGCAAAUUGAGGAGUGAAAUCUGUCUUGAAAUUUCAGGCAAGGGCAUUUGCUGAGCAAACAAAAUUCAGAGGAGGUAAGUUUGAAAGACCUUUCCUUGGAACAAUCAGUGUCACAAAUAUUCAUCGGAAAUCAAAGGCAAUAUUGCACAGAAUUUAAUGCCCUUUUGGAUGUCUGUUUUUGGUCUUUACUAUUUUUCUUCCAUUUUCAAGUGCUAAUACUGCCCGGGAAAAGAAAAUGAUUUCUGUCUUAUUAGACUCAUGAGUCAGGAGAACAUUCUUGAACCAAAUGGACAGAAUUGCUGAAUAAUAUCUAUGUAAUGUUGGUGAUUGAUGAUUUAAAAGAAAUUUCCGCUCAAUUCUUGUACAAAGCACAUGGAUCCCCAACAAACGAAAUGCAUAACAUCUUCCCAAAGUUGAAGGCAUUGGUGAAGGAAUUGAUCAAAUUGUCGUUUAAACGCUUUAAUGGUAUUCUAUUCUACAUUUCAGAAGUAUACGCAGAUCCCAGCCACUCAUCAUACGAGGCACUCAGAUUUGUUUCUGGUGUUUCAACAACAUUUACUCCUGGGGUAUGAAAUAUCUUUUAUAUGUUUAUCAUGGCUGACUAUGUCUCUUAGGUUGUACGAGAGAUUUUCCUUUAGUGCCUUCUUAGAGGAAAAUUUUCAUCCAUUGAUGAAUCCAGGCUGGCCUGAAAAUAAUACAAGCGUACAUGGAAGGUUAUCGACAAGAUUGGGGGCUUUCCUUUGAGAAGGAAACUAGGACAAGAGGUGGCUGGUACGUCCACUUCUGUUUGUACUCAUGUAUUCGUGUGAUGAAAUCGUUGGCUGUCUGUCAGUUUGCAUUUUUGGAUGGUACAUUCUUGCAAUCAUUGGUCUUAUAAAACUUUAGUAAUAAUCUGCAGUUCUUUUGUUUAAUAAAUAUAUCAGAUUAAAAGACAUUAGGAAUCAUUUGGCGUACAGACUGGCAAUAGGUUAGGCCUUUGAACAAAGAAUCCCCUGCUUUGGAUGCUUUACACAAAAUCUUCAAAACCACCACAUAUUUUUCUAUCUUGUUUACAAGCUCUGAGUUCUUUCAGAAAGGUUAAGUUUAUUAGAAACUAACUGAAUUGCUGCAAAAAGCACUCUGAAUCUAUGGGAAGAAACAACUAUCACCAUCAUGCUCCAUUUUCCAAGUAACUGAGCAUACAAGUAGAGUUUUUUUUUUUUUUUUCAGUGCAAGUGGGCGGACUUUGAGACCUCUCACUUCAACACAUCCCCCCCCCCCCCCCCAAAAAAAAAAAAAAAGGUACAAGUAGACUUAAUAGACUGAUUUUUGGAUGACUAGACUGUGUCACUGUGCGCUACAACUUCAUGAAUCUCUUUAUUGGGUAACGGCUCAGCCUCAUCUUGGUAAACCGUUGUGCAUGCAAUGUAAGCUCAGGACCUUUUGUUAACGGUCUGAAAAUGUUUGAUGGUAAUACUCUUUCUGUCAAUUUGAUUAUCCUGUGAAACCACUAUCUGGUGAUUGUUCUCAGGCAGCAAGGUGGGAUCAUAGUUGCAGGUCCUGGUAAACAUAAUAUAUCGUACAUCCACAAGGUUAAUCCUUGCACUUUCUUAACUUCUGCAGUACUAGAAGUUUCAUGGCGCUGUUUUGAUUCUGCAAGCUUACUGGAAUUCUGAUUACAUUAGGACAAAGAAGCCGGAGAUGAUCCAGAUAUAGAGGACGUCUUGAGAGCAUGUUGUCCGUAAUUAGCGAAUUGAAGUCUUUCUCCACCCUCCAAAGCAAUAUUAUUUGUUACAUCUCUUAAUCUUCUAAAUUCAGAGAGUUUAGCGAGGGUAAUCUCUUGUUUUAUACGUCAUUAUACCACAUAAUUUUUGGGUUUCAAGGUAUAAAUCCAUAGGUACCGGGCCUUUCAUUUCCCACCGAUUUAGACCAGAAAUUGAGCUUCCUUUUACUCCUCAUUAGGCUUAUGGAUCCAUCGGCUGCAAGUUUUUGUGCCAUCUAGGAACGAUUCUUGAGCCGGCAUGCACGUCAGUCUGCUCAGAGUUAAUUUGAGAAAAACAAAUGUUAAGUAUUGGAAAAAGCUGAUAUACAAUAAUACAAACACAGCAAAAGCCGGUCUCUCGAGGCAACCAGCAAAAUUAUUAGAUUUCAGUGACUAGACAACCUAGUUAACUCUUCGUCCAAUGAGUCUCUCCCCCCUAGAUGUCAGGCAUGAACUCCGCACUUUGUGCUACAUGGUGAAAAUGACAUCACAGCCAAAGCCAAAGAACAGAUGAUCAAUACUCUCCUCCUCUUUCUUGAUGGCAGCAAAAAAACCUAUCAUUACACUUCUUUACUCUAUGCAUUGUGGACGGUCUCCUUUUGCAGAAUAACCAGCAUAUACCAUUUCACUCUCUGCCCUUUCAUUGUUCACCACCUGCAUCUGCAUGGCAGACUUAAUAGAGAAUAGAGUCGCUAUCAGUCGAAACAAGCUCAUCCUCUAACUCUAUCAAUGGUACAAAGGUCAGAGGACUAGUGGCCAUCAAAGAUCUUACUUCCUGUGUCAUUUCCAGGACACUUGAACUACACUUGGCAAACACAAUCAACAUUUGACAUUCCAAAACUAUUCAAGCGGUCCCCAAAAAAAUGUUUAAAGAGAGGCCCUAUAGGAUGCUAAUAAUAGAGCUGUAAAUCUCUGUUUCGUUGAGUUACUUGAAUAAGACUCUGUGUUCGAUCGAUAAUUUUCAAGUUCGAAAUCUCUUUUCAUGUUCAACUUGUUAAUUAAAUUCCUAGUUCAAAUUUGAAUUUGAGUUCAACUCAUUUAACAUAAACAAACUGAUAUCGAACAGGUUCGAGAAGCUCAAAUUUUGGCUUUUUCUCUCAAAUAAUCAUUAAAUUCAAAUACAAAACUAACCAGCUAACACUAAAUUUUGUAAAAUGAUACUGUAAUUAGGUUCAUAUUUAUGAACGAUCAUUUAAAUUCGCAGACAAAACUCUUGCUCAUUUAAUUACAUAUCGAGUCAAAAUGUUUAUUCAAAUUCGACUCUUCCAAAGUUUCGAAUGAGCCGUUAGCUAACACAAGCAAAUCUUAAACUAGUUGAACAAUCAAACACUUCCACUCGCAUAACAGCACUGGCCAAUAGUCAAACCAAAAGUUGGUAUCGACUCCAUUACUCACAGGCAUCUCGCGAAAAGGAUGGAUAAAGUCUUUCAGCUUCAACAUUAAGGUGGCGUUUGGUUCGCACAUCGGUAUUGGAUUCGGAUUCGGAAUCGGAUAUCUUGGGUUUGGAAUGAGGUCAUUCAUUCCAAUACAUUUGUUUGGUUCAAGUACCUGAAAUGUGUAUCAUUACUAUAGUUGAUGUUUGGUUCGUCGACUCUUUCGGAAUGGAAUAUAAUAAAUAUAUUAUAAACCCCAUCAUAAAUGAUAGUUAUUGGCUCUUUGUAAAUGAGAUAUAAGAAAUCUUCACUAAUUAAAUAUAUUAGUAUAAAUGUAUUAGUAAAUUUAGUCUAACUAAUUAAUAAUUUCUAUUAGUAAACAUGUAUAAUUAUUAGUAUAAUUGAUAAUAUUAAUUAUAUUACAUAAAUUAAUAUACAUUAUAUAAUACAUAUAAAUAAUAAUAUUAUUAUUAUAAGUUUGUAACUAAUUAAAUUAAAUAUUAUAUAUAUAAUUAAAUAUAAAUAUACAAAUGUUAUAAUAUAAAUAUAUAAAUAUAUAAUUAUAUAAUAUAUACAAAUAUUAAUUAUAAUAAUAUUUUAUAUAAAUAUAAUAUAUAUUACAUAUUAAAUAUAGUUAUUAUUAUAUAUUAUUAUAUUUAAAAUAAUAAUUAUUAUAAUUAUAUAACUUAUUAAUAUUACAUACAUGUAUAUAUUAUAAUUAUAUGCACAUACAAUAUACAUUUAUAAAUAUACAUAUAUAUUAUAAAUAUAAUAUUAUAUAAUAUUAAUAAAUUUAUAAUAUAUAUUAUAUAAGUAUAAUUAUAUUUAACUAAAUAAUUAUAAUAUAUAAUUAUAUAAUACAAUAACAUCAUUAUUAUAAGUUUGUAACUAAUUAAAUUAAAUAUUAUAUAUAUAAUUAAUUAUAAUUAUACAAACGCUAUAAAAUAAAUACAUAAUUAUAAUUAUAUAAUAUAUAAAUAUUAAUUUUACUCAUAUUUUAUAUAAGUAUAAUGCAUAUUAAUAUUAGAUAUAGUAAUUAUUAGAUAUUAUUGUAUUUAAAAUAAUAAAUAUAAAUAUAAAUAUAAAUGUAUAAUUUAUUAAUAUUAUAUACAUGUGUAUAUUAUAAUCAUAUGCACAUAUAAUAUGCAUUUAUAAAUAUACAUAUACAUUAUAAAUAUAUUAUUAUAUAAUAUUAAUAAAUUUAUAAUAUAUAUUAUAUGAAUAUAAUUAUAUUUAACUAAAUAAUUAUAAUAUAUAUUUAUAUAAUGUACUAAUAUUAUAAUUAUAAUAUAUUAUAUAUAUGUAUAUAUUAUAAUAUAUAAUAAAUAUAAUAUAUAUAAAUAUUAAUUAUAUCAUUGUAUAAUUAUAAUAUGUAAUUGGAUUUGUUUCUUGGAAUCAAACUUGGGAAUCGGACAAAACCCACCAAAAUACUUGGGAAUGGAGAAACACCAAAUUUUUAGAAAUCAUUCCAAGAUUUCAAUUCCCAUUCCAGUAAACCAAACACCAUUUAUGGGGUUCAUUCCAUUCCACGAAUCCGAUACCCUUUUACCAAACGCCCCCUAAGUAUUUUUUGGGCCGGUUUGCUUCAAAAAAAUGCUUUGCUAUUUUAAUCUUCAAUUAUUGUGGAUAUCAUCAUAUCAACAAGAAACAUACACCUAUUUUUGUAAUAUUUUUCUCAUUUAUUGGUUCGGCUUAUCUUCCCCUCCCUCCUUCCCCAAUCCAUAGGACAGAGCCAACGUUAAAUACGUAUAAUUAUAAUAUAUACCUUUAUCAGCGUCUGUUGGGGCAAAAAAGCUACAGGAGCUUUCACUAACGGAAAGCAAGCCAAGCAAUUUCUCGUCAAACACAACUAAGUCAAAUAAAAGUAAACAGAUCAAGAGGAUAAUUUAGCAUUGAAAUAUGAUUGGUAUCACCGUACUUAUAUAGAAUACUGUGACGAAAGAGCACAACCAAGCUGCAGCAUCUUCCACUUAUAUCCAGUUUCCAGUCCCUUACACAGGAGCUCAUCCUUAAAGCAGUUUCAUGAUAUAAUACGGACUGAUCCAUCCUCAUUGACCACCAUCAUAAUCUUUUUAAUAUUUGGUCGGUGGAAGGUUAAUGAUUCAAAAUUUACCUCCCAUCACUUGUUAUUAUAUGUAACUUGUUAUUUUAAAUAACUUAAGAUUAUAUGUAACUUGCUAUUUUAAAUGACUUAAAAUCCAUACGAAUAAGUAGUACACUUGUCCGAUUUUAUUUCCCGUCCUUUUAGAAUAUACUAGAUUUUAGUUCCCGUCCUUCUAGAAUAUACUAGAAUGGUAGGUUGAUAUAGAGUAAACAAGUCCCGAUCAAUCCAAAAAAAAAAAAAAAAUCCUUACCGUGUAACUUUUUUCAACAAGAUUUAAUACCAAAAUAUCAAAAUUUUUAAGGUUAAAUCUCCUUCAAUCAGAUUAGUUCAGAUCCAUGUUACCGCUCGCACCAUUAAGAGAACACGCUGAUAAAGGAAAAUGUUAAAGUCCAUCAUAUCACACUGUCACGGCUUUUGGGUAGUUUAUUAAGGUCCUCAGGAACCACAAGAGUUGCCGGUUUUGUGAUUUCCUGUGGAGUUACUUUACUAAAUUGCAAAAGUCAAUCUGUUGACUAGAAAAACACUGUCACGGGGUGAACCGAUGCACAAAAUAUAAUCACGGCCCACGGAUGAGAUCAAUUCUAAGAUAGCACACCUAUAGCUAAUAUCAGACCUUGAAUCAUGAAAAAGAUGAACAUGCCAACCUCCCAUCUUUAGCAUAGAAUAGUAAGACAGUUUACUUCAUUUUCCCUGAAUUUGGUACUGAAAUUAAGAAAAACGAUUUCAACAAACAUUUAUUACGGGAAGACAGAAUAUAAUUCAAGGACCUAAACAAGUAACUAAAAACAAGCAUCUACUAUUAAGGCUUCUAAUUCUUAGAAGGCACCACCGCGCAGACGAAGGACAAGGUGAAGAGUGGACUCCUUCUGGAUAUUAUAAUCCGCCAGGGUGCGCCCAUCUUCGAGCUGCUUUCCAGCAAAAAUGAGUCGCUGCUGGUCCGGUGGAAUUCCCUCUUUGUCUUGGAUCUUUGCUUUGACGUUGUCGAUGGUGUCUGAGCUCUCAACUUCAAGAGUGAUAGUCUUACCAGUCAGAGUCUUCACAAAGAUCUGCAUACCACCCCUCAAGCGCAACACCAGAUGAAGAGUAGAUUCUUUCUGGAUAUUGUAAUCAGCUAGGGUUCGACCGUCUUCCAACUGCUUUCCCGCAAAGAUCAAUCUCUGCUGGUCCGGCGGAAUUCCCUCUUUAUCCUGGAUCUUAGCCUUGACAUUGUCUAUCGUGUCAGAGCUCUCGACUUCCAACGUGAUCGUCUUCCCAGUUAGGGUUUUGACGAAUAUCUGCAUACCACCGCGAAGCCUCAAGACAAGGUGAAGGGUGGACUCCUUUUGGAUGUUGUAGUCGGCUAGGGUUCUGCCAUCGUCGAGUUGCUUGCCGGCGAAGAUUAAUCGCUGCUGAUCCGGUGGAAUACCCUCCUUAUCUUGUAUCUUAGCCUUAACGUUAUCGAUCGUGUCGGAGCUCUCGACCUCCAGGGUGAUGGUUUUGCCGGUUAGGGUUUUCACGAAGAUCUGCAUGCCACCGCGGAGGCGGAGCACAAGGUGGAGGGUGGACUCCUUCUGGAUGUUGUAAUCGGCGAGGGUGCGGCCGUCUUCGAGUUGCUUGCCGGCAAAGAUGAGGCGCUGCUGAUCGGGAGGGAUGCCUUCCUUGUCUUGGAUUUUGGCCUUGACGUUAUCAAUGGUAUCAGAACUCUCGACCUCGAGAGUUACGGUCUUGCCCGUUAGGGUUUUCACGAAGAUCUGCAUAAUUGAAAGAGAUGGCUAAAAACUACAACCUAGAAAAGGAAUCGAGGAAAUAUUAGGAAUUUAGAGAAGAGGGCAAUUGAGAACGAAUUGCUAGAAUGAUUGUUGAACAGUUAACGAUGCGUAGAAUUGCCGAUGGUAUGCUGUUUAUAUAGGAGAGUUGGCGGACUUUGUACGCCAAGGUCGCUGCUGGGCAGUUUCCUAAACAGUAUUCAACAGGGGCCAGAAAGUUCUCGGACAAUCAGUUGGGGCGGUGCUUACCUGGACUGCAAAUCCAGCCCAAUCUAGAAAUUGCUGGAAGUAUCCUUUCCUUUUCCAUUUUUUGGCUGAUACGUUGCCUUAACCAUCCGUGAAAAUUUAACUACUGAGAGAGAAAGAGGGACUCCAACUCAGAACUUAUAAUUUCAAGAGUUUUAAUUUAAAAAAGGACUAAAUUGUUAAGUUUAACUACUUAUUGGAAUAACACCCCUAAAUCAAAGGGGAUGAUUAUUAUUUUUAAAGUCUUAAGGGCUGUAUUGUUGGUUUGAGACAAUCUAGUAGCGAUGUAAAUGUAAUUAAUUCUUAAAUAAUAUGUCAAGAACAUCUCGAAACACACUCCGGACGUGUGCAUCUCAUAAAAAAAUUAAUAUUUAAGGUGUCAAUCAAUUUCAUUCCUAAAGUUUCAUGCAGAACAUAUUUCAUCUUUGUAGCUUUAUAAUUUCAAUUAAUUUCAUCCUUAAAGUUUUACGCAAUCACAUUUCAUCCUUAUAGUUUCUUAAAUUUGGCUAAUUGAGGACAACUGGUAUAUCGUCAAGUAAUUUGAAUGGGAUAGCGUCGUUUGACCAUAACAUAUCCAUUAGUUAAAAAAAAAACACUGGAUCAACAAAAAAGUUCAAAACUCUUUUCUUAAUUCGCUUUCUCGUUUUAGUACAAAAAAGAUUAAUAAAUUUUUAGCCACCAUUGCUCUCUUAUUAAUCACAAUCGAAUAAGAAGAUCCAAAGAAAAGUGGAAAAGAAAUAACCCUAAUAUAUAGCCAACUGAAGAAAAAUGCCAGACAUACCUAUUACAACUAAUUGAAGAAAAAUAUUAAUGCGAAAGAAUGAAUGGUUUUGAUUGUUAUUUAAUUGCAAAAUUUUAUUUUAUUGCAUCAUAUACGUGUUUUUCAAUCAUCUAUUUAUCCUUCAAUCUAUUUAUUUUGUUUCAAAUACAUCAUAUCACAAUUUAAAGGAAAAAAGAGAUAGUCUCCUAUCCAAAACACUUGUUGUUAUUUUCAUAAUUUAAUCAAUAAUUGAAUUAAUUAUUAAUAAUACAAUUAUUAAUAGGACGUGUGAUGAUAUUAUGUCUAAAUUGGUUAACAAUUAUUUAAUUGUCCUUAAUUGGUAGGAAUUAUAAACUAUGAGGAUGAAAUGUGUUCUACAUAAAUUUUAAAGAUAAAAUUGGUCAAAAUUACAAAAUUAUGAGGAUGAAAUAUGUUUUGUAUGAAACUUUAGGGAUAAAAUUGGUUAGCACCUUAAAUAUUGGGAUGAAAAGUGCAUUUUUCCCAUCUCAACUAAUCGUGAGUUUAUAGACGAUGUGGUGAUUUUCUGAACUUUUGUUGUAAAAUUGUCUGAUCAUGUGCGGACAAAUUUGGUAAAACAAAAAGAUAGACAAAAAAUUGACACCAAAUUUGGUCCAGUUAUUCACACACAGAUACAUCUUACCUGGAUUGGGUCCUCGUAAUCCUGAUCCUGACCCAAAUUCGAUGUUCAUCGGUCCACAUUAAACUUCAGCACUUUCCGCACCUAAGAGGUACAACGCAAAGCCCAGAAUCCAAUACAUAAAUAGUAGUAGUUCCUAGAUUCCACUCCAGCUUAAGUGGGAUGUGCUUGAUCCUCCCAAUGCUAUAAAAGGCAUAUUCUCCAGGGGCUCUUCGUCUUGUUCCCCCGGUCGGCCUCUUCAACUCAGAAAGUUUUUACACCUUUUCUAUUAUAUAUUUCCCACCAUACCAAUGGCGGCCGUGAUCCGCCUCUUGAGGCUCUCGUCUUCCUCUUCCCUUUCUCUUGCAAGGAGGUCUUUAUCCACGGCUGUCGUAACGGAGGCCGUGAAAUCACAAACUUACACUCAAAACCCCGCCCCGACUGCUGUAGAUCCCAAAGGUAGAAACGUGCAGUGGGUCUUUUUGGGCUGUCCGGGGGUGGGAAAAGGUACCUAUGCUAGUCGUCUCUCUACUCUCCUCAGUGUCCCCCAUAUCGCCACCGGUGAUCUCGUACGCGAAGAGCUUAACUCCGGAAGCAAUCUGGGCAAACAAGUAGGGGGUCUAUUUAAAAGCGUUUAUGAUAUUCAAGCUAUGUUAUUCAUUUUCACCUUUUGAGUUUUGAGUUGGAGUUUACACUGCAAAAAGAUCGAGAUAUUUUGCUUAACUUUUCCUUUAUAUAUAUGUGUGUGUGUGUGUGUGUAAAAAAUUCUAGCUAAGUGGGAUUUGGCUCAGCUAAAAGGGAAUUCAGAAAAGAAAAGUCUAUCCCAACCCUCUAUGCAGCUGGAAAAGAUGAAAAAAAAUGUCUCCUUUAUUAUGUCUACGAGCUUUAACAAUUACUCAUAUUUGGCUGUAGAUGACAUUUUAGUUUAUUUGAAUUCUGUGCUUGAACGAAGGGGGUUUAUUUUUGUGCUUUGUUUUUCUUUUUAUUUUUAAAAUGUUAUGAUGUAAAAUAAAUUUUCAAGUUGGCGGAUAGCUUAGCAAUUUGCCUACUGAAACUUCAGAUUAUCUGGCAAUUGCUUGGGCAGAGCUAAUUGUUAUUAACACCUGGACUAAGAGUGCUGCAUUUGCAUCCGACUUUUCGUAUAAUCUCGUGCAGACCUUUUUUUUUUGGGUCGAAGAUAUGAGAUUGUGUUAGUACAAAUUUUGUAGAAUAUAACAGUUGAGAUCUAUCGCUAUCUUAUGCUUGCAGCUCGAAGAUAUUGUGAACCAAGGAAAAUUGGUUUCUGAUGAUAUAAUAAUCAGCUUGUUGUCAAAGAGGCUUGAAGCAGGCGAAGGAAAAGGUGAAUCUGGAUUCAUACUUGACGGGUUUCCUAGAACUGUUAGACAGGCGGUGAGUGAUUCCUUAUGGGAAGAGCUGUACUUCUUGUUCUAUCUGUGGAAGUGGAUGCAAUGCCUACAUGCAAUUUUGUUUCUUUCAUUUGAAGAUGAAGAAGUAGUGAAAAAUAAGAGAAAAGAAAAAUUGAUCUGCAUAUGGAAUGGAAUUCUGAGAGGUUUUUCUUUUGAGGCUGUUUAGGACACGUGAUUUCAAAUUUUGAGGUUAUUACUGCAUUUUUGUUGGCUUGUACUCAUGUUGUAGCUCUGCAUUCUCCAAUUUUGUGUUUCUGGUGCAAAUCUGCUUUAGAAGACAUAUGUUUUACUAAAGUGCCAUGUAUUCUCAUGCAAAUGAAGUGUCAUGUAUAUUUUUAUUUGCAGAUUUGGCAAGAAGUUGAAUAGAAUACAUGACACAGAAAUUUGAUAAGAAUACUUAAGCUACAAAAGUGAUUUAAUUGUGAUCCCAUGCUAUGAUCAGAGUUUUUUCUUUUCAAUAUGUUGAUUCCUUGUUUCUAAGAUUGUAUAAUUGCAAUUUAUUUGUUUUUGCAAUUUCUCCAUCUGGUUCUGCUUGGAAGAAUUGAUGAUUUGUAUGAGCAAUAUGAUUCACUUUUCAUUUAUAGGCAACAAGUUAAUUUCUAGAACUUUAUUCAAUUUCUGCCAUGCCAAGUUCCCUUGCAGAAUUCUUGAAUGUGGGAGGUGAAAGUGAAGUUUUGAGUCAGAGUUCCUAAAACCUCAAUUAAUAUACAUAAAAUUUGACUAUAGGAGAAAACUAAGUUAGUUGGCAGAUUUAAGUCGAUGACAUGGGCAGAUGGGGGGAAAAAGAUCGCAGGAAGGUUAAGAAUACUAACCAAAUAACUGAACCACCAAAGUUAAUGAGGACAUAUAAAUGAAAUGCUGGGGUCUAAGGGAGUAAAUAGUGAAGUAGUUUUUAAUGCUCUAAAUUCCAAGUUUGUCUUUAUAAGCUCCUUAAUUCCAGAUGGCUAAAAUCAAAAGUUCCGCACAGGAGUUAUUUGACAGCAGUAGUCUAUAGCGUUGAGGUUCUUCCUGAUGAUGGAAUAGCUAUAGGAUUGUAGUUUGGGGUAUUGAGUUGAAUUGUGCUCUCAUGUCUUUGCAUGUCUAUGCAGGAAAUUUUGGAUGAAGUGACACACAUUGAUUUGGUUGUCAAUCUUAAGCUGCCAGAAAGUGUGUUGAUUGAGAAGUGCCUAGGGCGAAGGAUUUGCAGCCAAUGCAGGGAGAAUUUUAAUGUGGCAUCUAUUAAUGUGAAGGGUGAAAAUGGUCGUCCUGGAAUUAGCAUGGCCCCUCUUCUUCCUCCUCCACAGUGUGUUUCAAAGCUCAUCACUCGAGCUGAUGAUACUGAAGAUGUUGUAAAAGAAAGGCUUCGCGUAUACAAUGAAAAGGUAUCCAUUCUUCCUCUCCCUAUGGAGCUUUGCCCAGGGUAGAAUGAAUUUCUAGUAGACUCUUAUUUAAGGCCAUAGUAAACAAGCUUUUAUGGUUUGGUUUACUUUUCUUGACUUCUUAUCAUUCGUCCUUUCUUUCAUGUGGGGCAGGGGAACGGGUACUAGGAUGACCAAGGACAAGCUCUCAGCCUACCUAACAGAAAUUGUUAAUUUUAAAAUGAAGUUGUAUGGAAGGUUAAAUAAUUGCAACUUGAGUUAGAAAAGUUUUCCAAACUUAAUAGCUUGUCCAAAUUCCUAACCAUGCCCAUCAUUGUUCUGAAUUGAGAAUUCUUGUUAAUCAGUAUCUCGAACAAUGGGUUUUAGGCUGAGUUGCAUGAUUUAAUCAUCAUCUGUGGAAUCAAUUUAUGACAUGGUGCUUUUGGUGGCCGCAAUUCUCUUUCAACGGACUUAGUUACAUGUCACACACUCUCUACAGGUCCUUCAUAUUUGGGCCUUCAUUCCCUUGAAGUUUUUUUUUUUUUUGGUCGCAAUCUACAACUAUUGUUAAGUUCCUGUGGAUCUACAUGUCCCAACAGAUUAGUCUAAGAAACAUUCUAACUUGAAAUCUUCUCCUCCCUGUUAAGCAUAGUGGUGGAAAAUCACGAGGGAUUCUACAGAAAUUUUAACUGAAUUACGAUCCUUAGGUGUUAUAUUAUUUUGUGAUGUUUUAAAAUUUCGUCAGUCAGAUUAAUUUGUAAUUUCUUCUGUGAAUUAGAGGAGAAUGAUCAGUUAUUCAAUUGGUGCAUUGAUACUGACACAGGCCACAAUCAACUUAACCCUUGUCACUACCGUCUAGCAUGGGCUGUGUUAGACUUAUAGAUUGUUCAGAAUUGGGUCAUUUGAUAUUUAUGGUCAAACACUAUCUCGUAGGGUUGAUUGGAGAAAACAUUGUGAAAAUGUCAAGGUUUCUCCUUUUGAUUCACAGUUAGAUAGAGUAAGAUUUCACAGCUGCUUUAGAUGUCUCUUCCAGUAGUUGCUUCUUGUGUGAAUCUUACAUCUGGUGCUUGCAGAGUCAGCCUGUUGAGGAUUUCUAUCGGGGUCAAGGGAAAUUGCUGGAAUUUGAUUUGCCUGGAGGAAUCCAAGAAACCUGGCCAAAAUUGUUGGAAGUUCUUAACCUUGAUGAGCAGGAUGAGAAACAGUCUGUUGCUGCUUGAAGCCUUCAGUUGCUGUGCAUGAAUAUAGUGCACGCUGGAACAAUUUUGCAGGGAAAGACCAGCUUUUUUUUUUCUUUUUUUAAAUCCAUUUCUUUUCUUUUAUUGAUUGAUUGUGAGGAAAUAACAAACCUAUAACCAGCCCGAUAAUUAUGGUGGCUAUUAAUCGAGGCUCUUAACUAUUCAGAAGUCUGUUGUAAGAUUAAAAUACUGCAACUCACAUGAAUGAUUUGGUUGAAAUUGACUGUGAUAAGCCUCAAAUAGACAUCAUUGGUUCAUUGCUCUGCUUUUGUUGCAGCUGUCACGAGUGUCCUUGACCAUAUUACGUUGUGUGUACUUUAAUAAAAAGCUUGACAUUCACAAUCAAAACACGGUUUUUGCAAGAUUUUGUCCUUUUUUUUUUUUGGGGGCACAAAAGGGAAAGUGGCCUAACCCUUUAACUUGCAACAAAACGUGGGGCGGCGGCUCUUCAAGUUGUUAUCUUUCACGUGCUUAGGUGUUUCUGUCGUACUCCUCGAACAAAACCUCCGAGUCCGAGGUUAGGGAGUAAGCUCAGAUUAGAGGGAGGCCUUGGUGGUGGACUGGCAAUGCCGACAUCCUCUGUAACUGUAAUCUUCCACCUUUAUUCAUAGUGACCGACCAAUGCAGCACAUGAUGUGUCUGCUUGGUGUUGACAUGACAGCAGCUCAAGUUGCCGGUUUUGGGAUGCUUAUUGAACAGCUAAUUCAUGGUUGUUGCAGAUACUUCUAUAUCGUUAACCUUAAAUGGCAACAGCGGACUUCAUUGGGACAAAGUGCGAAUUAGGUAAAGCUAUGCAUACUUUCAUUGGCUUUAUAAGUUGUUCAUACAGGCCAAGAAACUCUGUUGUAACAGAAGAUGGCUUUCAACUCUUUCCGGAGCCAAAAAGAACCCCUCCACCAUUAGCAGCUCAGAAUUACAGCAAAGCACAUGAACGAAUGCUUGAAGAGAUCGCCUCAAUAAAAUUGUCCGCCAUGGUAAUCGCUUGUGAUCGGCACUGGAUCACAUUGCCAGUGUCCUUGCAGUUGAAAGAAAUGAGUCUUCCAGUUCACCAGGAGUCUCAAGAAUCAAGAUGCAACAGAAGAAUUGAAGCACAGCAAAUCUCACGUAAGAGCAUGUAAGCCUCUUCGGCUUUUUCAGUUUCGACCCUCAUUUGUCUCCUCUGUUGCUGUGCCAUCUAUUCCUGUUUGUGUCCCUAAAAAAUUAUCUGCUAUAAUACAUGCUAGUUUACCAUAUUUACGAAAUCCAACUCUUGUCUUGUUUCCGCUUGCCCUUUGAUUUCUUCCCUGCUAAGUAGAAUGAUGGAGAUAAAAAUUUGAAAAGAGCCGUUUGCAAUCGGUUGCUGAGUUCAAAGUAUUUUAACAAAGUUAAUUCUGGAUUCAUAUUUUAAGGAUAUUCAGUCUAUGAGUUACAGUAUAAUUUACCUUUCUAAGUAGUUACGUUUUCUUGUAACUUAAUAAUAUUGCUAUGCUGAUGAAAUUUAUGAUGAACAGAAUAGACAGAUAUGGGCUUGACCCUCCAUUGCAAGGAAAAGGAAAAAAAAAAGAAAAGAAUAGACAGAUAUGGAUGCUUCAAAUAUUGCUCCGUCUGUUCUUUUAUUGCUCCUGUCACAGGAAGCAUGAAAGAAAUGCUUCGUCUAUUUAUUUUCUUGUUGAAAAGGAUAGAGUAUAUAUAAAGCAUAGGAUACAGUUACAUAAACAGUUGAGUACUGGAUUUAACCUUAUUUACUCGGGGUGAAACCCGAGUACCUGUUGUGAAUACUUAUAAAAUGACAUUCUUAUCCUUACCAUGCACGGAUUUAUAUUUCAAUUUAAAAUAAUACUAAUAUAUAUACUUAUAUAUUAUGGGGAAUUUAUAUUUCAAUUCAAAACAAUAAUAUAUACUUAUAUGUUAUAGUAUAGGAUAAAGUAUAUGAAAAAGGCAAAACAAUUCAAAGAAGUGUCUACUUAAUAUGUUAAAAAAAGUUUAUUUCGUAAGUACAAAAUGGACUUUUUUAAUUUUAAUAUCUUAAAUAAGUUGAAACCAAAAUUUGUUUACCUACUGUCUGUCAAUAUAUGAUAAUAAUUUGAGUAAAAUAAUUUAAUUUAUAAUGAGUUACAUGAUAGAGCAAUUGUAAACCUAUUUAUCAACAUAUCAUGUUAUACCCAUUUAUCAAAAUUUUUAAUAUUAAAAAUAUAAAUUUUAACUAAUUCAUUUUCCUCAAUUUUAGAAAUUUUUUUCUCCCAUCUUGUAAUUCUAAAAUUGUUGAGUGCUUAUAAAAUAGUAUGUUUCAUAAACUUUAAUAUAGAUUUAAAAAAGUCUUUGUAAAAUGUGUUUUAAAAGUUUUCAAAAAUAUUAAAAACUAUCACGUCUCUAUAGUUCUCUUCUUUCUUCUCUCCUUUCUUCAUCUAAUCUUGUAGUAGUUCAUCUUUUUUUUUGACUUUUUUCACCACUCUUUAAUUCCUCACUAUUCCUUUUUUCUUGCCUAUAGUUAGCUUCUAGAUUUCUAUUCUUGACACCCAAUAUUUCUCUAUUAUUUAUUCAAAAUAUAACUUAACAUAUGUUUAUGUUACGCUAUUAUAUAGUGAAUUUCGCUAAUAAAAACACCAAAUUUAGUUAUUUUUCAUAUUAAUUUUGAAUUGAAUGAUUUCAAAUUUUCAAAGGAGAAAUAUUGUCAUUGAAUCUACAUUCAACCUUCAAACUAAAGAGUUAAAAUUUGAAAAAAAAAAAUUCCAUAACUUGCAAUUCGGUUUUAGAAUGUACUUGUAUUUGUACUUUCAAAAUAAAUUUGAAAAGAUAAAAUUUGAAGCAAAAGAAAAAAAGAAAAUCAUAACCUGCAAUUUGAUUUAAUAUUUUUACAAUAUAUUUAGCUUUACCUCUCACAAUAUGAAAAGCAUAUAGUAAAACUUAAGAUUGAUCACAAUGGUUGCAAGUAUUGACAUUUAAAAAUGCAAAUGAAAAAUUGAUAAUAUCUUAUAAAACCUUAACUACUACAAAAAAAUUUAUAAAAAAGACGUAGCAAUUGCAUAUUUACAUAUGAAGAAAACAAUAAAAAUACAUAAAAUAAUUAAUAAUACACAAGACUAUUCUUAGUAUUUGGGUAUUUGCACUCUUAUUCAAUUUUAAUUAAGGUCCAAUUUGGAUCAAAUAUAUACAAAUUUAAUAGAUAUAUAGUUUAGGGUCAAAAGUUCUAUACGAUUUCUUUAAAUUGCAUUGUUAUUUUUUAAAAAAAUUGUUGGUAGAAUUGGUGUUGUUUUUGUUAUUAUUUUUCAUCAAAAAUAGAGAUUUCAAAUAAAAAUUUUCAUGUUGAAAUGCUAGUAGUACUUUGUUUUUUUGUUUAGUGAUCUCAUAAUUUAGGGUUCACGAAUAGUACUAUUCCUGAUUUUUUUAAUCGACGACCAAUGAAUAUUUUUUUCUUUUUGUUUUCUAUAUAAUUUGCCCUUUUAGUUAGGAUUACUAAGUUGAAGGGUAAAAUAUUAUUAUUUACUUUUUUACUUUUAGUAAGUUUAAUGGUGUCUACUCUUUAUUUACCUCACAUUAAUAGAUUUCAAAUCAAAUUCCUAUAUAAGUGGAGUCACUUCAUACUCUUUAAAUUCAAAAGACAUGAAAGGAUAUAUAACAAUUAAAAAUUUCAAAACUCUAUAUAUUAAAAAAAAAGAAUAAGGAGUUAGAAGCAUUUUGAUUUAACCAUCCUAAAAAACCAUUCUUGCAAUACAUAUAAAUAUAGAUAGAUAAUAAUAAAAUUAAGUAAAAUUAUAGUUUGGUUGUUUGCAAAAAAUUUUAAAAGGUAUUGGAAAUGUGUAAUAUGGUAAAUACUUGGAAUUUAUUAUCGUAUACAUAUUCUAUGACUUUACCUUCAAAUAAUAGAACUUUUCAAUAACUUUUUCUUAUUUUUUUCCUUUGGGAGAUUACACUCCAUCAUUGCUUGGUAAUUAAAACACUUAAAUUUUGUCAAAAAAAAAACAAUAAAGCUAGUGUAAAUAACAAUCUCUUCCCUGACUUUUUUUACCAGCUAAAUCUUCUUCACCUUGAAAAAGUAAAACAAAUUUAGAACGAUACUAUUAGGAAAAUCUACAAAAUUAACAAGGACAAAACAGUUACUAUGUGGUAAGUACAACUCUUAUCUAGUAGGCUUUUGCAAACCAAACAUUGACAUCUUCAUUUUCAGCACCAUCAUCAUUAAAUUUCAAGGCUUUCCCUUUUUCUGCUUUGAAUUCUGCAACUUUGUCGGUUCAUCCAAAUAAACUUGCAAAAGUAUAUGAAAGAAAUAUCGAGACCAUUUGAAACUGAUAUUUUCGUGUAAUAGACAAUAAAUUCAAGUAUAUCAAAAGUGCACUCAAUUCUUCAGUUUUAGACUUCUACUUCUCACUAUCCUCUUUGGCAAUUUGAAUAAUUGGAUCAUCAAAUAUUCAUAUCACAAAAGACCAAAUAAACAAUAAUAUGUUCUCUUCAAGUUUAAGUGUUCAUACCAUCCACAGAAACUUGUGAAGAGGAUUUGCCUGCAUGAACAAUUUUCUAGAAUCUUCCAUGUGCAUUUCAAGCUAAACAGGAUUAGCCACAUCCAUCUAAACUCACUUAAUAAUGCAUACCAAAUAUAGAGAAAUUUACAAUAUUGUUCAAAAUCUAAGAACAAUUUGACAAACAUUCAGACAGACAGUAGCCGAUGAACAAAUUGUACAAAGACCGAUCAAGAGUACCCAUUGUGAAUGAAAGUCAUAUACGAAAAAGUGCACAAAAAGAAAACUGAACCAACAAUGCUGUAUAUUAACAAUGGCCAUUAUUGCGGCUAAUUAACUCUAAAAACUGAACACUAAAUACUGAAGAAGGAGGAAGGUUCUAUAGCUACACUGGUACCGUGCUUUCAAAAUGAUUCUUCACCUCUCACGCUUGCUUUAAUGUAGUCUUAAACGUGCUUCAAUUAUUGAUUUAAUCACUCCCUUUUUUUUUUUUUUUUUUUUUUGGAGAAGCCCAAUUUCUAAUCUGACGAUGAACAGGAAGGCAAUUUCUGCCCUUACGCAUUCGACAUGCUAUCGAAAACGAUUCUUUAGCUUUCACGCAUUAAUGUUGUUUUAAACACACACUUUAAAAUUUUGAAGUUUCAAUCACAUUUUAACUUGUCACUAGGCCUUUGGUCUGGUGGUCAUCGUCAAGACAAUAAAGUCCCGCCUAAAUUUGUCACAAUAUGUGACGAUUUUCAUUGGUCUUCUUCCAUGGAAUCUCUAUUUACAUCGAGCCCCCUAUCUAGAUUAGAUUAUAGAAAUUCUAGCAUUGCUACAAAAAAAAAAAAUCACAUUUUAACUUGCCUGCCGUCCAGUUUACGCGGUAGAUCUUAUCUGCUCUGAUCAUAUGUGUCCAGCUAGCUAAUAGCACGAUGGACGUGAAAUAUUGGCGGGGAAGAUAUUUUAGAUUCUUUUGCCUGAACCCAUGUGGACUAGGCAUUAGGCAAGUGGCAUUCUUCCACAAGGUAUAAGGUCACUUUCGUCAUUUAAUUUGGCCGACCGAUUAAAGUUAGAGGCGUCGUCGUCACUACGCCGUUAGACCCGGGUUACCUGUGACAAAACAAAACCACUUCACCUCCGUCUCAAACGGCGUUUGUCUGGAUUUCCGACAAGACCCAAGAACUCCUCAUAAAGCGGUCAGAGUCUGCCACGUGGCCCCCAUAAAUCUGUCUGAUUUCGGGCCAAGGCUUUUAUCGCCCGUCUUUAGAUUUGGUCCACCUCAUCGCACCCACAUCAUCAUCUCCUGCUCCACCUCGACCUCUAGCAUCUGACGUGUCACCUCCCCGACCUGCAAUUUACCCACGUCACCAGACUUGGGAAAAAAAAAAUCAAAACCAAAAAAUGAAAAUUGCGUAAGCAAAAUUUGCUCUUCAACCUCAAGUCCACCUCCUCCCGUUUCUAAGCCAGUCAAGCAUAUUUAGUUCAGCGCAAGAAACAAAAUCUAAUUCAUUUUUAAUGUAUCUCGAGUGCCCUGAUUGAACUGCAAGUAGUCUUGGUUUGAUCUCUAGUUUUAGCUUCAGUUGCUUGACGGUUUUUUGCUCUGAUUUUGGCUUUUGGUUGUCGGACUUCCGGAUUGUGAAUCGAGCAUCACAGUGGUUGUCGAUUAUGCCCAUGUGGAUGAGCUCUCUUUGAAGGUUACUCUGGGUUGCCUCAAAACCAUUUUCUUGAAUUUCAAGCGGAGUUUCUUAGUUUUUGAUUUUUCAGUUUUUUUGGUUUCGCUUUAAAUUCUCAGUUUAUGGUCCUCAUUGUCAAGCCUGUCUUUUUGUUCUUUAUUCAUUCUUCUUCGACGAAAUUAAUAGUGCUCUGAUGAACUUUACUUAAUCUAUUUGCUGCUAUGUUUUUAGAGUUUAAUGUGCUUGAGAUACAUAUUCGUUUUGGUUAAGAUUAGGGUUUGAAAUGUGAAGCAUGAGCUGACAAUCUGGAGUGUGAACUUACAGGGUAUCCGUUGAACAAUCGAUAGGGCUGCAAGGAUAUGUGUGUUUAAGCUGAGAAGGGUUUGGUUUGAUUUAAUUUUGGAUAGGACUUUUUGCAGUAUUAUUUCCACCCUUGACAUGCCUUUUUAAUAAUAAGUUGAUAUUUGACACUCUUGCUGGUGGAUUACUAGGGUUAAAAAGGUUUUGUAGUUGAAGAAUUUGAAUUCUUGAAGAAGAAGCUAUGAGCUGUUUCUUUUUCAUUGACAAGGAUUUGUCAAAGGUUUUAGCAGGAGACCAAAAUUGCAGCUUCCUUAUCAUCAAUGUUUUUGAAUCUGGUUGGCAGGGAGUGUUCCAAUGGCCGCUGAUGAUGCUAAUGAAGAAAAAGAUUCUCUCGAUGAGAAGGGAGUCAGAGAUGGUGGUGUGGAUGUGGGGCAAAGUUCAGUUAAAAACAAGGGGUUGAAGGUUGAUGGGGCUGUAAAUGAUGGAGUUGGAGCAGAGUUGCGAGGCCAGGAAAUUCUGCAUUUACAGCAGCAACAGUCUCCGGGGACAGCAGUUGGUUGGGAACGGUUUCUUCAUAUUACAUCUAUUAAGGUGCUGUUGGUGGAAAAUGAUGACUCCACACGACAUGUUGUCACUGCACUACUUAGAAACUGCAACUAUGAAGGUAGGGGAAUUCAAUUGCACAACAUCUGCAUUCUUUAAGUCCUAGUAGUCUGGGUUGAGGCUGAGAUACAUCUUAUUUAAAUCUCAUCACUUUAAAUUUCUGGAAUCUUUACAGUAAUAUGUUAAACAAAUACAUACAAAUGAAUAGGGAUCUAUCCUUUUCAGCAGCUACAUGGCUACUUGCUGCAUAUGUCAUUUGGACAACUAAGUAGUUCAACGUUGGGCCUUUUGUUAACUAUAGGGAAAAUAAAUUUCAUGUUGGUGUAAAGGUCUCAACUAAGUUAUGCUUGUUUACAAAGCUUCUUGUUAGCCAAUCCAUUGUCAAAAUCAAUUUCUGUCAUAAUUUAGUAGUGUAAUUCAGAUUCUCUUUAGUUAUUCGAAGGAAUCUACUGGUUACAUUUUAUUUUGGGUUACAACCACUUAGAUUUAAACCAAAAAAAAAAAAAAAAAACGGAAACUACUUAGUUUUUCUUUUAGUAUAUAGUAUAUACAGCCAAGAAAAUCUCAUAAUGCUUUCUGUAGUUUAGUUGCAUCUCAAAUUCGCUAUUGUUUAGGAUCCACUUAAUUGCAUCUUAAGAUAAUUUCUGUUUGAUUUGAGGAUGGAGAAUGCAUAGCCUAUUGGACCCUACAGGAGGAUUUCCAGCUUGGAAUGAUUGGUUGAAAUGCAUCUUAGACAGACAUCUUUAUGUGUGUUAGACAACUUGCAUAGAGCUUGUAAACAAUUAAAACAGCAGACAAUCAGCAACUACUUCAGGAUGAAAUGUACCUUUUAUACUUUAAUUAGCAAAGCUUUGGUUUGAUGCUUUUUAAGUUGAAGUGGAUUGGUGGUAUUCAGUGCUUGCUUCCAAAUUUGCAAACAGAUCAGGUCAAUGUAAAGCCCAUGUGAUACUUCCAGAAUUGACCAUAAACAAGCAAAAAAUGUGGAUUAUUAACCAGUUCUGUCAGUAGAUUCUGAGUUGAUGCAUCAUAAUAUCACUUGGCUGACUGCAAAUCAAUGAGUUCCUUCACAUUGAAAUUGUGCUUGAAGAACUACCUUGUAUGGAGUGAAAACAGUGUAGUCAGCUAAAAUCUUCAUCUCAUUCCUCUCCUUAGAUAUGAAUGAGGCAACACUGAAAUUUGUGGGAUAUUAGGUUUAUCAGUUUAGCUCUAAUUUGUUGUUUUUGUAUGUUUUCAAACUAAAUCAAAGUUAUCCUCCAUGUGCUAAAUUAAUUAGUCAGGCUCUGCUUCUUUUAUUUCCUCUCACCAAGCCUUUCCCUUUGGACCUCUAUAUGCCAUGUUUCAGGAGUCCAUUUAAGCACCUUUCAUUCAGUCUAUGAUGCAUUUUGUACUAUAUUAGAAUAUGAUUCAAAAUUGCUUUCUUGCAGUUGUAGAAGCAGCAAAUGGAUUGCAGGCAUGGAAAAUUUUGGAAGAUCUAACUAACCAGGUUGAUCUAGUCUUAACAGAAGUUGUAAUGCCUUGUUUAUCGGGGAUUGGUCUUUUAUGCAAGAUUAUGAGCCACAGAACACGUAAUAAUAUUCCUGUUAUUAGUAUGUUCCUCCCUGUGCUUCUUAUACUUCUGAUAUUGCUCUACACUGUUUGAUUUGACUGAGUUAUUACUUCUGUUGUUUUAACAACCUACCUCAAUGAGAUUUGUCUGCAGUGACGUCAUCUCAUGAUUCAAUGGGUUUAGUUUUUAAGUGUUUGUCAAAAGGAGCUGUUGACUUUUUGGUAAAACCCAUAAGGAAGAAUGAGUUGAAGAACCUCUGGCAGCACGUCUGGAGACGAUGUCACAGUGUGAGUUGAUAUUUUUUCUGAGGCUUACUAGCUUUCAUGCACUUUAUGUUUUCCUGAUAACUCAUCUAAUGGUCUUAAACAUAUGAGUUUUAUAUUUUUUCUUGCCAGCAAGCUUUUUUGAUAUACAUAGAGAUUUGGUAAAUCAAUAGCACAAGUUUAUAUUAUCCUCAACCCCCACCUUUUCAAUUUAACACUUUUCCCUUUUUUUUUCAUUGAAGCUGUUUCAAUUUUUUUGUCUUGGAUUGUUGUUUCUACUUCUCUUAGUCUAGUGGAAGUGGGAGCGAAAGUGGUGCACAAACUCAAAAAUCUGUUCAUACAAAAAGUAGUGAAAAGUCGGACAACAGUGGCAGCAAUGAUGGAGAAAAUGAUGGGAGCCAUGGAUUAACUCACGGUGAUGGAAGUGAUGAUGCAAGUGGCACACAGGUAUUGGAAUUUGUUCAUUUUUUUUAAUUAAACAACAGGUUGUUUUACUAAAAGAAAUUUUUAGCUCAUCUGUUUCUGGCGAUCAAGUUUUCUGGUUAAAUCUUCUGAUUGUUUUCUUGAUUGGUAAGGUCAGCUCAUCAAGUGGGAAAAAAGACUUCUUGUAAUGGAACAAAUUUGCUUACAUGUAUACACUCUCUCUGCCUCUGUCUUUGAUCAAUCAUCAUAAAAUUGGUGUGCAUAAUAGUGAUGAAGUUUAUUAGCUAAAUCCUGAUGGAGAAUCACUAAAUUUCCAAUUUAUUGUCUUCUUACUUGUAUCCGGUGCACAGAGAACUUCUCGAUCAGACGAUGAAAUAUAUAUCUGUUGUUCUGAAACAGAGUAGUGUUGGUUCAAAUGUAUUGUGAGAAACUAAAAAGUUAUCCUAUAAGCACAACAUUCAUCACAUCAUUGUCUAUGGCAUGUGCUAAGUGGUUGUGGAUUGCAUCUUUCCAUUCAAUUCCAUGAAUGAUAGAAAUGGGUCUGUUAUUCGACAAGGAACUUCGUAUACCAUGAGAAAGUCGUUGAUGCCAUUUCUUGAGUUGUAAGACAAUGAAAUACUUGUUUUUCUCUUUAUAUCCUGUGUCCUUAAAAGCUCCACUGUAUAGUUAAUAUUGAUCUCUUGAGCAUAACAUUCAUUGAUUUUGACUGCAUUAUCUUUGGUGAGAUGUAGAGGUCAUGUUUUUCCUUUUUGAUACGAACAAUGGAUUUAAGCUAAUUAUUCAUCAUGCAGAUGUGAGUUAAGUGUUUCCUUUCUGAAGACUACAACUUUUUGUGGAUACUGUCUCAUGUCAAAUGACAAUGGAGUUAUUUAAUUUGAUAAGUGGUCAUAGGCACACAUGUACGAUUUAUCUAUAAAUAUGUACAAUUAUGCUAUUGAGCAACUACGCUUAUUCUUUGUUUCCUCAAUCCCAAGGGAAGUUGUACUAUCCACAACAGUCUGGCAAGUAAAAAGUAGAAAAAGAGGCCAUGAAUUUCAGAACAAAAGGUCUACCAAUGUGUACUUGCUUAACAAUUGGUUAGCCAAAAACGGUCAGUGUCUCCUUAUAAAGCUGUAUCUCAAAAAUGUGGUGGCGCAUAUGAUAUUGCAGUUCCAGUAGCAUGUAUACAUAGAAUAUUAUUGUACUAUAGUGUUGCUUGCAUGCUUAAUCUGUGGCCUUAAUUAAGACAUAAGUAGUAACUUUUCUGUGCAGAAUGAAAAUGCUUGAGUGCUUGAGUCAAAUUUAUUUUAAACUCCUUCCUUGCAGAGUUCUUGGACAAAACAGCCUAUAGAAGAUGACAGCUCUCAAGCAGCUUCUCCAAUUUGUCAUGUAGCUGAGUGUCCAUCCAGUCUCCAUGCCCAUGUUAAUCGACCAAUUGCUGAAAGUUCCAGUAACAAGAGGGUGCAUAUAACUGCAAAAAUGGAGGACCAAGAGGAAGAAAAGUCUGGUAAUGAAUUUUUGUAUUUUCUUUUGCAAAUUGAUUUCUUUCCUUCCCUAGCCUAAUAACAGCCUUCAUGUCUACCUCUUUCAAAUUAUGAACAGUAUACAAGGACCCUUUCCCAGGCACGCCUAAUAAUUUGGAAACAGAACCUGAAAAUCCAAUUGAUAUCGUUCCACAGAUCAGAAAUGCAAAACAGCAUAUUCUGCUGGAAAUUCCGUCAAUAUAUAGUAGUGCUAGGAUAAACAGAGGACAGGCAAAUCCCACUGAUAAAUUGAGGUCCAACAUGCACAGUGUGGUCAACAUUGAAAUUUCUCAUCCUCAGCUGAGAGACAGAGAACUUGAGCCUCCUACAGAAUUUGCAAACAAACUGGAAGUCAACGGCUCAGAUGAUGGUAAAGAGGCUGCCAUAGAACUCAGUUUAAAGCAGCUCAGAGGCAUUAUAAAUGCUGGAAACACUAUUCAAGAUAACCACAGUCCUUUGAAACAUUCUGAGCUUUCAGCCUUCUCAAGGUUCGUUUGGAGAGUGGAAGGAAUCAAUUACUUUGAAUAGUUCUGUGAUUGAAUGCAAUGGAAGUGCAAUGUGAAUUUGAAUUCCUGAUUUUCAUCUUUUUGUUGGUUGAUGUAACUUUGCAGAUAUAAUACAUCAUCAAGCACCGUUAGGGCCCCUAUUGGAAUUACAGGAAGCAGUUAUGUGAUUGAUAAUAGCCAAGAAGUUGCAAAGAGGGACACAGUAUGUGAGCAUUCAAAUGGCAAUCUUAUCUGCCCUAGUUCAAAAGUAGUGAGCAGUAACAUAGACAUGGGCUCUACAACGAAUAAAUUUGCUCUGAACCCGCUAUUUUUUACUUCAGAAGCAACAUCAGCAAUUAACAUUUUGCACCGUACGUCUGCUUUUACAAUUGUUAAAACUGACCAGGUAAAUGCUCCACAACCAACCAACCAACUUAAAGCCACCGACAUGCAUGCCUCAUCGAUGCUGUCUCCAGCAAGAGCCAUGCAGCACCAUCCUCAUCACCACCACUACUACCAUCACCACCAUCACCAUCAUUUCCACAAAUCCCUGGAAUUGUCCAAUCAUGAUCAAGAAUCGGUGAAAAAAUUAACUGUGGAUACUCAACAUUGUGGUUCGUCAAAUGUUUUAGGUGCACCUGGUGAUGGAGACCCUGCAAAUCUUCGUUUAAACAGAAGCACCUCAGGAAGUAAUUACGGAAGCAAUGCACAGAAUAGCGCUGCCAUGAAUGCUGAGCCGACUAAUGGAGAAAGUGAUAUGGAUUUAGGUGGGACAAAUGGAAUUAGAGAUGCUAAUGGAAGUGGUUGUGAAAACAGGGUUGAAAACAAAUUAGUACCGAGAGAAGCAGCCCUGUUGAAGUUCCGGCAGAAGAGGAAGGAGAGAUGCUUCAAGAAAAAGGUAGAAAUUAUGAUCCUAAUAGCCUUGAGUAGUCAAUUUUUUGGGAGUCAAUUGAGAUCCAUAAUUUGCCUUUUGUGAUAGCAAAAUCUGUCUCUGCAAUGGACCUGUUUUCAGUUUCUUCAAAUCAGCUUCUUGUAGCUUUUGUAAGCCAAAAAUUGUUGAGGUUUUUCAUUUUUCUUUGGACUUCUAGUUUUGGUUUGUUUUGAAUUGAAAAAAAAAAGGCGUUAUAUGAGACGGCCUUGAGAGUAUUUCUCGGAAACAGCUUUUCCAAACUUUUAAGAUGAGUAUAUGUCUCAAUAAUUUGAAAAGCUUUUUCAGAAUCACUUUGCUGUAAUCAGCUAGGAAAAAGCAUUAUCGAUCAAGACCCUCUGUUAAGCAGCAAACUUUUGUGAUUGAUUUUGGUCUUUAGUAGAGUCUAGCGAGGUUUUGUGAUAAGAAUUCGAUCAUAACAGCAGUUGUAGAUGGGGUUUUAAUGAUAAGAUUUGCACUAUGAUAAUAUUUGUGGCAUGAAUGGUUUCAGGCAGAAAGUGCCAAAGACUAAUUUGUGGAGUUGAUGAAGUGCACAAGAUCAGUAAUUUGACAGUUUUUUGGUGGCCCACAGUUACUCACCGAAGGUGUCUAGUGGAGAAUAGGGAACAGGACAAAUUUGUUUCAUUUUGAGUAUGAUAGGCAUGAGAUCUAGGUUAGAAUUUCAUAAUCAUAGCAAGGAUAGAACAAUUGCUAGAGUGCUGGGUUUCUGUGUCAUAUGCUGUCCAGAUUGGUUUUCUUAGUGAUGAAAUUUUCUUGCUUCUAGUGUUGGAAGGUUAUUAUGAUUGCCAUAAUAAAAUGUAAUAACACGAACACUAAUUUUGUCCUAAUUUGUGGAGUUGAUGAAGUACUCAAGCUCAGUAAUUUGAUGUUUUUUUGGUGGCCUAUGGUUACUGGAUAAGGUAUCUAAUGGAGAAUAUGGAACAGGACAAAUUUGUUCCAUUUAGAGUACGAUAGGCAUGAGAUCUAGCUUAGAGUUUCAUAGUCAUAUCAAGGAAUGAACAAUUGCUAGAGUGAUGGGUUUUCCAUGUCAUAUUUUGUCCAGAUUGGUUUACUUAGUGAUAAAAUUUUCUUGCUUCUAGUGUUGGAAGGCUACUAUGAUUCCAUGGUCAAAUGUAAUGACACGGAUAUUAAUUUGUCCUUCCAUUCUUUCUUCACCAGGUUCGUUAUCAGAAUAGGAAGAGACUAGCGGAACAGAGGCCUCGUGUUCAAGGGCAGUUUGUAAGACAAACAGACCAUAACAACUCAAAUGAGUGACUGACUUAAUUCUGAUGACUCACUAGUCUUCUGCAUGCAUGCAAAAGCUGGUCAUUUUAGGGUAAGAUACUUUAUUAGUUUGGAGCUCAAGCAAUUUGAACUUUUGUUAGCUUGAUCUGUAUCUAUGCUAAUAGCAAUUAUAGAACAUUGUCUCUUUCUGGAAUAGUCUUUUCUUCCUGAAAGAUACUUGAGUUGCUUGUGUUGUAUAAACGUGCUUUAUUGUAACGGAGAUCAUAUUUGUACAUCAAGGUAUUUAUACUCUGCCUUUUGAAUUGUAUUUUUUUUUUUUUUUUUUUUACAUUUUCUACUUAGUUUGGGUAUACUCUCUUAAUUCUUAUGUGGAGAAACCUCUAGUAGUGCCUUACCAAACCAUAAUUUUUCAAUAAAAAACCAGAGAUAUUGAUCCUUAAUACAUGAAAAAGUUCCCCAUAGAUUUAUAUCACAUAAAAUGGCUCAGCUGUGGAUUCGCCCCAAUUGGAAACAUAGCCAGUUAGAUACCAACUAGUUCAAUUGUGAAGCGUAUAGUGGUUGAUAUGAUUAGUAACCUGUUUGUAACAUGACAGUGUUUGCAUAAGCAAACAUUAUGAGCAUGAAUCUCUCUAGUCAUAUGAUCAUGACAAGUUUCCAAGAUUGAGGAAUAGGCGUAGUAAUCCUAUAAUGACCUAAACCUACCUGUUACCUCUUAAGUUUUGUGAGAAUUCGGGACUGAAUGGACCAACUUUCUUACUGGCUUUGCACCUUAAGUGCCACAAUGCAUGAUUACAUCUUUUGUGCGAAUUCCGGAGAUAGAGCCCCUAACAUUUUUUAUCAUCUGAUAUGUUGGAAUAUACUCGAUGUGUUGGGAAGAACUGCGUCUCUCUACACCUCAAUCUUGGUUAGGACUGUAAAUGGAGCUCUUAGUUGGACUGCGAUUGACAACAGGCUUCCUGCCUUCCUGAAAAAAUUUCAAGGACAAUAAUUGCAUUACAGAUGCUGCAGACACAACGUAAAGGCCUGAGAUUUCAAGAGAUGGCAAGUAUCCGCUUUUCAGGGAUGACUAUAUCUUUUAUUUAGGGGAUAAAGUUCACAUUAGAAUGAAAGAAUGAUUUACAUUAAAAUGGUCUCUAGAUGUCUGUAAGUUACAGCGUCUGGAAUCUUGAUUUUUUCUUCAUUUCUAUAGGUUGUGCAUGCUGAUCUUGAAAUUCUGUAAGGACGUCCGUUACCUGGGAAAUGCUAAUUUCUAAGUCCAUCGUGCGUGUUCGAGCGUCCUUGCUUUAUGGGUUUUGCGGCAUGCCUUUAAUUGCAAAAACUCAUUAUUAACUCGAUAACUCUCCAGAACAGAUAAAGACUGAUAUCUCCAAUCCAUGCACCUUUUUCUCUUCUUUUGAUGUUUUCCUUUCAUUUUGUUCAGUAGAAAGUACCGAUAUAUAGGCCCCUGUCUAGCAAAUACGCUUUAUCCUCACGUAUUGGUAUUUUCUGAAAGGAAGAUAGGAAAAUUAUACACGCUACGACUUUGAAAUUCACAAACUAUCGUCAAAGAUGAAUACAAUCUCAAGCAUACUGCUAUCACGCCAAUCUUUAAUUCUUUGGGGAAGUUAUAUUUACAUUCCUGUGGAAGUAGAGUAGUGGGUUUUUUUUAUAUUUUUUUUACGAUAAUAAUAAUAUUUUUAUAAUUUAAUCUAUCCUAAUUUAGAGAAAUGGAGAGCCUAAAAAAAAAAGAGAUUAAUAAGUAUAAGAAUCUGAUAUUAAUAGUGUGCUUGCUGCUCUAUUUCUACAAAGAAGAAGUGACGAAUGUUAGCUGAUUUGGUAGAAUGGAAAUAAUUGUCCGUAUGGACCUUGUCUUAUCGUAUUGCAAAUCCUUCCAUUUGACGUGAGUGGAAGAAAAGCAGAAACAAAACCUGGCCCAAAGUAAUGGUUAAAGGAUACGUCGUGAGUGAAAAUUUUUGUCUACCGGUCAUGUGGUCACGUGUCGCCCCAUAGCGCCCUUAAGUUUUUCCAACUAACGUUCCUCGAAUCUUUGGUCUUCUUGUCUCAACUACUCUUCAAUCUCUCUGCUGAGAGUUCAUGCUUGCUUUGCUCAUUUUCUAUGAGGUAAAUCAAAGUUUAAAAAAUCUCUUUAUAUUAAAAUUUAGGAUAAAUCUUUUAUGCACUGACAGACAGUGUAUACACUGACGGAUCUACAUGCAUGUCACAUAUAUAAAAUUUGAUAAUCGACUUCAAAUUUAAAUGAUAUGACAUUUAUUCAAUUCUGUAAGUGUAUGCACUGACUGCCGAUGUAUAAAAGAUUGAUUCUAAAAUUUAUUGGGCUCUUCUUUAUUUCCACAAAAAUGUUUUGUGAGCAGACUGGGGAAUUCUGAUCAACUAUCGUGUUUAGGGUCAUGUUUUGAUCGGAUUGUGCGAAUUUUUUUUCAUCAUUAAGAGGCGUAAGAAACCUUUGCAAGAAUUAAGAAUCAACAUAUUAUUAACCAAACUAAACAGACAAAUACGGAAAACUUUUCCAAAAGCGUUCACCAAAAGAAAGUGGCGAACCGUAUCUGAUUAAGUGUGAACAUUUUCAGGAAAGAAAGAAAGGGAUUGAAAAUCUAGCUGCAGGGCAACUAGCUUUUUUGAAGUGAAAACAGAGAGGGGUGAAAAAAUUUAUGGUCCUUGUGGACGAUGGCCUCUAGUUUGUAUAUGGACAUAUGGUAUAUUGAAAUUGUAUUUGUAUAUAAAUAUACGUCUAAACAAUGAGAACGCAAUUCUGUACCUCAAAAAAAAAUCUUCCAAGGAAAUAAAGGCUUUUUUUUUUAUUUUUACGGAAAAGUAAAAUGAAGGACUCUAAGCUCCCAAUUGCCAUACGCAUACCUAAGUUUCAUGCCAUGCAUAUUCUGAAUAUCAAGUUUCAAGAAUUUUGUUUUCUUUUUUUGAUGAGGUGAAUUAAUGUAAUCAGUUUCUAUGCUCUAGUUGCGUAGUAUACUAGUCCUAAACAGUCAAAUUCUUGAGAGUCUGCUCUACUUUUUUUUUUUAACUAAAUUUUGGUUGUUAUAUAUAAAAAAAUAAAUAAAAUUUUUUGGUCGCUGCUUAAAAUUUAAAAAAAAUUUUUUUUUGAUCUUUGGAUCUGUUAUUUUAAUUAGUCUAGGAGACAUUAUUUGAAUAAAACCUUAUUUGUAAACCGUGAUUCUUUUUCCUACAAUAUUAAUUAGAGCAAUUAUUUAUACCCAAUAAACAUAUGUAGAUUUGAAAAAGAAAAAUUCCAAGCUUUUGGCACAUUCAAGCUGUGAGGUGCAGAUUUGGAUCUUGUGGGAAGAGUUACAGCAAUCGUAUACUUAAUUAUAGUAUGACUCAUCAAGACUUCCGGAUUUUUUCAACACUGCUGAUUCCUCACAUUUCAUUAUUCGUACAUGCAUCAAUCUACGGUUGCGUAUGUUAGUAUUUGCUUGAGUGUAUAAAUAUUCUAUCACCUGCAUGCUUAAGCGGGGAAUAUGACAUCCAUAGUUGCAGAUGACACGUGCCAGGACGAUAAGAGUAAUGCUUCCUCCCAAGCUACUCUAGCAUAUAUACAUAUAUGUAUAUGUAUGUGUGUGUAUAUAUAUGACUGUACUAAUAUGUACGAUUCCAUCCAAGAUUAUAUUCCGGUGGUCACUGUUAUGUGAAGAAAUUAAGGACGACUGAGCAAAUAGUAAGGUCCACCAAGUACUACUGAUGAAACUGUUUUCUUCCUUCCAGUUCGAGUCAAAACCAGAGUCCACUACUGUUGUGUUUAGGUUUUGGGUACGUAUGGGACUAAGAAUCAUGAUAAGAGGAUUCCACAAAUCCUAUGGCGCCUGCUGGCACGUGAUUUUGUUUUAUUAACGUUCUGAUAAAUUACAUUUUGCCUCUUGGUACUUUGUCACAAAACCUUUUAUAGUUUUUUCCAGGAACCGUUCGUAUAAUAAUUCCUUAAACACGCUUUCGCGUCAGUGAUGUAAACUCCUCAUAGUUUGGAUUAAAGUGUCAAUGUUAGUUUUUUCGUUAAACUAACGGUAAAUAAUAAAAAGUCAAAAUUAAACUAAUAAAUUGACAACUAUUUCACUAUUUUCUUUUUCCUUCUCUCUCUCUCUCUCUCUCUCUCUCCAUAUAUAUAUAUGUGUGUGUGUGUGUGUGUGUGAAGAAAAGAUAUGAUUUUGAAAACCUAUACUUUGACAUACAAAAUAUUAAUUUUAUCCAAAUUCAAAAGAGUUGGAAGGAAAAUAAAAAAUAAAUAAAUAGAAAACAAAAAAUAUCAAAUCCUUUUGACAACAUAUAUCAUUAUAGUUUUUAAAAUAAAUCUUUUGUGGUAUUUUCUAUUUUUUAUUUCAAUUUCUUCUUUUUUAUAUUUGAAGGGAAAAAAAGGAAGCAAUGAAAGGAUAAAUUUGUUAAUUUAAUAGUUUGAUUUUGACUUCUUACUAUUGACCGUUAGUUUUUAAAUCAAAUCAGGGUUGUAUGACAAAAUACCAAAUUACAAGAAGAUAAAAGGUAAGUUACCCUCAACGUUUUAACCCAGCCUAGUUAUGGUUAAUGUGUAACCUAGUUUUCCAACACACACACACACAUUUUCAUUCGACGUCAAUUCAUCCAUCCAUGCACACAGACUUAAUUACCAGUCUUUCCAUUUUUUUCAAUGGUUUAGCUUGUCUUCUGCAAUCUGCUCGUUCGGUGCCGCCCUCCGUCGUUUCAAUUUGUGAUAGGCAAAUUAAGAGAGGGAGGAUGCGAACUGGACAAACGUAGAAUUUAUGGCUGCCUGCUGGUGCAGACGUACUAGUAUUUAUUACCUUAGGCUAGGGACCAACAUUAACGUGUACACGCUGCUGCUCGAACGUCGUAUGAGUAGGUUUUUUUUUUUUUUUGGCUUUGUACGAGGAGGUUGACUUAUCAUAUGCAAAGAUUAAAAGGAAAAAAAAAUAGAUUCGAGAAAUCCCCAAUGAACAAUUAUUGCCCUGCCCCUUGUAAGUUGUGAUGUCAUUAGCACUAAGGGGGAUUGGAUAUGUAAUUAUGUAUGAUUGGAUUUGGUGUGGUAGCCUUUAAUUGUUGUGUUUUUGGUCAAAUUUUGAUACUUCUUUCGUCUCAUGGCGUGAAGAUAAGUUUUUUUUUUUCACACAGAUUAACAAAUUUAAUUAAUAUAGUUACAACAAUUUAAAAUCGAAUCAUAUUUAUUCGGUAAAUUUAUGUAUACCAACAAAAUUUAUAGGGAUAAUAUCAGAAACCUCUCCUUAGAUUUCUCUUAAUAUCACCUGAUACUCCUAAGGUUUCAAAAAUAUCACUUACCUCCCUUACUUUAGUUAUUUGUGUAACAAAAUUUUUAAAAACCCUAACCUACCCUUUCACUUACUAAAUAAAAAUGUUCCUAAGUCACUUUGUUCACUUCAAGAAAACCAUCACUUCAAAAGCAAUCUCUUGUAGUACUACUACAUCACAAUGUUAUACCCCAUAAAAAUAUAAUUUUGAAAAAUAAAAAUGAUAUUUGAAAAGAAAUACAUUUGUAUCAAUUUAAUUCGAUAUGCUCAAAAUCGAUUUCUUAUGAAUUUACAUUUUUUCCACCAUCUUCUUAACCCUUGCUCAAACCAUUAAAUUAUACCAAUUAUUAUAAAAAUCAAAUCAAAAUAAGCAAAUAAAUAGUACCCCACUUUAUCACAAUCACAAAAAGUAAAAGAUAAAUAAAAUUUAAUUUAUUAUAAUUUAUAAUAUAAUAUUGCAUAUUCAUCAAAAAAUAUAUGAGUAAGAGAGAAUGAUGGAGAAAAGGGAAAAAGAAGAAAGUGACUUCCAUUUCUUUUUUUUAAAAAAAAAUUUUGAGCUUCAUUUAUUUAAUAUGUUGUAAAUUAUGUGUUAAGUGAGGGUUAAUAUAUAGUCUUUUGACAAUUAUUAGGGGGGUAAGUGAUAUUUCUAAAACCUCAAGGGUGCUAAGUGAUAUUAAUAGAAAUCUCAAGGGAGGUUUCUGAUAUUAUCCCAAAUUUAUAUGUGUAACAAAGUCAUACGACGGUACAUCAAAUCAUGCAUCAUUUGUAUUUAUUUGCCCCUAGACCGAAGUACGUAGGUAAAAUGGAUAUUUUGGCCGAUAAAAGUCAAACGCUAGUAACAGAAUGGCACAGUAACAUAAUAAAUUUUUUUCAAGCUCUUUUGGGAGACUGAAAGAGAAUAAUAAUAUGGGACGUUGGGCUUGGGUUUACUGCACUUCCCUUUAUAAUUAUAGGUGGAAAUUUGUAAACCCUCUGGCUCUAGUAAGUAGUACAGCGUGCUUGUACAGUAGUACAGGGAUACUGGACUGGGUGUAGGAAUAACGUGGAGUCAAAACAGCCGCAGCUAACAAGACAGUUAGUUGGGAACGUAUGGAUUUGGUCCUAAAGAAGCUGUGAAGCGUUUUAUAUGCCUAUGGUGGUAUGUUAUGGGGGUUGGGGUAUGUAUUUAAUAUCCAGACGCCGGGCUUCCAACCAACCAGUCAGACGUUUUGCUUAAUUCUUCAAUGCCAAGAAUAUCAAAUACGUCUUCUGAUGCUAAGUGAUUCUCUUGGUUUUUUUUUUUUCUUCCCAAGCAAAAUUCAAAGCCAUAAUCCUCCGUCGUCCAAGUUCUAAUCUUCAACCAAAAUAUUUCCUUCAGAUUUUUCUGUUACUACAUCCCCCGUCCCGCGAGAGCUCUCGUGCUUCCUGGCUAACCUGCUUCAUUUGUAGUUUUAGCUGCGGCUGCUGCUCCAUAGCGAUUACGAGAAAAUACGUAAUAGACCUUUGUUUUUAUCGUCUGCCUGAAUCAUCCCUCGUUUCUCUACUGCAUAGAUUUAGAUAAGGUAAAACUUGAAAAGCCCGAGAAACUUUUUCUCUCUUAAAACUUCUGCAUAGUCUUUCUUCCUUUCUUUCUGUUGUCGGCUUCUCUUUUUUAGCCCAAAAAGGAGGUGCCUGUUCUUGAAAUCUGGAUUUGUCAAGGUAUACUAUAGAUGCCAUCUCUUUUCAUGUGUGUGUGUGUGUGUCACUACAUGUGUGAAUGAUUGCUAGUUUUGGUUUUGUCCUUGCCCAUUGAUUAAAUUCUGGGGAUAUAAUGCUGUUCCCUUUGGAUGAUAUAACGUGAGAGAUAAACAGUCCCUUUGGAUGCUAUAACAUGAGACAUAAACAGUCUCAUGAGGCUCAGAUGACCACGGCUACCUGGCUAUUACCAUUCUUCUUUGUUUCUUAUCCUUUCUCUUGCAAUUGGGUGCUCACUAACAAGAGCUAUUGACUUCUUUUCUGUGAGUUAUACAGGCAUUUUUUCUUUUUCCAUCUUGGAAUCAUUGAUAUUGGUUUCUAUCUCUUAUCUCUUUGUUCAGACGUUCAUUUUCUUUCUGGAGAUACAAAUUCUCCCCUCGUGUAGGCAAGCGUAGUUUAUGACUAGUCUUUGAACUUUGCAUCUUUCGUCGUCUUUGAUUGAUAUAUUGAUAAUUGGCUGGCAUUUCUGGGUGCAAAUCUGCAAGUGUGGUGUGAACCUGGUGCUCCCUUUUGAAUCUUUCUUUUUCCUUUUUCCCCCCUAAUUUGUAUGAAAUGUUGAUAAGUUGACAGUAAUAAACUAUUGUGCCCUACAUUUGUUGAUGCUUCUUGGAGGAAUAAGACUCUUUUUAAUUUAAUUCAAAUAAAACAGCUGACAAGUGUGGAUUCAAUGUCUUUUUCCCGAUAGAUGGAAUGCAAGAUGAUUUUGGCCGGCACUUUCGGUAACAUGAAGAAUCUUAACGAAUCAAUGCAGUUCUUGGUAGAAGAAAACUGAUGUCAUUCAUGUUCCUGGAGACUUUGACUCCCGCUUGUUACGUGUACUGAAGAUGGAAAUUAAAGAAACAGAGAAAGUGGCCAUCGCAAAGCCUGUAGCAUCAAGACCUACUUGUUCCGGUUUUAAAUCCUUCUCUGAGCUUCUUGCCGGUGCCAUCAACGCCUCACCCUCUAGCACAUGUUCUGAAGCUGCGGUAACAGCCAUUAGACCGAGGACGGUGAGGUUCAAGCCAGCAGUGGACCAUCCUUCGGCUGGAGUGGCUGCUUCCCAGGUUAUCAAUUCUCCUCCCAUUAAUUUACUGCAUUUUUUUCCCGCAAGACGUAGAUAUCUUACUGUUACAUAUCUUCUGAUUCCAGGCUAAUCUAUGUGGGGCUGCUGUUUCUUCUCCCACUGCUAAGGACUUGAAAGCAGACGGGAAAUGCAAAGUGGUGUACAAACCUAUGGCCAAGCUCGUCUCCAAGACAACAGUUUCUCUCUUGGCAAAUAUGGUCAGUAUUCAAUAUUCACACUAUCGAAAUUACAGAGCCCCCAACCUCCCCUCUCCCUGUCUGUGCAUGUGUGAGGAUCAUGGCAUAACUCCAAACUGCAUCAUAAAUGUAUUACAACUUUGUCAUUUAGAUCUAAUCUAUGUUAGCAUUCUCCAAAAAUCUAUCUUGACAAGAAUGGCCGGUGAAACUAUUCUUUUAAAUUCUUAUCCAUCUGUGGAGUCGGGACUUAGUUAUAUAUUGGCGUCAUGUACAGCGAAGUGCCAAUUUAUUUCAGGAACAGGAAUUAGCUGAAGUUGAGGCAAAUUUCCAACUACCAAACCUAGUCAAACCUCAAUGUGACAAUAGAUCAGAGCCUCAUCAGAAUUUCCUAUCCGCGGCACAAAAGAAUAAAAGAGUUGAACCCUCGAAUGUGACAACACAGAACCUGGAGGAGGAUCAGAGAUCGUUAGCGCACACGGCAAAUGGGGAUCGUCCUUCUUAUGAUGGAUAUAAUUGGAGGAAGUACGGACAAAAGCAGGUUAAAGGAAGCGAAUAUCCAAGAAGUUAUUACAAGUGCACACAUCCAAAUUGUCCUGUGAAAAAAAAGGUUGAGAGAUCAUUAGAUGGUCAGAUUGCAGAAAUUGUCUACAAGGGUGAGCAUAGUCAUCCGAAGACGCAGCCUGUAAGACGUAACUCCUCCGAUGGACAUUGGCAAGGAACUUCCGGGAAUGAAUCAAACAAUCCCCUAUGCAGAAACCAACAUAGUGACAAGAAUGAAUGUUAUGAAGGCACCAUGGAAAAUCCAAAUGAAUUUGGUUUUUUAGCCCAUUCAAGUUAUUCGGGAGGAGCUCCAUCAUGCAUGCACCCUACAAAUGGAGACCUUGAUAAUUCAUCUUGCCACAGCGGGGAGUUUGACGAAGGGAGGGAGGGACUGGAGGGAGAGACGGAGGGACCGAAAAGGAAAAGAAGGUAAGGGAUAUAUACACUUCAAAUAGCAAGCAGAUCAUACUGAAUUGCUUGUUUUAACAUGGAUAGACUCUUCCUAGUUAGUCUGCUGAUCUGUGCAGGGAACUUCUUUUCCGUUUCUCGUCUCACUUUCAAGCCUAUUUGCUCUGCAUGAGCAUAUGGGAUGCCAGUGAAUUUUCUCACGCGCUUUGACUUUUAAAAUUCAUGAAAUAAAUUUUAUAAGAGUAUGACUAGUCUCUUGAUUUUCAGGAAAAACGACAACCAAUCGAAUGUAGCAGGCACAGCAGCUGAAGGAGCACAAGAGCCUCAGGUUCUUGGUCAAAACUCCACUGAUUCUGAAAUCAUAAGAGAUGGAUUUCGCUGGAGAAAGUAUGGGCAAAAAGUUGUGAAGGGAAAUCCAUAUCCAAGGUUAAUGCCAAGUCAUGAUAUUCUGCACGCAUUUUAAAUUUCAAGAAUUUACAUAUGACCGUAUCUUUUACGUACAAGAAUUACUCUGGGCAUUGCAAUGGUGCAUACAAGGUAGGCAUUUGUCAUCUUUCCUGAUACUUUUUUCGUGUCGUUUUAUAUUUGGAGGAUGCAAAUCCAUGGCUAUAUCCUUGGUUUAAGGCUUAGUUGCUUCAAAGCAGUAACGGCACAAAAUGAGGAGAUAAUAUGCUAUAUAGUUAUGAUGAUUUUAAAGCUCUCCUGUUUGCUUUAUCGCUAAUACUAGUGAUAAAAGGCUUUUGGACGACACGUAGUGAUGAUUUUUUAGGGGAGCCUCUCCCCCUAAAGAGACUGUGUUUUUUGGGCUAGCAGGUACAUAAAUCUUACUAGACCAAGGGAGUGUUUUGGCAUAACUCUUAAAUUGUUUUUGUUACAGGUGGAAUUUGAACCCCCACAUACAGUUUAAUGAGGGAUUUAAGACCCUUCCUGGUAGCCACUGAGCCAAGCUCAGUGGUUAAUGAUGAUGAAGUUAUCUUUUAUAAACAAGUAGGAGUAGCUAAUAUAUUUUUGCUAUUUCAUACCUUUCAUCCUAUUGGUCAGGUUAGACCUUAAUUUGUGUAUAUGUAUCAUAUGUUUUACUUACAAAUCUCUAAAGACAACUUUAAACGGUGUGCCUGCUGCAGGAGUUACUAUAGAUGUACCAGUCUCAAGUGCAAUGUGCGCAAAUAUGUGGAGAGAACGUCGGAUGAUCCAAAUGCCUUCAUGACGACUUAUGAAGGAAAGCACAACCAUGAGAUGCCGACAAAAAGCACAAGUUCUUUGGCGGCUAAAACUAGUACAAAGGCCUUAGGUACCAAAAAAAUAUAUCUUGAUUAGCUCAUUGGGAGAGGGCUAAAUUUCCAAGGCAAUAGUUGGUACAUGGAAGUGAGGAGGUCAUAGGGCUCAUAAGGGUCUUCAAUUGGAGGUUUUGUGGCAGAAUCAACUUAAUAGUUGCUGCUUGUUGUGGGAAGACUUUAGUGUUUUAUCUGCUUUAAUUCGCGGUGAAUCCAAUGAUAGAUAAGUAGUGUCGGUAUACCAGAAUGGCAGGCUAAGCGAGAAUAUCUCCUUAGACAAACGAAAUACCAUGCCAUCUCGCGUCAUUUAGCAGUAUUUGUGUCGGCUCCGGCGAGAUCUGUGUUGCACUGUUUUCGAAUAGUGUGAAGGAAAACACAGCGUGCUGCAUAGUCUUCUGCAUACACGAAUUUGUAGUCUGUAUUCGGUCAAUUCCUGACAGUAGAAAGCUUAUUUGGUAUUGUCAUCAAAAUCAGCAGAUGUAAUCUUGAUAAUGAUGUGCUUGCAUGAUGAUUUCCAAGUUCUUGAUUGGGUGAACCUACUAACUAAUCAAGAGCUAGAACAUGUUAGAAUUUUGUGACUGUAGUUUUACCAGAGGAUUCUGUCACCGCGUGAAGGACCUGUAGUAGCUAAUUAUUACCUCAAAUCAAGGUUGCCUCUUCCGGCGCAACCUAAUUAUAUGUCCAGAGUCCAGUCCCAUGAUUUUGUUCCCUUCCUACCCCGUAAAAAGCUUACAAAUCAGGUUCAUGUUCUCUUGAAAAUUUAAAAUUUGGAGACUAAUUGACUUGCUAAUUGUCAUUGUUACUGGCUUAAUUGCGUGAUGAUCUGAAAGUUCAGAUUCGUUUAUAUUGCUUCCGGAUCUUCUGGUAGUAUAUGUUUUUUUUUUGUCCGAAACAAUAACUGUUAUAUAACCUAUUCUAUCUUAUAUUAAGGAAGAGGAGGACUUGAAAAGAUCUAAAGAUAAUUCAGAAGAACUAAAUCACCACCGAACCAAACGAGUGUACUAUGCACUCGUCUAGAUUUUUUUAAGUAGAACCAUUUAAUAUGACAAUUGAUGGAAGGUAAAAUUUGAACCUGAUCGUCCGGCCCACCAAACUUUAAUACUUUGGUGGUAGUUUGGGUUGGUGGUUGUACAUGGAGGGGACUGUUGUAUAUGGUUGUUGGCAUGUCAUAUUUAGGCAUUACUGUAGCCUGUGUGUACGCGCGUUUAUAUAUAUAUAUAUAUGCCCGCGUGCGACGCUGAUUAUGAUCGAUUGCUUGAAAUUCCUGUCAAAAUAUGGAACAGACAAGAAGGAAAAAACGAAAGACAUUUUUGUGACCAGGGAUCAUCACGCAAAGACUUGUGAUUUGAGAUUGCAAAGGCAGUGGUUGCCACUUUUUGGCGUUGCCUGCCUGUCUUACAUUUGAAAAUAUGCCUUCUUCGCAGGCCUUCCAAUGAUCGACCGUCUUAGUUUCAUCAUUUUGUUUUGGGAUGAUGAUGAUGUCACAGUACACAGUUUUGCGUCUUUGACUGUGAAGGCACGGUAAUCAACACCUCAAUCGUAAGCGUUGACUGAUUCUCUGUCGGUGUCAUGGGCGCUUGGCGUUUGUCGGGACCACCGUGUACAAGUAGGACUGGUAAGUUGUAGCAGGGGCAGGCGGUAAUCAGGUCCAGUCGCGAGUUGACAGAUUGGAUCAAAAACAACACCCGCCAACCCGAACAUGGCACGAAAAAUUAAACCAUCAAACUCGAAUAUGGCUCGCUAGCUUGGUGAGUUGCCUAAACUUGAUUUGAAUAAUCUGUUUACUUCUUACAUUUUAUAUAUAUAUAUAUAUAACCGUGGUGCGUAGCCAAAAAAAUUAAAAGAAAAUAAAGCAAGAGAUGACAGCAAGAAAACAUAACUCAAUUGCUCAAUUAAUGUAUUAAAUUAUAAAAUUGCAUGCUAAAUGAGUCAAACGGGUUAAUCUGUAGACUGUGAUUGACUUUAUUUGAACUUGUUUGCUUGACGGGUUAUUUGGAUUUAACUAACUUUUGAUUCGAAUCUAUAAAAAAUAAAUUCAUACUUGUUAAUUACAUAUUAGGUUCAAAUCAUAUUUUCGAAUCAUGCUGAAAAUUGCUACCCUUCCAACAAGUUCAAAUCUCCAAUCCUCCGCUCACCAUUCAGGUCAGCACCAACCAAUUGUUCACCUGAAUUAUGAAGUUGUUGUUGUGACUUAAAUCCCUAAAUUCCACUUUAAUCUCAUAACAAGUUGUUCAUCGAUACUAUUCCGUGAUUUAUCAAAUGACUUCAAUAAAAAUUUGUCCAUUGCUUGCGUCUGAAAUAUUCAAAAUUGAUUUGUGUUCUCUCUUAUUUGCAUUUUUUUAAUGUCGUAAAUUUUCGUGAAUUAACAAGUAAGACCUUAAAAAAAAACCAAAAAAGAAGACAAGUAAGACAAACAUAUAAGUUACAAAUUAUCCUAAAUUUGAUUGCACCAAUGGACCCUAAACUCAAUGUAAUGCUAUACUGGUUAGUAUGGGCCUUUGCAAAAAAAAAAAAGAAUUAACAAGGCAGGUUUGGGAUAGGGACCCUCGCUUUGUCACCUAAAAGCUCUUUUUAUCCUCGCCUACCCUACUUUCACCCGUAUCCCCUUCUCGCCCACCCUACCCCUCUACUAUUUUGUUACGUGAUUUUAUUUUUAUACAUGUAUAACACUAAUAAUAGAUUUAUUACUCAUUUUUUUAAAUCUUCAAUAAAAAAUUUAACAUGAGAUAAAGUUUAAAAUUUAUUUUGACCUUGUAAAUCCAUUUCUCUAUAUUUGUUAUUAUAUAAGUUCUAAAUUAAUUAUCAUUACUUUUUUAUAAACAAUAUGCCAUAACAACAAAAGUAAACUAAUAAAACAAAAAAAGUAUAUUAUAUUACAUUAUCAUAAGAAAAUAUCAUAUUCUUCAUUGCAUGUUACAUAUAUAUAAUUAUAUUAUAUAUACAAUAUUAAAUUAAGGCCUGGACAAAAGGGUUGGGAGUACAAAUGAUUGUCAGGUUAACCGUUUUUGCUAAUUUUGUCCAAUUCUACAAGAUGUACAUUUAUUUUUUCAAGAUGUAAUUCACUUUGAAUGCAAAAGUAAAUACAAAACAAAAUUUUAUGGAUCCAACAUCCAAUCAAUGUAUGUGUUGUGAUCAAUGGUCUAAAUCUUACAAAUUUUUUUUAAUCAAUCAUGAUCACGAAGCAUUCUUUUUUUGUCAAAGCCAAGAAAUGACUUUUGAUAACUUUACAAACCUUAAUCCAGCAGACUUAUAAACCUACCCCAAAUCCCCCCCAACCCCGAUGUGGGAUAUCAACCUAUACAGGGAACUUGCUACUAAGACCUAAAGAGACCCUUACCUCGGAAAGGCUGAUGUCUUUUUUGUCAAAACCAAGAAAUGACUUUUGAUAAUUUUACAAACCUUAAUUCAGCAGGAAACCACAAAAGUUGGCAACUUUUAUGAUUCCUACAGGAGACUUAUAAACCUACCCCAAAUUUCCUCCAACCCUGAUGCGAGAUAUCAACCUAUGUAGGGAACUGCUACUAAGACCUAAAGAGAUCCUAAUUACCCCGAAAAAGCUGAUGUCUUUUUUGUUAAAGCCAAGAAAUGACGAAGCAUUCAAGGACGAUCAUUUUGAUAACCGUUGCUGCCCCAGUUCCCCCUUUGCUGUCCCCUGAAACACCUUAUAUGACUUUUAGAUUUGACUACGUCAUCCCAAACAGUACAUAGUAGUUGUGGUAAUAACUGAGCUCCAAGAAACGCUAAGCCAAACAAAUAAAUAUGCAAUAUUUAAUUUCAACCACUUUGAAUAAACCAACACUACAAUUUAACGCUGCGUACAAUUUUUUGGCCUGUACUCUGUCGUACUUGAAUUGGUAACACUAUGAGACUCUGCCCCCGUGGCCCAUUCAUCUUUGCAUUGCCGUAUCAUCUCAAUUCCAAGACAUCGAGUCUCAUUCUUUUUUUUUUUUUUUUUGUUAAUCGUUACCCUACUUCUACUCUUACUCUAUUCUAAUUUAACUAUGGGAGAGAUUUAACUGGACUUAUGGGGGAUCGAUGGAGACAGAACGACCACUAGAUCAGACGAAUACACCACGUACCUGCCUGAAUUUUUUUUUGAAGAACCACAAUAUCUUUCAUUUAGUAUUAAAAAAAAAAAAAAAGGAAGACAGAGAGUCUUUCCUGCCUCCACCAUUUCUUUUCCGUUUCAUUCGUUUUAUUAGUCGUUAGAGACGUCGACACAUUUCUUUCCUUCUCUAAGGUAAAACUAAACAAAAGACGCACCACUCCAUUCCUUCGAUUCUUUCGCACUUUUGCUGCCAUCCUGUGCAUAAUAAUUUAUGCAACUCUUUUGAAUUGUUCGGGAAAGGAGUCCGGAUCAAGAGAAAAAACUCUGAGAAAAACUUUUGAUGGGUUGGUUUCCAUGCUCUGGACAAUCUCAUUCCAAGCUUUCAUCAAAGAAGAAGAGGAAGAUUAAGGACCCACUUCAUCCUAUUCAGCCUUCUCCAGGUAUCUCACUCUUUGUGGCAUAUGUAUGGUAUGUUCAAUUAAAGUUUUUAUCUUUAUUCCGUAGAUGAUAUUUUCGUUGUCGCCCAUUAAUUUCAGACAGUUCUUGAACAAGAUUCUCAAUUGGCUUAUACCAAAAGGAACUGUCUGAUUGUUGAGUCUGUCCAGCAGUUUGUUGAGGGGUUUUUUAUGGCUUUUCUAACAGUAGUUUUCAUUUUCUCCUGGAAUAUUUGUUGAGCACUAUUUGUUGACUUUUUCUCCACCCUGUCGGCCUGUUGGGUGGGGGUGCUUGCUUAAGGGUUUUCUUUUGCACCUAUACGUCUUUUAAUUGGACUGAAAGCAUUUAUGUUCAGUAAUGUCGUAUCUGGACCUUCUGGCGGAUCAGGUCCGUUUAAGUUUAAACUGAGUUGCUAAGUGCAUAUGGUGUCACUAAUCUGGAAAAAAAGGUUGAAGAAGAAGAAGAGUGAGUCUUGAAUGAGCUUGGGUACUUGCUGUCUUACGGUUGUUCUUUACUUCAAGUAAUAGUUCAAAGGGGUUUGAAUCUUCUUACUAGUUACCAGCUAUGUACUUUGACUUUUUAACCUGGUGUAUAAUCAUAUACCAAUGAUAUUGUUACUGCAGUUUGGAACUUGCAAAUGUGAUACCUCAUCAAAAUUGCUUUAGGUGCAGAUGACUCAAAAAUUUCAGAAACACCACAUUGAUGCCUAUUGUCAACUUAGUCCCGUCUCACCAUUAUCUUGGGAGUUGGGAUGGGUAAACCUUCGAGAAGUCAUACCAAAGUCAGCUCUAGUUUUUACCAUGUCAAACAAACUUUAAGAGAGAAAUGACACAUUAAUGUGUAUCCUUCCCAAAUAUGCUAUAAAAAUUAAAAAGUGGUUUUUGGAAGGUUAGCGUGGUCUAGUGGUUACUUGGCCAUUUCUGUCCUCCUAAUUUUCUGCUUUUCUGUCUUCAGAGAAGUCGAAGGUAAAUGCACCAUUAAACUCGCAGGUAAACAGCAAGGAUGGAGGGUCCAACCAAAUUGCAGCCAAGACUUUUGCAUUUCGUGAAUUGGCUGCUGCAACUAGAAAUUUUCGGGCAGAUUGUCUUCUUGGAGAAGGAGGAUUUGGUAGAGUAUACAAAGGGCGACUUGAGAACUCCAACCAGGUAUGUGGGGCUCUCUAUUCUUUGUGAAUACAUAAUGAGGAAAAAGUAAGCAUAUUUUGUAUGUUUCCAGAUGUUCCAUGACUGCCUCCUCAGCAUCUGUUCUCUAAAUCAUGAGCUGCUCAUCUUCCACUUUGUUGUAGUCUAAUUUUUCCCCAUGGGUUUCUCAAUUUUUUUUGCUUCUAAGCCAGACGUCGAAAUGGUUCAAGCCCAAUGAUGGCAUUGACACAUUAUUCUAGCUUUUUUAUAACAUGCCUUUGUUGCUAGAAAAUAAAAGACUUCCAUAUAUCAUGAUUUAAGUAUAAAAGACCUUCAGAAAGAUAGAGAGUCCACUGCAGGCCUCCUAGUAAAAGAAAUGUUCUAAUGCCCUGUGAAAUGCUUUUCUUAACAUUGUCAAAAUCUUAUUGCUAAUUAGAUUGUUCUGAAUAGAUGCAUCAUCAUGUUUCGUUUAUGCUGGCAUAAACAACCUUUACAUGGAUCACUGUUUCCUUUUUCAAUCAAGCGAAGUACAUUUUUGAGCUUCGGUUCCAUGGUUUGGUGCAUCAAGAUUUUUCAAUGAUAAAGCCAAAUUGGAUGGAGAUUUUGUGUUGUUCAUUUUAUUGAAAUUAUGUUAGUUAUUUUUAACUAUCGAUUGCCGAAAGGUUGAAUUCUAGUUUAAUGCCUUUGGUGCAGAUUGUUGCCAUCAAGCAACUUGAUCGCAAUGGGUUGCAAGGGAAUAGAGAAUUUCUAGUUGAAGUGUUGAUGUUGAGCUUGCUUCACCAUCCCAAUCUUGUUAAUCUUAUUGGUUAUUGUGCUGAUGGAGACCAGAGACUUCUUGUAUAUGAAUACAUGCCGUUGGGGUCCUUAGAGGACCACCUCUAUGGUAUUUGCUAUUAUUAGGUGCAUAUCCUCAAAUUUUUACUUGUAUAAAAAAUUGCCUGUGGAGUUUGGACUCACAAACCUUCUUCUACAGAUGCUACACCAGAUAAAAAAUGGCUUGAUUGGAAUACAAGAAUGAAAAUUGCUGCUGGGGCAGCAAAGGGUUUAGAGCAUCUGCAUGAUAAAGCUAGCCCCCCAGUUAUAUAUCGUGAUCUAAAAUGCUCUAACAUUUUGCUUGGUGAGGGUUAUCAUCCAAAGCUAUCUGAUUUUGGUUUGGCUAAGCUUGGGCCUGUUGGUGAUAAUACUCAUGUAUCCACUAGGGUCAUGGGUACCUAUGGGUAUUGCGCACCUGAGUAUGCAAUGACAGGACAACUGACACUGAAAUCAGAUGUUUACAGCUUUGGUGUUGUACUUUUAGAGAUAAUAACUGGAAGGAAAGCAAUUGAGAAUUCCAAAACUGCAGGGGAGCAUAACCUGGUAGCUUGGGUAAGACAAUUGCCAUCUUCUCUCAAGUUUUUGUUGUUGUCACAGAAAUUUCUUAUGCUUUUUCUGGCGGUGAAUAAUAGUGAUGUGCAGCGAAUCGUACUACUUUCUAUACAUCACUCUUUUGAUCAGUAGUUUAUAGGUUUCGAUUGGAGAAUUGGAAGUAACCGGGUGAUUUAUGUCUGAAAAUGGUGUCUCAUUAAGUUAUUUAUGGCACACUACAACACGGUUAUUGUGUUUCAGUGUUAUGGAAGUCGAAUGUGAGCAUUGAUUGUUAUCAUGGAUCACUAAAGCUCUUGCUGAGAUUUGACUUAUAAACAGAGUGUAAUAAGUCUGUCUGAAGGUGAAAUGUGAUUUCUAUGAAGAUCCAUUGUUUUUGACCUUCAAGGGAUCUCUUGCUCUGUAAGGUUUCUUUGAGAUAUUAGUUGAAGCAUUUUGUGCAAUUGAUUGGUGGUGCUUCACCUUGAGUUUAAUUUUCCGUCAGCAGAAAAAGAGAACAGCACCUUCUGUUACAGCUAGUAAUGCACCGCAGAGAAAAUGCUACUAGUGUUUAGGUAUUCUGAUGCCUGUAGCUGUUUUAUUGAAUACACAUAUUGAUUAUUGUUUUUUUAUUCCAGGCAAGACCCUUGAUCAACGAUCGGAAGAAGUUCUCACAGAUGGCUGAUCCUAUGCUCCAAGGUCAGUAUCCAAUGAGAGGCUUGUACCAGGCACUUUCAGUAGCAGCUAUGUGUGUCCAAGAGCAGCCUAAUAUGCGCCCUGUGAUUGCUGAUGUAGUCACAGCUUUGUCUUACCUUGCUUCACAAAAAUAUAACCCUGCCCAAAGUUCACAAUGGGCUCCAGCCACUCCACCUAGGACAAAAAGAGAGGGUGAGAAGAGAGAACAUGGCGAUAAUGGAUAUGAAAAAAGAUCAAACUAGAUGCAGUAUUGAUAUUUUGCUGUUCUUUGUAACAUCAGAUUUCUGUAACACUAUGGGAGAAGGCUGCUCUUAAAAGUAUAUAAUGCUAAUUCUACACGGAUUAAUUAGUGAUACACCGCAGGUGGCCUAAUGCUUAUGGUGUUGAGAAAACAUGUUUAUUUGAUUUGCUUUUGGGAUGGACUAGGUUAGGCACUGUUUUCUUCAACCAAUAGGUGUUGGGUUCAAUUGUAAUCAAAGCCUUCUUCAAGUUUUUAUAACGCCUACCUUCAACGUUGUAAAACUGACUUGAGAAUGUACUAGUACGGGUAUGUAUAUAUGCAUAUAUUCUGUUUUGUUACUGUUUCUUCAAAAGGCAUGAUCUAUUGGUUUUUGACAUGUUGGUUGUUCAUUUUCUUUAUUUGGUAAAGCAUAAGGAAGUUGUUAGUGGUGCUAGGCUAGCAACCUUUUAGCUAGAAUUGCUUUUCGUUCUUUAAGAAAUUUCAGUCAUGACUGUUGCUCCUGUAAUUAUGCUAGAGGUGAUGAUGUACAGGGUAAGGAUUUCCAUCUUUGUAUGUGCAUUGAGUGAGUGCCAUCGCUCAUGUUUGAGUUAUGUAGUAGGAAAAGCUGUAACAGAGAAUCCUUUGUUCUUCUUCUGCAGUACGUUAGUUGGGUUGCCGGCAGAGGUGUUUGACCGUUAGAACUUUUUUAGCCUAAAUUGCUUUUCAUGCUGAGUAAUUACAAUCAUAACUGCUGCGCCUACAAGCGGUAAUUAUCCUGAGGUUAUGGAGAGUUAAGCUCUCUAAGCUGUUUUGGACUUAUCCUGAAGAGCUCAUCUGAAUAUGCUGUCUUACUUGUUUUCGUUGGAAAAAAAAAAAAGAAUAUGCUGUCUUACUGAUGUAAACAAUUAUCGCCUCUGGAUUAUGUUGAGCUAUAAAGUAGUUGCACGUGAAUGUGUAUGGAACUUGCACUAUGGAUUCUGCAGACGUAAAUGGAUCGCAUAACAGGUAGAUCAAAUGAGCUUAGAAAUCUGUGGCAGUCUAUGUUAGUGUCUAAGGGAUUUUGCUCACGUUAACCCAUCCUUCUAGAGAUUUAGCUGUCAAAAACUGGGAAGUGUAACGAAAGGUGGCAAUUCAAAAGAUUAAUCUUUUGAAAGUUGUUAAAGACAAGUAAGGAGGUGAUAAUUUGACAUUGACAUGUUUAAUUUUUACUAAGAUGUAAAUCCUAGUUGUUAGGAUUAAUUAGUUGCUGCUAUAAAAUCUUGAAUCAUGGUCGUUAAGAUUGGAUGCCAUCACAAGUUGCAUAUUAAUGUCGUAUAAUAAAAAGUGAAGACAGAGAGCGGCAUAGGAAGUGGGACAGAAGAUUCAUUUCGCAUCAAAAUGGCCUUCCUUGUAUAAUAAAAAGUGAAGACAGAGAGUGACAUAAGAAGUAGGACAGAAGAUCCAUCCGUUGUCCGUCAAAAUGGCCUCCCUCUGCUCUUCGUCUUUACAGCAUCAUUUGUCAUAUGGAGAAGUUCAGUCAAAAUCCUAAGGCUGCCUGAUGAUGCAAUCGAAAUUAUGCGCGGCAGCAGCAGUAACAAAUUAAGGUGAUCAAAGUUGCCAAACAUUAUUUUGGAGGGAGACUCUUUGAAGAUCGUCAGCAUGCUUAAGCUUAUGGAGUCUGAUGACUCCGCCUAUGGGGUGCUGUUAGAUGAUAUCUUUGUUAGGUUACAGAACUUCGCCGCUUGGGAGGCUAACUGGGUCCCUAGGAAGGCCAAUGUGCCAGCACAUUUAUUAGCUAGAAAUGCUCGCUCUAUUUUAGAUAUCUGUAGUUGGAGUUAUUCUCCACCAUCUUUUCUUCUCUCCGCAAUUUCGGCGGACCUAUCUUCACCUUAAUGAAAUUUUCUAAUUUACUAUCAAAAAAAAAAAAGUUGCCAAAAGCAAUUCCAACGGAAUACUAAAAGAAGCAGCAAAACCUAGCGAAUUAUCUCAGUUGAUCAUUCUUUUUUUUUUUUUCCUUUCAAUUCAUUUCUCAAAUGCCACCUGAAAUUAAGACUACUUUCAUACCUAACUUAAUAUUUAACCCGAAUUUUUUCUCUUGAUCAUUCAAUAAUUUUUCUUUUAAUUAAGUUCUCAAACCCUAUCUAAAAUUAAGAUUACUUUUGAACCUAAUAUCUCCAGCAAAUUUCGGCACAUAGAACUUAGAAUUAGCAUUCCAAUAAGUCAACUAUGAUAGCUAAUUUGUUUAUCUACCAGAAACAACCUUGAACAGCAAGACGAAGAAACCUACCUAAUACCAGUCAUGCCUUGCAGAGAUUUAUCCAAUCUUUUGGAAAUUUGCACAAUUUUGUUAUUGAAAUGGAAGUAAGGGAUCAUGCAUAAUCUCUAAGGAUAUGAUUGUUAGUACUAGGUGAAAUAUUUUGUAGCAGUUCUGAAGAUAUGAAACUGAAAAAAACUCGUUGCUUUUCAUUUCUUACCAAUUUUUACAUUAAAAUGGGCUUAUUUUACUCUCAAAAAAAAGUUGAAGCUUUGGGUUCCUUCAGUUAGUUAAAAGGCCAUAAGUAAUGUAUCUGUUCCGGAGUCUAGCAUGAAUUCGGCCCAAAUUAAUUGGACACCUUAUCCACAGUGUUGUUAUAAGGUUGAUUUGGGCUUCGAAUCUUCACCAGCUCAGUGUUUUCCUUGAAAUGGACCAUUGACACGUCACUGCAACACUGUCCUGGCCCUUGGCACCACAAGCUUCUUGUAGUACCCGUGUUGAAAGAUAAAGGGCCCACAUGCGGCCCACACCAGCAGCUAGAACUUUCCCGUCCUUUGACCCCGCACCCCUCUAAAAUUCAGACUCUAAAUUCGCUCCUCUCUUGUAAAGAACUCAAUACUAAAUCUUUUCGUUUUUUUUUUUUUUGGGCGAUCUGAUCAAGCGCACUGCAUCUGCAACUACUUCUCUUUUUCUUUUUUGCCUUUGGCUUUUGCACCUCAGGUUUGUGUUAAUUUGAGCAUGCGUUGCAUGUAGAGCCAGUAGUAUUAAAUUGCAUGUAGAUUUUGUCUUCUUGAUUUUUCAUGCGGAAAGCAUAUAUAGUCUUUGGUGCUAUUUAUGUCUUUGUACAUGAAUUGCUGUUCUUGCAUUAUGCUCUUUGGAUAUCCUUAUAUGCUAAGAAAUUUUCAGCUGAAGAUCCCCUUGAUACCUUCAUGGGAAAAUCGUACCCGAAAGUAAGCCAGGAGUACGAGAAGGCAGUUGAGAAAUGCAAGAGGAAGCUCAGAGGCUUCAUUGCUGAGAAGCAUUGUGCUCCUUUGAUCCUCCGACUAGCGUACGCAGCCUCUUUAUCCGUCUCUCUUUUAAGUCAAGUUAGUUCUGUUUCUGAGUAUGUUGUGAUGAUAACUCAAAUGAUUAACCAUGCAUGCUUUGUUGCUUUGUUCCUGUCCUGUGGAUUGCUGGACUGUCUUUCUUGCAUUUGUUUAGUUUGGCUGUCUUGAGUUCAGGAAAAUGAAAACUGAUCCCUCAUGUUCUAUCAAUUCAGUGUUUCAUAUGAAUAUAAUAAAUAGGGUAGUGAUUCUAGUGAAUUUGCUUGCUUCUGUAAAUAUUCAUUCUUUUAGGCAUGCCAUGCCCUCUCUUAUCUUCUUUGUGUAAAACAGUCUUUUGAUUACCUGAUUGCAUAAUUCAAUUGGCAUAUUAUCUCUCUGGCUCUCUGUUUAAAGCUGUGCAGUUAGUUUAUAUUUUAAAUUUCAGAAACUUCUUCUUCAUUUCUUUUCUCAUUGCUGAUGGGUGAUUUACGUGAUCAUAUACGCGUUGCUUCAGAUGGCAUUCCGCAGGGACCUAUGAUGUGGAUACGAAAACUGGAGGGCCCUUCGGGACUAUCAAGCACCCGGCCGAGCUUUCUCAUGAUGCUAAUAAUGGCCUUGAUAUUGCUGUCCGACUUUUGGAGCCAAUCAAGGAACAAUUUCCACUCCUCACCUAUGCUGAUUUCUAUCAGGUAAAACUCUCUUUUCAGUUUCCAGAUUGCAUUGGUUCCUCCAUUCCUCCACCCCCCCAAAAAAGAAAAAAAAAGAACUGAUUUUAGUAUUCAAAAGUAAUGAUUGUCAUUGAUGUCUAUUUAUCAUAUCAAGUUGGCUGGAAUUGUUGCCGUUGAGGUCACUGGAGGCCCUGAGAUUCCUUUUCAUCCCGGCAGACCUGUAAGUCUGACCCAUCCAUCUUUUUGUAGGAAGUAAGAAUUCAAUUUAAAUCAACUGGGAGAUGGUUCCUUUGGUUUGGAAAAUAUCACUUAUUAGAUGUUUGCAACUGUAUAUUGCAGAACGGAGUUAACAUUUUGGAAGUUCCAUUUGAUGUUUCCAUUGUCAACCUAACAAGUUUUGCAUCCUUUGCAGGACAAAGAUGAACCUCCUCCUGAAGGACGUUUGCCAGAUGCAACUAAAGGUUACUUAUUUGUACUAUCUAAUUUCCUAGCAUAGAUGUGAUAUGACUGAAAUCUCAAGAUUGCAUUGCUCUUUCUGGUGGUCAUACUUUGGUAUGCUAUGAACUCUCAUGUUAGUUUCCUAUAAAAUGAUUUAGCUAGAUGAUGGAUCACUAUUCACUAUUUACUAUUGUCCAUUGACUUAAAGAAACCGGGGUGAAAUUUAUCAGGGAAGGUGUCACAAGGAACGUUCUGGAUUUGAGGGACCUUGGACCAGUAAUCCUCUAAUCUUUGAUAACUCCUACUUCAAGUAAGUUCCUGUUCAUCUUGUUACCUUACAAGUUUCUAAGCAUAUUAUAGAUCCGUUUGAAAGUGCUGCCUGCCCAAAUUUCCGAGAAAACCACACGAGAGGAACCACUGUCCACGAAUUGAUUAUUGGUAUGCUCUUAUUUCGUACAAGUACAGAGAACUGCUGCGUGGAGAGAAAGAAGAUCUUAUCCGGCUUCCAUCUGACAAAGCACUUUUGGAAGAUCCAGCGUUACGUCCAUUAGUUGAGAAAUAUGCUGCGGUAUGUUAAUUUUCUCCCCUUAGCUCAGCUUUUGACCGUUUGCUAGUUAGUGUAGCAUGAAACAACAAAUUGUUUCACUAAACUUGGCUGGCAAUGAUGAUUUUGCGCUAGGACGAGGAUGCCUUCUUUGCAGACUAUGCUGAAGCUCAUUUGAAGCUCUCGGAACUUGGGUAACUAACUUUCGCCUUUCCUUCAAUUCAAUUCAGUAAUGCAGUCCCUCGUCUGGGGAACUCGGAACCCACUUUCUUCAAUCAUUUAGGUUCGCGGAUGAUGCUUGAAGUUCCAUGACGAAGCAGGGAAUUGGUCGUGGGAUGGGACAAAGAAGUCUUGCCCUGCUCGCUUUUCUUUGACUUCUGCAUAUGCCUUCCUCCAGUUCCGAUUGUAGAUGAUUUACUCCCUUAAUGGCCCUCAACAUUUGAUCCGUUGAAUUUGUACUGUGUAUCAUUGCUACUAUAGGCUACAUAAUCGUGAGCUGCUCAUUAGAUUUGGGUAAUCACUUUAUGAACUGAACCAGGGUGAUUGUUUUUUUUCGUUUGUUGUAUAGGCAUUAAAUGCUUUGUAUGAACAAUGAGGGAUCAUGGCCAGCUUGUUCGUGUACAAUAAUCCUAUUUCUUGGUGAUUGAUGCGUUAACUAGAUCUUCGGUUUUUGGUUUUUCGCGAAAAUACCUCGUUAGGGAAAAAGAUUAAACAAAAGAGGGAUACAGUCACUUCCUUUCUUACAAGUAAGGAUGGUUCCCAGCCUGAGGGCCUAGCCUCAAUGACAUUUUGGGCUCUAAGCCUAGUUAUUAUUCCUAGCAAGCACAGAAGGCAAGGAAGGGACGAAGCGUCUUAUCUAUUCUUUAUCAUGAGCCCCCGGCUGAAGAUCGAUCCUGCAGCACACACGCUGGGCACAGGUCCCCUUUCUUUCUUGCAGUCGUUGAGGACGUAUGAAAAGUGCUCAAAAUCAAAUCUUCAAAUUGAAUUCAUAUGAAAAGAACCAUUACAAUAAACAAAAGGUUUCUGAAGUAUAUUUAUUAUUGAAUCAAAAAGAGAAUUUUCAAACAAAAAAAAAAACUGCAGAUAUGAUCUUUUUAUCACGUAAAUGUAUUAAUUAAUUAUGAAAAAAUGAGGGACUCAUCUAUUUAUGAGUCAUCCUUUCGAGUAUAAGUAAGUAAGAAUCAAGAUUUUUAUUACUCCCUCCGUCCCACUUUGAUAGUCCUGAUUCUUUUUUCACACAGUUUAAGAAAAAGUAGUUAACUUUGUUGGAACAAUCAAUUUAGAUAGCAAUUUUUCUAAAAUACCCUCACAUUAAUUAGAGUACAACUUUAUGGAAACUUGAAUUGAUAGUAAAAAAAGAAUAAACUCUCAUUGAAUGUGAUAGGUUUAUAGUAACAACAACUUACAUUGAAUAAGGGUAUUUUAGAAAAAUUAAAAUACAACUAUAUUCUUUAAUUGGAAAGUAGACUACAAUUUGGAACAGACGAAAAAGGAAAACAGGACUAUCAAAGUGGGACGGAGGAAGUAUAAUUCUGACAUGUAUAAACACAACACUUUUGAUAUGUUGGGGAGUUUCCCUAUCGAUCCUUAAUAUGUUGGGGAGUAUCGCUAUCAAUCCUUAUCUAGUAAAGGGUGAUAGUACGCUGAAUCGAAUCAAAUCGGUGCCUUAAUAUCGAAUGGUUUCUUUCUUGGUGUGGCAUGGAUGUUCCCCGUCAUCCAAAGGCGGUUUCGUAUAGAUAUGGAGCCUAAGGAGUAAAAGUAAAGGCAUAUAAUUGAUAGAUUGAACGUGAAUACAGUUGAAGUUUUGAAAAUAAAUAGAAUCAGACGUUAAUAAUUAUUGCAUUCAACUUCUUGAAUAUUAAUUUUAUUAUUCAAAAAUCAAAACUGAAUGGUUUUUACAUGUUAAGAAAAGUAUAUACAUAUUAAAAUUCUUGAAUAUUUUUACUUUAGCAUGUUAAGAGAAAUACAGUGGAUGUCCAAUGGAUAUUCAGUUUUAAGAGUGUUUAGGUUCGAACUUACUUUUUUCAGAUCCAUAACUAUAAGGGUAUGAGUUUAUGUGUAACUAAAUUUAAUGGGUUUGGAUUUGAAUUAAUGAGAUCCAACCCAAAUCCUAUCCAUUGACAUUUUAAAUCACUGAAAAUCACCAGAAAUCACGAAACUAAGAUUCAUUGGACUCCAGCCUCAUCAUUACAUAUUUGAUUAGAUAGUUCAUGGGCCAAAUCAUACCCGCAAUCCCCAGCUUACUCACUGAAGCAUGCAAAAUUAAACGGUGCAAUUGCAUGAGCGUACGCCCCCGCGUGAAUGGUCCAGCGGUAGCAUCUCCCACUGGUGAUCACUUGGUCCCAGGUUCGAGUCUCUGUUCUGCUGGAUUCCUCCGCGCACUUAUCGUGCUUGGGUCGGGUUGGGGCGCCGGGCCCGGGUCGCAGGGAUUAGUCGGGCCCCGUAAGAAUUGACUCAGACACCCCUGUGUCGACAAAAAAAAAUUAUAAUAAUAAAAAAUUGCUUGAGUGUACAUUUGUUGCUUCAAUCCAGCCAGUAGCAAUGGGAGGCUCAGGCCAACAUGGUGCAACGAAUCAAAUUUGAGCCUUAGGGCAGUGGUGGUGGCCUGUGAAUGAUUUGUCAAAGGGGUCUGAUUAUAGUUGCAAAAGUUAUAAAGGAUACCUUCUUUUCAGUGGUCAAAAGUAGUUUUUGUUAUUAUUUAUUCUUUGUCACUUCACUUUCAUUUUUUUGGGGGAGUUGUACUUCACUUUUAAAAUGGCUUCUUCCUGGUGAAUUCUGCUUUGGUCAGAAUUGGACCUUGACAUACCUUCAAGUUUAAGUUUACCGUUAGAUGGUGAAAUUAGCGUAAUUGGGUCUUAGAUAGAUUAUAACAAGUUCAAAAAUUUAGAGGGAACAGUACCAUGACUUACCGGUAUAUAUGAUUCAUGUAUGUAUUUAUUUAGUGUACGGACGACAGGUAUUUAUCUCCGAUUAUCAAAACGACAGGACAUGGUCUGAUGCUUUUUUUAGGAGUAGAUACUUAGACGUUAAGGAAAAGGCAUGCAGGUAUAAAGAUGGAUUUUGGGAGCGCAGAGGAUAAUAGUGAAGUACCUUAAAUUAUCAACAAGUGAGGUGAUUGUGAGGUACGAUUCCACUUAGUAGUUGAAAACUUGAACGCUUGAACUAGUAAAAAGGGAAAAAAGUUGAGUUAGGAUUUGAGAAAAGAAGAACAAGAAUCAUUUUUCUUUCUGUAAAGUAACGCCAACGACAAAGCUCAAUCACCACAUUGUCUGACAAAAAAGUUGCCGGCCCGCCCGCAACAAUCACUAAGAAAAAGACUAAUCUGUUUUCCUGGAAAGUUCCGGGCCCUGCUACGCUUGGAUAGCAAAUUUUUCUAAAAAAUUUUUUUACUUGCAUCAUAAAUACAUUUUUCAAUUCACCUUUUUAUAUUUUCAAUCACCUUUUUUAUCUUACAUAUAUCAUAUCACAAAAAGUACUACAAUAAUUAUUCUAAAUAAUUAUUUGGAAUAAUGCUCUAUCCAAACAAAGACAGUACUAGUAUAGUUCCUAAAUCUGAAUAACACUGGAGGAAAUCGAUCUUCUUCUGCUUUUUUUUUCCCCCCUUUUUUGGGGGAAUUGGCAGAAAAUGUUUUGUGGUUGAACUUUUGAAACUAAUUAAAAAACGAAAAGAAAAACUUUUGAAACUAAUUGUGAAUGGAUAUGCACAAAGUAAAAGAAUAGGCGCACAUGCAGAUCAAAACGGUUAAAUAAUAUUUGGAAUGUGAGUUUUUUAGGAGUUUGUCUAAAACUUUAUUAUAACUUACUGUAUAAGUUUUUAAAAAUUUUUUUGAAAUGUGUAGAUUUUUGAAUUUUUUUGAAAUGUAUAGUUUAAAAACAUUAAAAAAAUUUUUGAAGUUACUGUAGCUAAAGUUUUUAAAAAACUUGUAGCAGACAAAUUUGGCAAAAAAUUUGGGUUCCAAACAAGGCCUGAGUUAAAAUCUUUCCACACCGUAAGGCAUAUGCAUGCAAAUCCUUGUUGUGCAGAGGUUCAUAUUUUAUUUUUGUAAACUUUCUCCCUUCCAAUCAAGAGGUGAAAGAAUUAUUUACCGAAGGAUUUGAAAUCCUUUCAAAUAAUCUCUCUAAUUGUUUAGAUUAUUUAAAAGGUAUUUGAAUUUGUGGAUCACAAAUUAUUAUAGUAUUCAAAAUAUAUCUUGAUAAUUAGUGAAUUAUAAAUUCAAAUGCCUCUAAAAUAAUCCAAAUAAUUUGAACGAUUUGAAUGGAUUUCAAAUCCUUCAUCGAAUUUCUCAAUUCAAAACGAAAAGUCUGUGCUAUAACAAAAUAUAUGUUAUCUAUGUGCAUAGACUAUUUCAUGCAUUACUUAAAAUCAAUAUAUCUAGAGUUUAGAGUCAAUUAAUUUUAAUAACAAAGUGACAAAUUCAGAUCGUAAUACACAUAAUGGUUAUCAACUAUAUAGUUACUUUACUUUUUUAGGAUAUACUUUUAAAUAUUAAGUAAUUUAAAAUUCUAGUUCGUUAAUAUCUUUUCAAGUAGUCAAAUUGCUAGUAAUAUACGCUUUUUAAUUAUGAGAGACAUACAUUAGUUUUUUAUGCUAUAUAGUUCGUUCUAAAUUUUCUAAUAGUGUAAAUAAAUAGGACAAGAAUGAAAUUAUGAGUAAAAGUUAAUUAUAAUAUCAUAACAAGAAUACAAAUUAGUGAUACUAAUAGGAAAGUGAAAUAAAAUAGUGACAUGAUAGGAGUGAAAAAAAAAAAGCAGUCAAAAGAAAGUAGUGGAAAAGAAAAGGCAAGAGAGUGAAUAAACCAAAAAAUAAAAAAUAAGGACAUUCUUAUUUUAAAAUAUAAUAAAGGGGCAAAGUGUUUAUUUAAUGAGUUCAACGCAGAGGCAAAGCACAAUUAAAAGUAAAGUCCGAAUACGUGCAGAUUAGUUUAAGGGCGAGUUAAGGUCUCCUGACUUGUUGAGGCAUUCAUUACUAAUCGUCCAUGCAGGCGUAUGAUGCGGGACUUAAACUCAUGGGUGGUCAAAUGCGUUGGGUACUGCUUAGGCUAUUAACUCUAAAAGCACUUGAGACUUGAGAGUCAGGAAUUAAUUACUACGAGCCUGGGCAUCAUUUUCAUUUCCAGUUCUACCCCAUAUACUAAUAAUUUAGGUCAACUCCAUCCAUAUAUAAGUUGAACAAAAAUUUCGCUGCCCAUACUAUACUCUUGGGUUGGUUGGAUGUCAUCGACCCGUGUAAAACGUUUUCAGCUUCGUUAAUGUACCUGACUGACUGACUGUUAAUAUUGCGGCUGACAUUGGAUUAAUUAAUUACUUGUAGGAAUUUGUCAGUAUCGUAGAGUCCCAAUGGUCAAAGCAAAGUCUUUCCAAGCUCCUAGUAUGAUCUACAGUGUGAUGCGGCUUUGACGAGGAAAACCAUGCAUUCGUCAAACGGAGGACAGCAAAAUUCUAGUCGCAAUAAAUAAAAAGAAAAAAUAACAAUUGACUUCCAAAUUGGAAGAAUGGAGCGAAUUUCCAUGAUCCUACCCCUAACGAAUAACGAUGCGUCGGUCUUUGCUAAUUUAUUCAAAAAGACUACACUAUUAUGAUGGAUAUAGGUAAGCGGUAAAUCCCGCGUAAGAUUUGAUUAAUAUUUCUUCUUUUUUUUUAUAAUAACUAUAAUAUUUUUAUAAAUUAAUCUAUCAUAAUCUAUAUGAAGUGGAGCCUAGAGAGACUGUAUAUAAUGAUUAAUAGAUAUAAGAAUUUGACUAGAUAAAAAAAGUAUUUUGACAUCUUUUUAAAAUUUUUUUUUACGGUAGGUGAAGUUCAAAGAAAAACUGUAGGUGAAGUUCAAAUUUUCGAUCUACAGUUCGAAGAGGGGGUGCCACUCGUGAAGAUUUGAUUAGUAUUCACUGCUGAGAUCUCAUCUCGAUGAGUUCGUUGGCUUUUAAAACUGGACAAACAAACCAGCAGCGGCGGCAGAUGAUUUGUUGUUGCUACUACUGCCUCGGCCGGCGGAAUAAGCUAAAAACGAUAAAGCACCAUGAAUUUUGAAUUCAAUCAGGUACCUAUUUGCUUCUGGCGUUAAAUCCUACGGGAAUAACUGAAUCCAGGUGAUAUACCGCCACUUUCAAGCUCAGGCGUGUCAUCACAUCAUGGCUUUAUUCUUCUUUAUCGAUAGACUGGGACCACGCUAUUUUUUUAUAUAUUACUAGAUCAUUUUGUGUAUUAAAAUUCAAGAGAAGGAAUAAUUUUUUAUAAAAAUUCAAAAAUACACGUUAUCAAGUAAAAAGAAAAAAAACUUCUAUAAGUAUCAAGUCCAGAUAAUAUAAUUAAACACAUAUGUUGAAGUAUUUUUUGAUUAGUCACAACCGUAAUUUUAAAGAAGUAUUAAAAAGUCUUUUUCUUGAACUGUGACGGUCUCUUUUGCAAAAGACUGCUCCAAAACUCGAAAUUACUAUUAAUGACUUAUUCGUAACAGGAAUAAAAUUUAUUAUUCUGCAAAUAUAUUAUCAAAAUAUAGAGGGAAUAUAAGUCAUUUUAAAACUCUAUCUAAGAUAGUAAAACACGCUGCCGGGCUUGGAAGUUGGAACCGCAACGCGUGCAAAUACUGCUGUAGACGAGCGUGAACUUCUCCUGCUCCCUCAGACCACCGAGAAUUGACCAGCGGAGAAACGCAGGGAUGGAAGACCGGGAGAAUGAGGAUGAAUCAUGACAGGAGUGAGAGAAGACGUAUGUUUGUUAGUAGUUACUGGGGGCCCACAGGCCGAAUCUCGUCCUUUUACCAUUUCCGAUCAUCCUACGCUGUCCCAGGGAGUCCAACUUAACGUGAACCUUCCCGUCUUGUGGGACCCUUUAUAAUUCUUCUUUAUUAACUUUUCACUCGCCCAUUUCCUCCUUUAAAAUAUAUAAAAAAAAAACGAAACUAAAAGUUUCUUUGUUACACAGUACAUACAUACUUAAAGUCUUCCUUUGCAUUUUGACACUUCUUUAUUUAAUUUUCGCUAAGAGACUGAGCACUUGUUAGAUAAACUCGUAUUUUAUUAUAUAUAAUAAGAGUAAAUUUUAUAUAUAUUGAUAGUGUAUACACUAAUACUAUCGAUCGGUGUAGAAAAGAUUAAUAUAUAUAAUAAUAGUACGAGAUGAAUUGAAUUGAAAUAAUUAUAAAAUUUUUUAGAUAUAUAUAUAUAUAUAUAUAUAUAUAUAUAAUUAAUGAUGGUUAGUGCCCUCAAAUUUCCGGCGACCAGAAUGCCACUUCCUCCUCCAAAUCAAGAAUUCGAAUCCACAGUUAUUCCACUCAAAAAAAGGGAGAAAAGACAAGGGGGAUAGAAAGAAUACCAGAACCCGCCCCUUUUUCUCUCCAUUCUGAUAUUUUGGUACUCAAUUAGAAACAUUUCUUAACGACAAACAUUUAUAUUAAAUUAUGUAAUGUGCUCGUUCACUGGUCACUAAUAUUUUUCUCCUGGUGGCCAAUUAAAGUGUCAAUCCCCACUCGCAAGACGUUAAUCACCUUCUUCGCUUCAUAACUUAGCAGCCUUUUACUUUUUUUAUUAUUAACUUUUUCCAUCAAUCGUCAUCUUGGUUGCUGGUCUCUCGUAGCAGUCAGUACACGCUAAAUUUGGCCGUCUGUUCAGCUAAGUUUCUUUCCCAUACUGAGUAGUGAGUAGUAUGCUAGUUCUACUAUAAUCUCUCACUGCAGUCUUCUGCUUAUUAUCCACUGAAAACGAAGGAAGCAAAGCAAUAAUGGUGACUCAUAAAUGCUACUAUUUUCUUUUCCUCUCGUUGGCUUUUCCACUUCUCAUGGAUGUAGCCAAAGCCCAGAUGCCAGGUUCCUCUCUCCCUCUCUAUCUCUGUGCGUCGUUCAUGGGUGAUUAUUAUAUUUGGGAGUUUGUGGAGAUGCUUUUUUGUCUUGAAAAUAAAUAGUACUUUUCAUGCUCCAUUCGUCAUUAAUUUUUUUUAUAUUUUAAUUCUUUUGGCAAACUAGUCGUCGUUAAUGUUGUCUACUAUUGACAGGAUUCCUGUGUAACCAUACUAAUUGCUUUAUUUAAAAUUGAGUGGGCGUGUGCUUUCAUAUUAAUUUUUCCGUAUUAACUUUGGGAUGAUAAUAAUCAUGGGUUUUGUAGUACCGAAAGGAAAUUUAGAAGAAAAGAACCUAAUAAAAUUUCUAGAGGAACGAAUGUUUUUUUUUUUUUGGGGUUGUGGGGGGGGGGGGGGUUGGAAAACAUUUGGUUUUAGGUGAUCGCUGUGGGCAGAGCUAUUGGAUAAACGCCUUUAAUGAUAAGUCAGAGUGAAAGUUCAUAUUAUGUGAAAUGGGUUCAACGUGAUUAUGUAGUCUGAAGUUUUUUAUAGAGGGUUUAGUGGGUGUUAAACCUGCUCCCUGAAAAAGGGGUAGAUUCAGAAGCAGUUGGUGACGGUUGAAUUUUUUUUUUUUUUAAUCAUUCAAACCGAAGGUAAAAUCGUGCAGAUUGCCUGUGCUGAUAACUUUCGUUCCAUUCAGGGAGUAAAAGGAUUAGGAUAUCUAAUAAACACUGGUAAAUGGGGAUAUUUAGUAGGCUUUUAAAUCUUAAGUAGUUAAUAUGCAUUUUUCAUUAAUUAGCGGAACUCUUGCCAAUGCUGUAGUAUAUGGCAACUUCAGUUGGCAACGGAGUUGCAAGUUUAGUGAUGGAGAGUCAAGAAUCGACUUAACUUGGGCCUUCAAAAGUCCUAGUUUGUGUACGAUUUUGGCUAAACUAUAUGGAUUUGAAUUCUUGGUUGCAAGAACCAUUAUUCUGCAGCUAAUCAACUUCUAAACUGAAUCUCUUGGUGGAUCUUUUGGAAGAGAUGAGCAAGUUAUGAAAGUUUAAAUGGUGGUUAGGAGCUUUUCCCAUCUUUAGUGAUCAGUCUAUUACACAUUUCUCUCUGAACUUAUUUCAAUUAGUUUACUGUCUUCUGAUUUUAAGGCCUAAAGUCCAAGGGCCCAAGCAAGUUGGCAGAAAUUUAUGGUCGAGAAAAGAACUGAGAAUUGCAUCAGCCUAAUGGAUGAUUCGUGAAGCACAGCUCAUACACAGUUUGAUCCCUCUACUGUGGCUUCAGUGCUUGAAUACCAUAGAAUCCUUGAAACUGUUUGUUCUGGCGAAUUAAGGCAACAAUAGCAUCCUAUUUUCUUCCCAAAACAUCCUAUUCGUGGUGAAUAAUAAUCUGUGGGGUUUGUUGUGAAAACCUAGUUAUGAAAUUUACUUGGUAAUGUUCAGAAUUACCUUCAUCUUCUAGGUUUUGGUGCUUCUGCAGAAGAAAUUAGCCAUAUAUUUUAUGUUAUUGGAGUGCUCUUUUAAAUUCUGUGAUAAAAGUAGCAGUUGAUCAUAUGGUUCUGACUGAUGUGGCCCCGUGGAUCAGGUUUUUUAAGUUUGGACUGCGGAGGCAAAGGUAACUUCACAGAUGAACUUGGUCUCCUGUGGACUCCUGAUGGUCAGAUGAUCAGCGGAGGAAGAGCUAAUAUAUCUGUUGCAAAUGAGCAAAGAACUCAAUAUAUGACUUUGAGAUAUUUUCCUGCAGAUAACAGAAAGUAUUGUUACACACUUAAUGUUAUGAGUAGGACCAGAUACCUUUUAAGAGCAAGCUUCUUGUAUGGAAACUUUGACAACAACAACGUGUAUCCAAAGUUUGAUAUUUCACUAGGGCCUACUCGCUGGGCUACGGUGGUUAUUUCAGAUGCUAGCACUAUAGAAUAUCAAGAGUUAAUAUUUCUUGCUACUGAACCCACCAUUAGCAUCUGUUUGUCUAAUGCUACCACUGGGCAGCCAUUUAUUUCGACCCUUGAGCUCCGACAAUUUAAUGGUUCAAUUUAUAUGACCCAAUUUGAGAACGAGUUCUUUUUAAGUGUUUCUGCAAGAAUAAAUUUUGGUGCUGAUAGUGAUACUCCAAUCAGGUAUGCUUCCCAUCUUUUUCUGGAUUUUGGUUGCAGUAGAUUGAAAUGUUCUUGACAGGAUAGCUAUGGUCUUUACUUUCUGUCAAAAUUGCCAUGCAAUUAGAAAUCGAAGUCUUUGCUCAGUACUGAUACUUAGAUUUCCCCCUUUUACCCAUCAGGUAUCCUCAUGAUCCAUUUGAUAGGAUAUGGGAAUCUGAUACUGUGCGAAAAGCCAACUAUCUAGUUGAUGUUGCACCUGGUACUGAAAAGGUAUCUACUCGAAUGCCAAUUGAUGUUAGCUCUGGUGAAAGACCACCUGAGAAAGUGAUGCAGACAGCUGUAGUUGGAAGAAAUGGGUCACUCACAUAUCGGUUGAAUCUGGACGGUUUUCCUGGUUCUGGAUGGGCAUUCACCUAUUUUGCAGAAAUUGAAGAUUUGGCUCCAACUGCUACCAGAAAAUUCAGGCUAGUGUUACCUGGAAAUCCUGAUCUCAGCAAGGCUAUUGUCAAUAUUGAAGAGAAUGCCUCGGGGAAAUAUCGUUUAUAUGAACCUGGAUACUUCAACAUAUCGCUUCCCUUUGUCUUAUCAUUCAGAUUUGGAAAGACGUCUGAUUCUACAAUGGGGCCCCUCCUGAAUGCAUUAGAAAUAAAUAAGUAUCUGAAGAAAAGCGAUGGCUCUUUGGAUGGUAAAAUGAUAUUUUGAAUAUAAUUCAAUUCAUUAUCUCCUUUCACGGAAUAGCAUACAGUUUGGCCCGCGUAGCUCCUUUUACAAUGAGGGAGGAUUCAGGGCUGUUGAAAUUGCUGGCUGAGUUUAAGUCCUUCCUUUCUAGAUUUAUUUUGUGAAAAUGCUAAUAAUGCAGUCUUCAUACCUAUCUGCAUGAAUUACAGGACAACUUGUUGCUGGUAUAAUCUCAGCUUACUCUACUGCUGAUUGGGCACAAGAAGGUGGUGACCCAUGCUUACCGACCACGUGGUCGUGGAUCCAAUGUAACACAGAUCCUCAGCCUAAAAUAACAUCCAUGUACAGUUCUGUUGGUUUUCCUUUCACUUUCUGGUGUUUGUUUCUUGGACCUUGUGUUGUUGAUGAUAUAUCUUGUGCCCUGUGUUGAUGAUAAUAUUGUCAAAUGUAUUGUUUCAUAUCAUGUCCUGAAACCAUUCGAAAAAGUAAGUCAGUGAUUUAUCAGCUAACCUUAAUAUCUGUUUUUGCAGCAAAUUGUCGAGGAAGAACUUGACUGGAAGUAUCCCUUUAGAGUUAACAAAAUUGAGCGGCUUAGCUGAAUUGUAAGUUUCAGCUAAGAACGAUUUGUAUCUGUUCCUAUGGUCUGUAUCAUCAUACCUUUUAACUUCUUCUUGCAGAUGGCUUGAUGGAAAUUCAUUUUCUGGUACAAUUCCUGAUUUUUCUGGAUGCCCAAACUUGAAGACAAUGUAAAUCCUCUCUCUUUUCUGUUUUUGUCAGAAGAAUAGGGGUUGUAGGGAAUAUAUUUUCUUUUUUCCCCACAUGCAAGUUAUUAUUGUCUCAUGUAUAAAGGCAUGCACUUGUGUUAUACCAGCGCAUGUGCAUUUAUAGUUCAAGUGGGGAAGUCAUGUAUAAAUGGUGUUGCUUAUAGUGAUUUCUUCUGGUAUUUCAGGAAUGAUGAGAUUCUGUGCUUUAACUCCUGUUGGCUUAAUUAUUUUGCAAUUUUGGAAAUUUUGCAGACAUCUUGAGAACAAUCAGUUGACUGGAGGGCUGCCUUCCUCCUUGGGAGGUUUACCGAAUUUAAGAGAACUGUAAGUUUGAUACGUGUACUUUGCUUUGACUUUUCCUUUUCUUGUCUGUCAAAGGUUUAUUAUGUACAUCAUGGUCGUUUUAACUCUUUCAGGUAUGUGCAGAACAAUGAGUUAUCUGGGACUAUCCCAUCAAAUCUUCUGAACAGGGGUCUGAUCUUAAAGUGGGUGUUCAUUUUCCCCCCUCUGUUCCUUGUUUCGCUUAGAUAAUUAAUGUCUCCAUGUCUUGUGAGGCAAUUGCCUUAUGCAAGUGACAACUGUGGUCAUCUAGUCGGUCCUUAUUCAAAUAAAUCUGUGAUUAAUAUGCUGUGUUAGUAUGUUUUUCCUUAAUAAUUAAGAACGAUUACAUAUAUUUUGGCGUGAACAUUUUCUGACCUUUUAUUUACCUUCCCAGUUUUUGGUGGUGGAAUUUUCAUGCCUGCAAAUUAGAUAAGAUAGAAAAUGGUGCUAUUAACUUAUUGUAGAUCAAAUGCCAUCAUAAAUCAUGAAUCAUGACAUGUUUGGAAAUUGGAAGGUUAAAAGCCUUUUAUGCCUUUAUUUUAAUGUUUUAAGCUGACCAAUAUCCAUGAACAAGUAGGCUCUUCAAGACAUGCAGAUGAUAAAAGCCCAGCUUCAUUUUAAUAGACAUGUUAAUGGGAUGAUGCUAAUGUUCAAUGGUAUAUCAUAGCUUUAGGUAGUGGCAAUUUAAUAUCUUGUGUUGGAUUUGACUUAAAUUGAACUAGCAUGAUAUAUAUCUGUAUCCCCGUUUAUCUGAGCAUUCUGUUUCUGAAAUUCUCCUUUUAUAUGGUCUUUGUACCGCAAUGCUUUCAGCUAUACUGGGAACAUUGGUCUUCAUAAAGGAGGCAGUGCAGGAAAUCAUAAGAAAAUCAUUAUUGGAUCAUCAGUUGGUGCUGCAGCACUGCUGCUCGCCACUAUUAUCUCUUGCUUAUUGAUGCAGAAAGGAAAUAAAAAUUAUGCAAAUCAAGGUUAGAUGGAAGAUUAUGAAUUAUUUAGUUCUUUUUAGGCAUGAGAACAUUGCUUGCUCAUGAGAAAUUUGUGAAUCUAUUUGCAGACCAGCAUGAACAUCGUUUACCUGGUCAAAGAGUUGUCUCCUCAUUGGGUGAUGCUGCAUCUGAAGUUGCUCAUUACUUCACUUUGUCUGAGCUUGAAGAUGCAACAAGGAACUUUGAGAGGAAAGUCGGCUCAGGAGGCUUUGGAGUUGUGUAUUACGGGAAACUCAAGGAAGGGAAGGAAAUUGCCGUGAAAGUUCUCACAAAUAACUCCUUCCAGGGCAAACGAGAAUUUUCGAAUGAGGUAAUUCUCUUGAAUUGGGAUUCAUUUACUGUUGGUGACAGUGGCUUUUGCCUUCUAGUUUAUUUACCAAAAUCUGUUUGUAAAAAAUGAAGAUAGUAGCACCAGAGACGUGGUGGUUUCCUUUUCUUCCCCUGGGGAAAAGAUGACAACUAUUGGAAUACAGAAGAAACAGGAGUAAUGAUAUUGCUUCGCAAACACAAAUUACUUUUGAAGAACUUAUUCUAAAUUUUUCUAAUGCACAGUUUUAUCAACUUUUUUGCUUCCAGUCACAAGUUUAUCAACUUUGUUUCAUUUUUAAUUAAUUAUUCUUCUUACAAUGAUAAAUUUCUUUUUGGCUGCAUUACCUACAAUUUCGCGAAAAUCCCAUGCUCAUAUAUGGCUUAGGUGGCUCUUCUUUCGAGGAUACAUCACAGGAAUCUUGUACAGUUUCUUGGAUAUUGCCAAGAAGAAGGGAAAAGUAUACUUGUAUACGAGUUCAUGCAUAACGGGACUCUAAAGGAACAUCUCUAUGGUAAAGUCUGUUAUUUUUCUGAUACAAAGUUGUUCAUUUUGGCAUGUUUAAUCACUUGUAACACCUGGUAGGGCCUAUAACACAUGAAAGAAGGAUCAGUUGGAUUAAGCGCCUUGAGAUUGCUGAAGAUGCUGCUAAAGGUGAGUAUGCUAAAUAUGAAUCGUUUUAAAUUGACAGGCUUGGUCCUCGUUAGGUUAGAAUAACAAGUCAAAACGGUUAUGCUUGUCUCAGGGAUUGAGUACCUUCAUACUGGGUGUACUCCAUCCAUCAUUCAUAGGGAUGUAAAGACCAGCAAUAUCCUCCUUGACAAGGACAUGCGAGCAAAGGUUUCGGAUUUUGGUCUCUCAAAACUUGCCGUAGAUGGAGCUUCCCACGUGUCAAGCAUUGUUCGAGGAACUGUUGGCUAUCUAGAUCCUGAGUAUGACUUUUGUCCUAGACCUUAAUCUUCUUUGAUUGGCUAAUAAAGUGCAAGAUCACAUAAACUAUAUGGUUGAACAAAUUAGUGAUUGAACUUCCAAUUUUGUCAUUAUUAGUCUUUCACUUUUAAUCAUUACAUGUCCUCUUUCAUCAAGUCUAUUGCUCUAGAGUUCACAUGCUGACAGCAUACAUUCAUUAAAUCUGGAUUAUGCCUUAAUUAGCAACCAAAUGGGACUUUCCAGGGCAUUUAUGGAAGUGGACUUUUUAUCCAAGAUUUUGGAUGCUUGGCAUAUGAUCUAGUUCACUAGUUAUAGAUAUUAUGAGCUCUUAUGUCCUACCUAAGAAGUGAGUUUGUUGCUAUUUCAUCCACCUGGUCAUCUCUACUUGCUGAAGGUCCCAGAUAAUCUUCAUUUAUAGGACUGACGGUCUUUGUCUACUUCCUAUGAAAUAUAAAAAGAAUUGACUUCAAGCAUUUUCCCAGUAAUUGUUUGGUGAGCUCCUGUAAAGGGUUAUAAGGUGGGUUUUUUUUUUCAAUUUUUUGGUAUUUUGGGGGCGGGGGUGAUGGAAACAAUGUAGGACACUGAUCAAUAUGCACAAGACUAUUAACUCUAUGCAAUCUUAACUUGAACACCAACUCUCUAAGCCAAGAAUUCUGUUACAACUACAUGCCCAUGAACUGGCAACUUAAAUCAGCUGAACAGUUGAAUUUGUCGUCCCCAAAUUUGCAACUAUCUUUCACAUUUAUUGGUAGUAAACAUUGUGACUUAAGAGAAAUUGAGAAGCUGGGGUCUUCACAGGUUACUGGGAAAAGGACAUCUGUAGAUAAAGACAAAAGAGUCAGUGACUUGAUGCAGAGAUCUUGUCAAUUGCAUUUAUCAAUGCUUUAGCUUUGAGCUUUCCCUUAACCUGAAAAUUUUUAAAGUCACACAUAGGAGAUGUGAUUGGAAGAAAAUCCAAAAAAGAAAAAGUGAUUGCACAUUGUCUACUUAUCCUUUCUUUACCAAAGAUGAUAUUCCUAAGAAUGGCAUGAUUGGUAUUUGCAGCAUGCUGCUAUCACUAAUUAGGCUUUUCAAAAGUUCUCCCUCUAUAUUUCUUCUGUUCGUAUGUGAAAGGCUUUGAAGAUAGUUGUCUUAUGCUUAUAUUUCAAGCAUGACUUCUUACAUUCCACCAAUCUUAUGCAGGUAUUAUAUCUCCCAGCAGUUGACGGACAAGAGUGAUGUCUAUAGUUUCGGGGUCAUUCUACUGGAGCUAAUAUCUGGUCAAGAGGCAAUUUCAAAUGAAAACUUUGGUGUGCACUGUCGCAAUAUAGUCCAAUGGGUAAGAUCAGUUGACAAUAACAGUACUAGUUAUGAAAUCGAUAAAGCACCUCGAAGUUUCCUGAUUCAUUACAUGAGGUUCGACGUUGCUGUAGUGAGAUUAUAUUUGAGCAUAUUAUACGAUAUAGCAAUUGCUGUUUAUCAGAACGAACAAUGUUCCUGAAUCCGCAUUUAUUCCCGCGAUAAAGAAAUUAGCUAUAAUGGUUUUUACUUCUUUACGGGUUUCAUCUCUAUUUCUUUUUUUAACGAGAUUCCAGAUUGACAAAAUGGAUAAAGCACCUCCUUAGAGGACUAAUCUGUGUAAAUCUCUUUGUUGUCAAUUUUUAUUCAAAGUGCAAUCAGAAUUAACUGUUUGACUAUCUUGUUGCACCAUCUCAGGCGAAGUUACACAUCGAGAGUGGAGAUAUCCAAGGGAUCAUUGACCCCUCAUUGCAUAAUGAAUAUGACAUCCAAUCAAUGUGGAAGAUAGCUGAGAAAGCUUUGAUGUGUGUCCAACCCCACGGGAGCAUGAGGCCCCCUAUUUCAGAAGUUAUUAAGGAGAUCCAAGAUGCAAUAUCGAUUGAAAGAGGUGCAGAAGCAAUCAGGGAAGGUAGCUCAGAUGAUAUAUCCAGGCAAUCUAUUCAUUCUUCCUUAAACUUGGGGGGUUCUCUGGACUUGGGUGCAAGUGAGCAUUACUUAUCAAUUGAUGAGUCCAUUGCACGGCCAACUGCUAGAUAGGAUUUGUCUACUCACAAGUCUCGCCCUAUUUCCCAUUUUUUCGGGAUAGCUCGAAUUUAUCCGGAGCGAUAGAAUAUUCUGAGUUUCUCGGCUUCGUUUAGUACUUAAUGGCAGUACAUAUGUGGGCUGUGUAGAUUAUGAGUUAGCUACUCAAUUUAUUCCAAAUAUUGGUCAUUGUAUUAGCAGAGCAAGAUUGGUGGACUGUACCCAGUGGAUUAUUGAAGUUUUUUUUCUCCCCUUUUUUGGGGUGGAGAUGCUGACUCCCUAUCACUAUGACUAUCGGGACGGACAGAAUGGACACCAAGUAGUGUGUCACAUGCCAAAUGCUGCUGGCUCUGUGUAUUCUUGCCUAGUUAAACUGUGAUGAUUUAAAUGGUGAAACUGACCCUGAACCUGAAAAGUUGUAGUAGCAGCCAUGUGAGAUGUAUCAUGGAGGUCAUAGUCCUUGCAGCUUGUUGAUUUUUCGUCUCUUUAUUUUAUUUUAUUUAUUAUUGUUUUCUCUAUUUGGUGCCAAAUGAACGCACUCAAAAAGGAAAGUAAAUCUAUUAUUAAUGCUUUAGAUUACCAUCCGUUCGCUGAAUUGCAACAUUUUUGUGGAUUAAAUUUGUUUCGUUGCGGAUAAAAUAAUUUUUUGUGCUAGGACACCAAAUAGACGGAUCCUUAUUUUAUUUAUGAGUAUUGUCAUUAUUAUUAUUAUUUAUGUACUCUAUUUUCUUUUUUUGGGGUAUCUUUUUUCUUGUUUUGGGGUACUGGAGUUUGAACUCGAUACAUUCCUUGUAGAACUCAAGAUCGACUUACAUGGGUUCGAGUCAAAGCGAGCCUUAUUGACUCGAACCCGAAUCAAGAAGAUUUGGGAAUUUUAUUUUUAUUUUACAAAAAUUGAGUGAAAAGACAUUAAUUAAAAAAUUUCAUACAAUCUUAAACAUUUCGUAAAUUCAACAACUCUUGUGGGCACAAGAAUAAUUUGAUAAUAAUAAUAAAUUAAAAAUUAAAAUUAAAAAACUCAAUAUGGCUCGACAAGUUUUCGAAUCUUGCUACUGAAUACUCGAAUUCGACUCAUUAGGGUCUAUCAAACUACUCAAACUCGAUUACAAUCCUAGACCUGAAAAUGAAUGUAGAAAAGAAAAAAAAAAUCCGUGUUACAAACAAGCAAAAAGUCCCAAAUUUUGGUGGAGAGAAAGUUCAAUAAGCAGGAAAAUGGAGAAAACGACAACGUCUGAAGGCCGCACCGGAACUAACGCCUCAUACACGUGUUAUGAAUCAGAAGAAGAUAGAGGCCAAAGAGGAUGGGGCAGUACACUGUACACUACAGUAGUAGUAGUAGUACUUUAAUCGCCGCUGCACCAGCAGCGGAAUCAAAUCCUAAAUUCCUACGUAUUUCCUAAUGGAGAGGAGAUAAAAAGGGGACGCCCCCGCCCUUCUUUCCCCCGCCCUCAAUUAAAAGGACAUCUAACAACCAACGGUGUUGAUAAACCUAAGCGGCUAAGCCCAUCCCAAUUCUCUCAUCUCAGUCGUCUCCUCUUUCCCUUCUUCUCCAGCGUCCGAUCUCCCCUCUCUCCUCUCCCUCCAUCCUCAUCACCCUUCCCUCCUCCCCUCGCGCCAAAACUCAAAAACAAAAUAAUCUAUUCCUCCAAUUCUACACCCUAUAUAUAAAAGCCUCACUCUCCAUUCCUCCCUCAGGUAACAACCUUUUCCUCUCUUCUUUCUUUUUCCACCAACUCCCGAUUCAAACUUCUUCACUUCAACCGCUGCAGUGCUAAUUUCUAUCCCUCCCCUCUCUCUCUCUUUCUCUCCCUCCUUCUCUCUGUUUUCGGUGUCUUCCUUUCUCGCUCUGUGAAUGAUAUGUAGAUGCAUGCAAUUUGAUGUAUCUGUAGGAUUCUCAUUAUGGAUGAACCAGACCUAGGGUUUUUUGGUUUGAUUUUUUAUGGUUGUGCGCUGCUAGGGUUUGGGUAUGGCUGAUUCGUCUCAGGGUGGGACUCCGGCGAGUCCAGGCGGCGGGAGCCACGAGAGCGGCGACCAGAGUCCAAGGUCCGGUGUUCGGGAACAAGAUAGGUUCCUUCCCAUAGCCAAUAUUAGUCGGAUCAUGAAGAAGGCACUUCCGGCCAACGGUAAAAUUGCUAAAGAUGCCAAGGAGACUGUUCAGGAAUGCGUCUCCGAGUUCAUCAGCUUUAUCACCAGCGAGUACGUCGUUUUGUUAUAUGCUUCUCUUUAUUCGUAUUCGUUCAUAAUUCUGCCUACCGUAGUUUAAGCCGAAUGCGGAUCAUCCUUGGCUAAUCUGGAGCUUCUUGUUGCAUCUCCAUAGCCCCCUUUUUGUCAUGAAAAAUCAGUUACUUUUACACAUUCAUUGUCCCCAUGGCUACUUCGGCUGGUCUAAAAAACUUAGCUACCUACCUACGAGUCUGGAAGUGGAUUUUCCUGAUUCGUUACCUAGGUUUACAUGAACUCGUAUGAUAUACUGUUCUCUUCUCUCUGUGAUUUUGAUUUCCCAUAAUGUUUAUACUUCUGUUUUGGAACUUGUCUAGCCCGAUCCAUGUUACUAUUUGUACAUUUGUGUGUAUCCACCGCAUAAGUUGAUUGAAAGAGUUAUGGUGGUUCAAAUGUUAGGGCAAGUGAUAAGUGCCAGAGGGAGAAGCGAAAGACUAUUAAUGGAGAUGAUCUGCUGUGGGCAAUGGCAACUCUAGGUUUUGAAGAUUAUAUUGAUCCUCUCAAGGUUUACUUGACUAGAUAUAGAGAGGUACUCAUCUUUCUUCUCGUACCUUUGCUUAACAUGGUUUGUUUUGUCACUUUCAUAUUACCUUGUACAAGCAUUCUUAUGAGCAGUUAGUGACUGAUAAUUUUUGUUUUCUUCUGUUAUUGUUCCAAUUGACUGUUGCAGAUGGAGGUAAAUGACUCUUCAUUUUUUUUUUGCUUUUUUUAAAAAUUAUUCUGUAAUUUUUGUUCUUCUACCUUGUUUACUGGUAACUGUGGCUUGUUUUCUUUUAUGGUGGAUUUCUCUUGUUUUCUGUGCAUUAUAGGGUGAUACAAAGGGGUCAGCAAAGGGUGCAGACGGGCCUGCUAAAAGAGAUGGUGUGCAACUUGGGCCUAGUCCCCAGGUUGGUAUUGCCAAUGUGGAACAUAAUUCUAUCUCUAGCUUCCACUGGUUUGCUUGCUGUUUGUUUUUUAAUGCCUGUGCAACACAUUGUGUGGAAAAUUUACUGACAUACCCUGUGCUGUGUUCGGCUUGCUCAUCAGGGUUCAUUUUCUCAAGGCAUGAAUUAUGGAAGUUCUCAGGUCUCUCUCUCUCUCUCUCUCUCUCUCAUUUACUUGCACAUAGAUUAACUUAAUAAACUCAUGCAUCUGUUGAAACCAUAAAAGUACGCAUAAGCUAAAUGGAAACUUCUUGCUGCUGCCAAAUUCAGCAUGUAAAUGGGAAACUAUGUUCACAUCACAUGCAUCAUUGAGAGUUUCAUGUUUCAAUAUGGCCAGUGCAUCCAACUGCUACUUGGUGCAUGUACUUCAGUUACUUGCUCUGGAAUUGUUUUUCAUCGGUUAAGUUCUUGUAUAGUUCCUGUGGCAUUGAAAUUAUAUAUUUUUAUUGUCAAAAAAUGUUAAUCUUUUCAGUUAUAGUCUAUAUUUUGGUUGGGUAUAUUUCUAUGUACUGUUAAUUUUUGAGGGGGUAAAAGAUAGCCCAUGUAUUUGGUGUGUGUCUGUCUGUGUAUAUAUCAUUGAUAUGGUUCCCUUCAUGCAAUUUUCUAUUUUUUGUCUUAUUUAUUUAUAUAAUAAUUUGUGGGUAAGUUUGCUUCAUGCAGUUAAUGAGCAGAAAAGCCUUUUCUCAAUGUCUUGAAUAUGACUCGAAUUUGGCCUCCUCUUCUAUGUGCUUAUUUCUAGAGCCAGCAUAAGGCUUGACAUUUGCAAUUAGUUGUUGAAAGGUGUACUUCCUCAGAAUCAUAACUUCAUAAAAUGUAGACAUGUAAAUAAUGCUGUAUAGACUUAGCCACACCAAAUGUUACAUGCUGUGGAUACACCGAGCUUUACAUGCUAUGUUUGCUGUUUGGUAUGAUAUGUAAUUCAAAAUAUGCACAUAAAUUCAUUGUGGGAUUUCCCAGUAAAUAAGUGCAUUCAUUUUCUUGGAAAAACUUGGACUUUACAAUGAUUAAGAGAGAAAGUUGAGGUUGUAAAGCGUGCUCUUAAGUAAGUGAACUAUAAAACUUUUACAAAAGUGAAAUAGUUUACAAAUCAUGUAAAAUAUUACAAAAUUGCUCAUGCGUAGAUGUGAAAGUGGAUGAGAUUUGGCAUUGUGGUUAUAUAUGAAUGCCUUUUAGGAUUGGGCACUUACCAAGAUACUAUCUGAUAUGAGACAGGAGGCAAGGAGUUACUAUACCUAUGUAUAUGACUUAUAUUGGUAUUUCUGUUUGUACAAUUGGUCUGUUAUGGCUUAUAAAUGUCUUCACCAAACUUAUCACAGAAAAAAAAAAGAGGAAAUUAUCUUGUGUUUUCUUGUGAUGGUCAAUAUGGAUGUGGUAGAAAUUGAUGGUGGCGGGGUUUAUUGGUUGUGGUGGUGAUGGUGUCAGUACUGUUGUUGGAGAACUGAGUGGUUGAAGGUGGUGGUGGCACAAAUGCUUGUAGAGGGUGGGGAAUGGUGUUGGUAUCUUGCUUUCUAUCUGUGUUUGUUGUUUGAUUUAAAAGCACCAUGGGAAUGAAUAGUUAUUAUGGCUCAUGGAGUGAUGCAUUUUGCAGUUUCUGGUCCAUCAAAAAUUAAAAAGAAAAAGAAAAUUCUGAUUAUUUUUUCUACGGAGAAUUUAAAUUUGUCUUGUAUCAUAUAUGUGAUGCUUCUUAUCUUUUGCAGUAGAUGGGAAUAACCAUCCAAUUCUUCUCCCCAGUGAAAUUUAGCCAAGGUAGCGAAGGAGUUUUAACUGUACCUAAAUGAGUACUUUUCUUUUUGUCCAGCUGAUUCCUUUUUUACUUUAUUGAUGGGAUGAUUAAGCACUUUGAUUUUACUUAAUGAUAAUCAAGCCAUGUGCCUAAUCCUUUUGGAUCUCUGGCAAUGUUACAUGUGCAGGGCUCAACAUUUCUCUUCAUGUUAUGUAACUAUUGCUUUCCUACCAUGUCUUGAAGCUGCAUAAACUUAUUGGUUCCAUGAAAUUCAGAAGGUUUCAUGUGUUUAUUUUCUUCUUAUUGCUUAUUACGGGCAUGAAAAGCUCCAAAAUUGUGGGGAGCAAGAUAAGGGAGCUUACCUCUUGGUUUUUUGUGUUGGCUGUUGCUUUGUAGUGGCUGCAUAUGCAUACAUGUGGAUUUAGGUUCUGAGUCUUAAAAUUCGAAUGGCAUUUUGAGCAUCUAUACCACAGCCUAUGAGCCUUUUCUUGCCGUUGAUAAGUGCUAGAUGUAUGUCAUAUGCCCUUAGAAAGUGCAGUAGAUAGAUAAAUUCCAGCCAAUUUACUGUUUAACGGAUCCAUCAUAUCACCAUACAUCAAUGCGUAAUGUAUCAAACUUGGAGAGGGCAAAGGAAUUAGGAAAGGAAAAUAACUCUUGCUUAGUAGGUGUGUAAAACGUCUAAGCAAUGGAUGGUGACAUGACAAUGUCUUUGUCAGCGGAACUGAUGUUCAUUCUGUCUUUGAAAUUUCAGAUAAAUGGAUAAUGUUCGUUCUUAAUUAAUCAACUUCAUUAUAUCUCAAGGGUUAGUAAUUACUUUCGUUCUUAAUAAUGUUAGUAUCCACUUUAUUGUAGUGUCAUGAGAUAUUAUGGCUUUUGUAUGAAGUCAGCAUGUCUAGUAGUUUCUUCAUGGAAAAUUAUAUAUGAACUUUUCAAUGGUGCUUAUGUUAUUGGUUUGAAUUUGCAGUGGCGAGGUCAGAAUGUAAUGAUCCAAAUGCAAGGCAUGGAGUAGAUUUUGCGUCUGUUUGUUUGAUCAUUUGUUAAUGUGCUUAGAAGUCGUCAUUGCAGUUCUUGAGAUAAAUACAUGUAAGCUUUUACUGUGAACUGAUUGUAACAACUGGUUUUAGCUUUCCUGUGUUAGUACUAUAUUCUGGUUAAAUGUAUGUCUCUGGUGCUUUUCAAGUAGGUCUGAUUAUUUAUUUAUAGAGCUAUGAACUUUGUGGGCUUUUGUAAGAGAUGUCUCUGGUUUCUCUUUUGUAAGAGCCUCUCAGGAUCGCUUAUGUUUGCUUACUCCGCCUGCGGGUGUGUUUAGUGAGUGUUCAAAACCGGUUUAUUUUGACCCGCAAGUCUUCGGACGCGGGACUGCGUUGAUGGAACGCUUUAUAAGGAAUUUUAACUUGGAAAAAAUAGCAAAUCGAUUGAAAAUUGUGUUGCGCAGCUGCGCUUGCCGGUUUCCGCAACGCUUUCUUGUCUUGAAGCAUAUUCUUUGUCCACGUCUCAAGGGAAUCAUUUUUUCGGUCAUUUAUGAUCAUCAUAUUAUCUUUAGCCAGUUUUAUUUUUUAUUUUUUAUUUUUUUUAAACGCCAAUUAUGCUUUCAGUUCUUUGUUCCCCGUGUUUGCCAUGGUAUUUGAACGAGGGUUAAGCUAGAAGCAGAUUUUAAAGGCACCCAGAUGAGAAAGGGAGAGACACAAAUCAAGAUAUAAAGGUUAAUUGCUAAGGAGGUUUUGAUCUAGCAGUUUGUGUCGAGACUCUACGAAUUAAAGGAUAAAUUUCACCUCUUCACUGCUAAGAAAAAAAAAGGUAUGAAGGCAAAUUGGAUAAUGAACAUUACGCUACAAAAAGGAGAGCACAUUUCGGUUUGCAGUGUCUCUACCUUUUGACUUUGCUUUUAAAAUAAGGGAAAAUUAGUAAAGCAAACCUAAAUUAGUAAAAAAAUAGAAAAUUUAUUCAAACUCGAAUAAAAUUAUAUCACGUAAAACAAAAUUUCACUAAUAUUUAUUUACAGAAAAAUUUUUAAAGCUUAGUGUUUUAAACUUGAUGUGCCACGAAUACUAGUUAUUUUAACUAAUUCACAUUCUUUAAUACUAUUUGUUUCUUACCCUUGAUAUUCUUGUCAAUCCAAUAAAACCACUAAAAAUGGAAAGAUUCCAUAAAAACAUAAAACGAAUUAUUUCCAACUAAUUUCAUUUAAAUCUUGCAUUACUCUCAAUUACUUUUUUUAUCUUACAUAAUCAUUAUUUUUUUAAAAAAAAAACUAUAGUGUGAUUUAGCCUUCCUUUUUUAAAUAUUAUUUUGUUUGCAUAAUAAAUGCAUUUUUGAAGUACCUUUCUAUAAGCCAAUUUCUUCAAUAACUUUAUUAUGGCAUCACGUAAUAAAAUGAGAGGACAAUAAAAAGAACAGGACUGAAUAGUAGUUUGUUGAAAAAAGUUUGAAGCACAUUAGGACUAACUACCAGACAUCAACGUCACUAAUAUUUAUGUUCCACCAUUUCAUAUUUAAAAUUUUAUAAUUUUAUCUUUUGAUUUAAGAUAGGCCUCAAAACUUACAAAAAACAAUUAACAAAAGAAGAAGACUUUCCAUCUGUCCAGCGAUUAUAGGCCUAUCGAUAUGUCAGGAAGUUACCAGGCUUUUGAGCCAUUAGGCCCAUUACCACCCUUUGUUCUUUUUAAUAAUAAUUACCUCAAUUUUCGUUACUUCUUGCUAGUUUUGUGUAUUACGUUCCUUCAUCCGAAAGCAAUCUCACAGGAAGAUGGCGUGAUUUUCUCAAUCGCGUCCAUGGAGUCCAUGCAUCAGCCGAUAGAUGAUCACGCAUCACAAAACAAUACGAGAAAACCCUAACCGCAGCAAAAGUGUCAUAUAUUAUUGAUAGUAGCAAACUGCUGGUAUGGGGUGAGCAUAAGUUCGUUUAAUUUAUUUUAAUUUUGGACUGAAUCCAUAAAAAAUCGGACCGACAACGAUUAAUCAUAUGUAUCAAUUUUGUUUUUUCAAUUAAUCAAAAUCGAUAUCUGCAUGAUAGACGAAAAAAGUGAUGAUUAGAAACUGUCGAAAUUAACUCCGGUCUCUCUCUAUGAGAGUUUUUUCUCUCUCUGGGUAGAGAGCGAAAUCCCCCUAGUGGGAGCCUUACACUUUCUACACUUUCUAACAACUUUCUAAAAAAA
rnacentral:lncRNA from 1 species